GCUCUCUCUCUCUAGAAAGAAAAGGAAGAAGAGAAGGAGGAAAAAAAGAAAAGGGAAAAGAAGAAGGAGAAGAAGGUGGAGAAGAAGAAGGAGAUCAAGGAGAAGGCUUUGAGCAUCUUCCUCUCUUUCUCUCCUCUCUAUUGGUGUAGCUCAAGAGGUAAGCUACAAACCCUAACUUGUAGAACUUAGGGUUUUUGAGUGUUGAGCUUUGGAAAUUGGGUCAAAUGGACCCCUAGUACCAUUGUUGGUGGAUCAAAGCUAGAGUUAGGGUUCCAAGUUGCAAAUGGCAAGAUGAGAACCCUAGGGCACCCAAAAUGGGGUUUUUGGUAAAGUAUGAGAUUGAUCUCAUUUGAUGCCUCGUAAACCUAAUUGGUAGGUCAAAAAACGCGGGGGCGAAGUCAAUUUCGCGAUUCGACUAGUGGAUUGGGAGCUAUCGGCAAAAUACGGCCGAUUUAGCUUUGUCUUGCACCAAGGAAGGCUAAAGCCUUUUCGUAAAGUUCGCCGAGGAUCAUUUCUAAAGCCUCUACAUUGGUAAAAGAUGUGGGGUGCCAUCCCGAAGCUUUCGAACUCCUUUCUAUGUCUUAGAUUGCAUUUAAUCUCAUCUCUUACAUGUUGCAUUGUAGGGUUGCAUAGUAGCUCCAUUCCUUAUGCUUUCUAAUUGAUAACCUAGUGUACUUGGAACGCUUGGUAACUUAGAUAGGUGAGGAUUGGGUUGGAACGCUGAUCCUAUGAUGCGAAAGAAAAUAGAUGAACCCGACAUAGAAAGUGGUGUUUAAUGUUAAAAACAAACGAGUGGCAUCCAAAUGUUAAAUAAUAACGAGUGGCAUUAAUGUAGUGUAAAUGACACUAGAGGUUUGAGAACCUAGAGAUAGGUGGAUCCCUUAGAAAAUGCCUUGUGGAUAAAGAACUUAGUAAACCUAAGUACCCUCACAUGGAGAGGUUGUCGAUGAGUUAUUGAGAUAUUGACCCUAGUUGUAGGGCAUCCUCACUUGGAGAGGAUUUGAUUGGGUUGUUGACCCUAGUUGUAGGGCAUCCUCACUUGGAGAGGAUUUGAUUGGGUUAUUGACCCUAGUUGUAGGGCAUCCUCACUUGGAGAGGAUAAAUCUAGUUCACAGUCUGCUUUUGGGGUGGUAUAGCCAUCCAUAUCCCCACAUGGAGGGGGUUGUCGUCGAGUACUCCGGAGUGUCGGGCGAUUAAGACCACUUGGAGGUCCGGACCACACAGAGGUCCGCAGACGGUCCCGGGCUUGGGUGCACUUAGAGCUCCCUCCCCACUUUGGGAUUUAAAGGUGAGUUAUUGGCGAACCCAAGGGCUACGCCACAGAUUGGGUAAAAGAACAGUGAACAAUGUCAUUGAACAUUAUUAUUCAAACAUGGAUCGAAUUCGUUAGCAUGAUAGUAAACCUUUGCUAUAUGAUGCAUGCAUUCAUUACAUAUGAUUAUGGGCAUAGUAGCAUAGUUUUCUUACUAUUACAUUUACAACUUUCAGAUAUUUAUCUAUCUAUCUGUUGUUGCUUGUGCCCACUUGGACCUAGUGGGGAGAUCGGCAGAGUCGGCGGCCGAGCCCACUGAGAACUAUGGAAGAUAGUUCUCACCCCACUCUAUUUCCAAUGGUAGGUACAGGUUUGCCGAGAGAAGACCGCGGCAAGGGCGUCGCGCCCGAUCAGUGAGACCGUGGUAGCAUAGUAGCUUUCCUUUUUGCAUUAGUACACCUAUGUAUUGAGAGAGAUUCAUUGUAGGUGAGGAUUUGGAGAGCUAUGUAUUUUGGAUGAAUGAUGUAAUCAUUUAAAAAAAAUGAUGUAAAUGAAAAAGGAUGAACUAUUGUAAUAGUUAGCAAAGUACCCUCUUUAUUUCACAUGUCAUUCCUGUGGAUUACUUGCUUUUGUAGUUGCUGGCACUAUUUGUGCCCCGUUGAAUGUGUACGUUUAGAAUUUAAAUUUCUGGGAAAUUCUUGUACACAUUCUUGUUGUGAGCCUUGGGCGGACAGGGGAGAUACUGUCCCUUCGGCGGUCCGCCCGCCGCGCCCGAAUCGUGCCAAAUCAAUAGUGGUUUCGGGGCGGGGCGUGACAUAGAUUGUCAGCUCUUGAUUUGGUUUUUCUUUGUUGAGGGACAUGUGUUAUUUUUAGUACUUGCUCUACCCUAGUCUCAAUUCCAAUUAUCAUAGAGAGCAUCAUAUUUUGUUGUAUCUUCAUAUUUGAUAAUUUUUCAUUGAUCUUAUCAAAAUUGGAGGUCAUGAUGUCUGGAAUUUGUGCUAGUUGAUCUCGGCUAUCGUACCUUCAUCGAUGGUCUAGGAGAUUAUCAUCGUGCUUCUAACUGAAAUGACCCUACAUGUUUCGGGCCAAAAGAGCUCCUCAUUUUCAAGUUCUUGAGACUUCUUUUUAUUUUCUGCAUCCUUUAAUGCUUUUACUACGAAGUCUCGUAUUGUCAUAGGUGGCACUUCACCUUGCAUAUGUUCCUCUAGGAAAUCUAUGUACUUCUCAAUGUCCCGCUUCUCGUAUUCAGGCUGAAUGGGUUCCACGAAUUUUCGUAUCCUCGUCUUUAAAAUUAUUUUUCACUUUUCCAAAGUAGGGGGAUUAGUUGCUAUUUCAUAGAAGGAAGUUUGAACUUCUGGAUACAACAGACUUCUCUAUAUAAUUCCAGGGACCGUGUUCAGAUAUUUUAACAUUUUGUGAGUUUCCUUCUAUAAGAAGAUGUUCCAAAACUCAGGAGGAAAUAUACCUCCUUCUUCAUUGUUUUCAUCUUUUAUAUUCACAAAAUUUGCGCUUUCGACUGACAGAUCAAUAAGCACAGCUUGAGAAAGGGUGAUCAUACCAGCUUUAUAUUAUUUUUCUACCUAAUCUUUGAAUACCCGGUAGUCCUCAAUAAGGUGGUUAAUCAUUCGAUGAUAUAGGAAAUAAUUUGGGUCACUUGUCCUCCCAAUAUCUUCUGGCUUUUUAGGUUUUGGCGGUUCAAGGCCGCUCUUUAAGGCAUCUCUCACCUUAUCCCUUUUAAAAGGAUAAGCUUUAUUUUUUCUUUCUUCAAAAGUGGGCCCCUUAAAGUUAUUCGCACCCAAUACAGGCUUUGGGGAUGCCCGCUCUGUUGUGGUGGUCAUAGCUUUAUUUCCCUUCUCCACUAUAUUAGUGCGUGUUACCUUAAAGUGUUCAGCCUUUACUUCAACUUUCUUGCCUUUUUUCCAUUUGGGCUUCUGGGUUUGGAGGUUCAUCAGGGCCUAUGGAACUGUCCUCUCUAAUUUAGGAACAUUUAAUAUUAAAUCCUGAAAUAUAGUACAUUGGGUGGUACAAAAAAACGGAGCCAUCCAUUUGCUGAUAUUACCCAUGAGCAAUCCAAUAGCUUGGGUCUACUCGAUAGGUUGUUCACAUCGGAUGCUUAAUUUUCGCCACUGUGUGAUGUAUUCUAACACCGAUUCAUCUUUUCUUCUUUUGGUGGCGACCAGGUCAGUUAUUGUAAUCUUAUCGCUAACUAUGGCAACUUUAGUUCUAAAGGCUUCCUCUAUAUCAUCCCAUGUUUUGUUAUAUUCAUCUUCGAGUGAAUAAUACUACACAAAUGCCUUUCCUAAAAGACUUCGAGAAAAUUGCCGCAAGAGAAGUGCACCAUUGGCUUCAGUAUUUCCACAUGUGACUUUAAAGUCUGCCAAGUGUUGAUCAGGGUUACCUAUUCCAUAAAAUGUCUUGAAUUUAGGGACGAUAUAUCCAUAAGGAAAUGAGAUGCUAUCGUAUUCUAUAGGAUAUGGGUGUCCUCUGCUUUUUCGUUUUGGAGUUCCCUCAUCAAUUGUUUGUUUGAUUUGCGAUGAGAUCAACUCCCAGAUCUCCUAUUUCGUUAUAAGAAAAUUGCCUUGGUGGUUUUGUGGCUCUGCUGGUGCUGGCUGCAACACGACAGAAGGCGUCAUCUGACCUGGCUGCAAUGUAUUCAUUGAUUGGGACACAGUUGGACGCGCUUCAUCUGACUAUGGCACAAUUUGGUUUCGUUAAUGUUUAAGGCUGGAUAACACAUUGAGCAGCAGCCCUAUAACUUCAUCUAUUUUUUAUAGAGAUUAAUUACAUCUCUAUUUUUUUUUCAUCAAUUUGUCUUUUUAAUGAUGCAAUCAUGCCAUCUUUUGGAUCAUUGGCCAUGAAAAUCGGUUCAUCUUCUUUGUCCACGUCAUGAGAAUUGCCGGGUAAUGACGUGUCCGCCGGUAAUCUUUGGAGAUUAGACGGCCUUGGUUCAUUUUGUCUUGCUGCUCCCUUUUCUCUACAAGCGGCAACUCUAGUAAGCAUCUGGUUUAGUGUCUCUUGCUCCUCUGAUUAGUCGAGCUCUUGGUGUCCAACCAUUCAAACAGUAUGAACUACCACAUUUUCUGCUUCAUUCUUAUUUUGUAAGCCUUUAGUCAUUAGGAUGGAUUUUUUUCGUACCCAUACUUUAUUACGAGAUUUCUGAUCUCCUAAUUUUACCAUCCGUCCCUUAAUGGCUUUGUAGGACUUAUAGAUUCUUUUAGAAAUAUUGUCUCUUGACAUUUCUUCAAAACUUCUAGUCGAUUCAUCUUUAUCGUCAACCGUAAAACGACAAUCAUCGCAUUCUUCUUCACGAACUUUAAUGUAGCAAAAGAGUUGUGAGUUAGAAGUGUGGAGUGAACAGUUGGGGCUCUUGGAUGUUAUUGUCCUUAGACCUAGCAACCUUUCCUUCAUGGAGUCGACAACGACUAUUCCUCUUAAGGACGUUCUGGUUGAAGGAAUAGUAAUCGUAGUAUCAUCAGAAAGUGCUAGCCUAUCGAAUACUGACGCUUUUUGCGUCCGGUCCUUUGGAAAUAUAAGCUUCUCUCAGACUCCAUCCUUCAAGAUGCAUGCUGGUAAGUGAGUCGUUCACCUAUGGGUUGGCAAGGAGAGUUGGGGAUGACCACAUUGGGUCUUCUUCCUUAAGAUGGCAGGCGAGGAAUAACAACAUUCGCAUAUCCUGUGAAGGAGCAACGGGAGUGAUCAUGUCCCUAGCAACAACAAAAGUUUGAGCCAUGACAGCAGUAGAAGUGAUCAUGUCCCCAGUAGCAAUAGAAGUGAUCAAGUUCCAUCGCAGCCACCACACGCGCAUCACCCGCUUCCGAUCCACGCACCCUUGCUAGCUCCGCCGCAUCAUCUCCGUCACCGUCGCACCGGAUUGUGAUCUCGUGCUCCCACCCGCCCUGGUGGAACUACACCCUCAUGGAGUAGAAGGCCUGAGCCAACACCACAUGCUCUUUCCGGCUUAGCAAGGAGAAUUUGGCAGCGGGGAUGCCGUCGUCGAGCGAGAGGUUGGCUCGCCGUCGACGGAGACGAAGAGGUAGAAAUUGGCGACCGGCUCGGGACCGGACAUGUACUUAGCAGAAGAGGCAUCCCAGGAAAGAAAAAUAGAGGGGACUCGGGAGGUGGUGACGGAGCGAGAGCCUUUCUUCUUGCGAAGGAGGUGGCACAUCAUAGUGGAGGGGAAGGAGGAGGAGGAGAAAAAGGAGUCGUCGAUGCUGACAGAGAGAGUAGGGCCCACGUGGCUCCUAGGCUAAGACACGCGGCUGAGCAACUCCUGGAAAGUAGGAGAGGAGACGAAGCGCUCGCGGUAGAGAGCGAUGAUAGCGCAUGGAGUGGCGCGGGAGUUGGGCCUAGGCGUGCCGAGGAGAAGUCAGGAGACGCUGACGCUGCCGAAGCACGACACGUCGGAGACGCACACCAUGUGCUCACCGAAGCAUGACGCCAAGUCCUUCAUCGACGACGCCACCACCGUGAGAAGGCGGUGACAACUGCUGCUGCUGCUUCUACUUCUGCUUCUUGCUCACCACUAUUUUGUCUGCUCUCAUCAUCAUUAAUUCAUUAUCAUUACCACAAACACAUAGUUGUCUUAGCUGGGGAUGAUUGGUUGCCUCGCUCCUCUCUUCAUUUCCCUCUCAACACCAACUCUCUUCAUUCUUUAUGCAUACGCUUUAUAUGACAUCAUAAUCUCUUCUUUGGGAGCAAAGUUAUAAGCAUAAAUAUGCAAUCUCUGAUAGUCGUGUUAAUUUCAAGUUUCCCAUAUGAAAAAUUGUGAGCUUUGGCCAGACAAAUUUCUCCAAAUGAGUUACAAAAAAAUUACCAUCCUACACCACCCAUGUACCUUCAUGUCUAGACCUCCUUUGGAAGCAGCCUAAACAUAAUAUUAGGGUGCAAUUUCUGCAUGCACUUCCUUAAGCAAUUAAUUUAUCUUUUCUUCUUGUAGGGGUUGCUUUGGCAUGCAUUAGAAUAGUUGAUCUAAUAAAUUAAUCUGACUUAGUGCUGCAUGAUUAACAUGAAAAUUAUCCGAAAGCUGUACUUUAAAGAAAUUAAAUCAAUAUUUCUUUUAAUUAUGGCCACUUUGGCUUGCACCUAAUCAAUUGAAAUAAUAAAUUAAUUUAACUUAGCGUGUGCCUUAAAUAAUCUAUCAACAAUUAUGAUUAUUUAAUGUCACGCCCCGGAUUACAUGUUUCCCCGAGCACACCAAUAGACCCGCUGUAUACAUAGAAAUUUUUUCUGUAUACGAAGCGAUAGCUGUAUCUGUAAAUAAAUCAAGCUACAACCAUAAGGUAACGAGCUGCUAAACUGAAAAUAGCAUAUAUAAAAAAAAACCUCGAGGGGUUCCAAUACAUACAAAAAGUCCACUACACACUCGCUCCAGAGAGUACCUCGACAACAUCCAUAUGUACAUAAAUACCCCAAAACUACCUGUGGGAGGUACUCCUCUAGCACUGCAACAAAGCUGGAAGGGAUCUAGCUUGCAACUUCCUUUCCAUGAUCAGAAUUAGCAACAGCAGCAGCCGCAGAAGAAGGCUCUACAAAAAGGGGUCAACAACUAGGUGUGAGAACUACUGCAAAAAUGAGUAGUCCUCAGUGGGUACCACUACCGAGCUCAACGGCUCACCCACUAAGUCUACAGAAAGUAUUCUUAAGGAUAGUAAAGAAAGCUGGUAAAACUCUACAGCUAUAUGCCACUAUACUAUCGCUAACCAACACUAGCUAUCUGUAGAUGUAAGCAAGAUGCAAUCUCUGACCCAAACUCACUAGAAACUGUGAACACACCCGACCCACCUGUCGAAGCUACACCAACUACCACCACGCUGGGUUGUUGGUGGAGAGUAAGUCCAACCAGGACACUACGACAUCAACGCAAACGCACAAAGCCCGACUUCGGAGUGGCACUCGUGGGCGUUACCCAACCGAGUAUGCAAGUGUGUCUCUGCCAAGCUCAAUCAGGCUCUCACAGGCUAUAAUCAAAGCAAAUGGAUAUAACUGGUCUAACAAUCAAAAUUCACGUGCCCUUGGCACAAUCUGAUGCAAGAACAACAAUCUGAGUCCACCGUCAAUCGCGACGGCACCCAACAGUCCGAAACAGUCUACACACUAUUGUAAAAUAAGCUCGGUAUCCCAGCACGAGCGUAAACUCAUCCUACACUAAUCUGGGUUUCCAUCGCAUACUAACAGUAAUGAUACAAAAGAACCAUAGCUCCUAAAGCUAAAUCUGGUAAUUUUCAGAAAAUGACAGUGUAAGGUUAUACUACUAGCUUAACUCCAAAUUCAUAUUUUAGUUCUAAUCUAUGAAUUCAAGUACUAGCAAGGAAAUGAAACCAACAAAACAUGUCGACGAUAUAAGAACUUAGGAGGUAUUUCGACGAUUUUGGUAAACUUCAACCACCUCGAAAAGCUUGUCCAACUACGGCAGAAGUCGAAAGAAGGGAAAAACACGCGCUCGCCCGAUCUCCAACGAAGCAACCGCGACGCACGCACUCUCCAAUGGCCCUCCAAAUCGACGUCGAAAAUCUCCCGAGCUUGAGCCGCGACCUCAACCACGUACGAGUCCACCAACUAUAGAGAGAGAGGAAAAGAAGAAGAAGAACCGCUCACAACCCUUUCUCUGUGAAUAUAAAAGCUGGGGAGAACCUUGGGUUGAUCGACACAUCAAAUGACCAAAAGGCCCCUCACCAACUCAAAAAUCCAGUUGGAGUACCGGUACCCAAUUUGGUUAUCGGUACUCUUCCUCUCAGCCAGCAAGCUCGCACACAAGGUACCGGUACCAGCCCAAUGCUUUACCGGUACUCAGCAUCAAUUGGCGCAACCCGAGAGCAUGCUGUCCAGGAUUUACACUAGGGUACCGGUACUCCCCUACAUGGUACCGGUACUCAAUACUGAAAACCUGCGCUUUGCAGAUUCCAAUGUCAAAACUCUAUGCUUGCGUCACACUGAGUCCGUUUUGCAUCCAUUUCACACGAAAACGACUCCGACUUGUCCCGACACUCUCUGGAUGUGUCGACAAGGCUCAAAUACUGAGAUCCAUGGGCAACCCAAAAACCAGGGAUACUACAUCCUCCCCCACUACAAAAAAUUUCGUCCUCGAAACUUAACGCAUACCUGAAUCCUGAGCCUCAAACAAGUAAGAGUAGGACUCCUGCAUCACCGUCUCCAGCUCCCAUGUCGCCUCAUGCUCCUUGUGAUGACUCCACUGCACUCUUACAUAAGGUAUGAUCCGGUUGCGCAAUUCUUUCGUCUCGCGAGUAAGAAUCCGCACCGGUCGCUCCUUAUAUCGCAAGUCCUCGCCAAGCUCCAAUGGAGUGAAGUCAAUCACGUGUAAGGGAUCAAACACGUAUCUUCUCAAUGCCGAGACGUGAAAAACAUCAUGAAUACCGGCCAGUCGUAGGAGUAGAGCAAUCCUGUAGGCUACUGAUCCGACUCGCUCCAAUACCUCGAAAGGGCCUACAAAUCGUGGACUAAGCUUUCCACGAACUCCAAAUCUGCGUAUCCCUCGAGACGGCGAGACUUUCAGAAACACAUGAUCUCCAACCUUAAACUCUAAAAGAGAAAAAUGAAAUCACGGGAUACUAAAUUGAUGCACUUUAAACCACAUGGUACUAAAAUAAAAAAGUGCAAAAUCAUAUGGGUAGUAUUUGAAGUUUUUCCUUAAUCAAAAGAAGAAUUACACAUGAUUUCUCUUCUACACAAAGUAGCUUCAACCCAAGUCCUGAAUCUCUCUCACCCCUCUUUCGUUUUCCAUAAACUCUCAUCCUAUGCACCGAUGCACAAGGUUUACUAACAACCCACGAUCCCGAAAGUGGCACACGUUCUCUUGCACCAAUGCAGUAGGCGCAUCCAAAAUCAUAACCACCUUGUCCAUGCCAAAUGGGCGUGGCUAAGCCAUACCACCCCCGAAAAUAAUGACAUGUAUGCUAUAUUUAUAGGUUACAUUAAAAGCUACCCAAGUCCUAAUUCAAUUAGAUUUCUAAUCAAAAUAAUAUUUAAAUCUGAAUUAAUUUACAUUGAAUAGAUUUAAAUAUUUAUCCUAAUUUAAUUAGAGUUCAACUACAAAACUAACCAAAUCCUAACAUGAACAUGAUGAGGCGCAAUAAGCAUAUUUCACAUUUAGGGCAUCAUGAAUAAGCAACUAUUCUUCUAUUUAAUUAGGGAUGUAAUGUGGGCCGUGCCGGGCUGGCACGACCCACAUUAUACGGGCCGAUUCGGGCCAAGGGUCGGUGGGGCCAAGGGUCGACCCGACCCGACCCAGUUAUUAAUUCGGGUCGGGCCGUGCCGGCCCAUUUUUUAAUUUAUUCUCAUAGUUUUUUUUCUGAAAUUUUUUUUAAGAAAAAUAAAGAAUUUUUUUAAAAUUAUAAAUUUGACUUAUAACUUUUACUUUACACAAUUAUACCUAACUUUUUGAAAACUAUUUUAUUAAAUUUUUUAAUAAUUUUUUAUUAUUUGAAGAGAAAUUGAUAUUUAAAAAAAAUAAUUAUAAAAUUUAUAUAAAGUUUGUAUUAAUUGUAUUAUAUAAUUACAUGAAAAAAAUUUAAAAAAUUAAAAAAUAUAUUUUUUCCAAAAAAUAAUUUUUUUAAAAAAUAUCCAACAGCUCAAAGACUGUUGGCCCACACCCGAAGGGUCUGCUAUGACCCUUGGGCGUUGGGAUUUGGGAGAGCUGAGAGAGAGAGAGAGAGAGAGAGAGAGAGAGAGAGAGGCCUGUGCACCUUUCUGGUAUUUGGGCCGUGCCAGCACGGUAGGCAUGGCCAUUCGUGCCGUGCCGUGCCGUGCUGGGCCACGCGCCGGCCUCUUAGCCCGACACGGCCAGGNGCCGUGCCGUGCCGGGCCGACGGGCCUUAGAGUGUCGGCCCAGCACGGCCGUGUCGAGUCGGGCGGCUCACGGAUCGUUCGGCCCGUUUUACACCCCUAUAUUUAAUUGAAGUAAAUACAUCGUAUUUGGUUCGCUUCUUUUUCACCCUGAAAUCGGAAUCGGAAUGGGCGAAUCCGUUUGUGGGUGUUUGGUACGCUGGAGUCCCAUUCCAAUUCCAAUUCCCGAGUGGAAUGGGAAUCCCCCAAUCACUUUUUUUUUCAAUCUGGCCUCUUAAGCCGGAUUAGAAGUUGAAUCCGGACGGAAUGGAUAUUUAUUCGGAUUAAAUUUAUUUUUUCAACUUUUUUAAUUAAAAUAUGAGUUAAAAUUUAAAAAUUAAAUAUAUAAUUUUAAAUUUUAAUUUGAACUUAAAUUAAAAAUUAAAUUUUAAUCAAGUAUUUCGAAUCUAACUUAUGAAUUUGAAUUUAAAUUAAAUUUUAAUUUAUAUGAAGUUUUAUUCAAAUUUUAUUUCAAACUUAAAUUAAAUUUAUGGAUUCAAAUUAAAAUUAAAAUUGUAAUUUUAAGUUUGAAUUUGAAUAAAUUAAAAUUUAGUUUCAUAUUUUGAAUUAUCCACUCAACUUCAAAGUUUAAUUUUUUUUAAAAAAAUAGAUUUAAAAUUUUGACAUUAUUUCAAAAUUUUGAUGUAAAUUUUUAAUAUUUAAUUUUUAAUUUGAAUUUAAAUUAAUAUAUUAUAAAGAUAAUGUUAGUAUAUUAAUUUGAUUACGUUUUAUAUAUCCACCUGAACCAAACACCGACAAUGAAAAUAAUUUAUUCCGAUUCCGAUUCAGAUGAUGAACCAAAACAGAAUUAGGUAAUGAGUCAUUCCGAUUUCGAUUCCAGCUUAUUUUAAUUUCGAUUCCGAUUCCGACUCCGACUUCGAACCAAACACGCCUUAACUCAUAUGAUUUUGCAUGGUAAUUAGUUAUUUUGUAAACAUAUAUAGUUAACAGGAAUUAAGGUUUAGUUAUUAUAACGUCGUGUGCAAAUCUGAAAGAUGAAGUCCUGCCCAAUUGAAGAGCUAGAUUAUCUCAAUGUGUGUCCAAAUCAAAACCCAAAAGCAAAGAUCAAUUACAAGCCCUAAGAGUACGUACGUCCCUCGUAAAUCAAAAAGAAAACAUAGGGCUACUAUAUAUCCUAAUCAGUACAAAAUAUCAGCAGUUGAGUUCUCUUUCAACUUUCGAACUUGUCAAUUUAUCAAAGGACACGUACAAUAAUUAUAGAUAGACCAUGCAAGUUUCAAAUCGUCAAAAUAUUCGGCUAGUUGAAACUUCACAAUCCUCUAAUUCACACACACAAAAAAAAAAACACUCUUUGGACCACGCGACCUUUAAAGUCUCCUCAAAUCAAUCUAAAUUAAAUCCACAUCAUAAUAAUUUUUAAACAAAUUAAAAGUCCACUAAAUGUGACCAACAGACAUUAAUAUAAGCAUGCAAAGGAUUAAAUACGAUAAAAUUUCAGAAAAAUUGGUAUAUAAACACAAACACAGAAAUAUGAAGAUAGACUAUUGAUACUUCUUUAUAGGAGGCCUUGAGUUUGAUUCCUAACACCUAUAAUUAAUACCUUGUAUCUAUGUAAGAAAAAAUAAUAAAUAUUAAAAAAAAAAAAAAACUCAAAACCACUCUAACUUUUAAGGCUUGUUUGGCUCAUAGAAUUUAAGAUUUCAGUUGAAAAUUAACGUUUCCGAAAUUACUAUCCUCGAAUAGAAUUGCGAUAUUUGCUGGAAUAUUUUUUUUUUGUUUAUUACGUAGAAUAUCUAGUAUUAUAUCAUUCUCAUAUUUGAUUCAACUGAGAAUAAUUUGGUCGUAUCAAUAAAUUUGCUAUGAUAACAUUAUUUAUUAUCUUUUCACGCCGAACUCGGUCAAACUGGAAAUAAAUAUUUUAGUCCAUAGAAUCAUAAUUCAUAAAAAAAUUUAACUUUAAGAUAUCAUGAGAAUUUAAAUUCUUAUAUAAUGAAACAAACCUGAGAAAUCUCAAAUUCAAUCCACGUUUCUGAAAAUCUAAGUCAUAAUGAUUUAGAUUUCUGAAAGAGUCGGUCAUGUUUUCUACGAUCCAUAUGAUAUUGAGAAAAAUAUACGCUCAUUAAAAUUCUUUGUCAUAGUAUAUAUUUCAUACUAUAUGUACUUAGGCGACCAAAAAAGCGAAGAUAAGUAAAUGCAUCCCUACUUCCUCAUCAUGUGGACAUUAUUUUCAUGUUAUGUCCCACAUAUGUGAAAUGUCUUUCGUGACUUUUUGACUAUGUCAUUAGCUGAAAGAAUUGAUAUUGUUAUUUUUGCAUAUUUUUUAUGGCUAUAUGAGUGAUGCGGCAUUACGAGGCAUUGUAAAGAAAGCAAUCAGUUCUUAACUUAAUGGCAUGAGGGCUCACGAAAGACUGGUUGGAUUACAUUGAGAUAUUUUAACUUAUAUUGUUAAUAGAUUGUGUCACUUCAGUAUAGUAAGAUAAUCAUGAGUAUAGUGUCAUAAUGUGCACAACAAAGGUUAGCACGGCUCCUUGAGUGAUUAGAGAUGCUGAACCUAAUGUUUUAAUAGUUUAGGGAAUCACGAGUCUAAUAUUCUCUUUUGGAGAUUGAUGUCUCUAUGUUGCCCUUAUGCGGUUUCUUAUAUAGAGCUCCCAAAAUGCAAGCCAAUUUGUUUGUCACACUAUUCAUUUUCCUAUAUGAAUGAAAUUAAUAGUGGUAUAAUGUUGAGGAAAUAGUUACGAUGGCAUCGAUCCUGUUAUUUGCGAGAGGUAGAUGUUGGCAUUUGGUUAAACCGAAUCGGGUGUCCCCAUAAUCGUGCUCGAUCCAAUGGUUAAUUAUUAUAUUGUCUAAUUAGACUAGACUUAAUCUCACUUUUAAAUUGGAAAACUAAUUAGAGAUAUAUAUUCUAGUCAUAUUAGAAUAACAAUCAAAAAUCGAUUCAGCCUAAUUUUUUACUUACGUAUUAGAGUUUUUGGGACACCUUAUAAAUAUAUAUGCUAUUCUCUAAUAGACAUAACAAGAAAAAUAAAAAAAAUACUCAUAAAUUCGUGUUAACUUUAUUAGCCAUCUUGUGAGAGAAAGAAACUAUAUCCUCCUUUAAACUAUUGCUUCUAGAGAGUCGUGAACAAUGGAUUAGAGAUCUAGCUCGUUCAUAGCUCGAUCUACAGUGGGUUUGGAGCAUUAGAAGAUCUCCGAGGACGAUCCGAGGAUACGUGGAUCAAUCUCUACGAUCCAAAAUUUAUCGCCUUCUAGUGCGAGUCACUUCCGCAAAAGGUACGAACGAAUACUUCUGUCGCGUUCUACACUUUUCAAAAAAAAUAAAGUUUAUGAAGGACGGAUCUAAAAUUUUUAAUUCUAUCAAAUUUCUUACUGAUAGCUUGAUUUAGGCUUUGUUUGGUUCGGUUAUAAAUAAGAACUGCUUAUUCUAGGGAUAGGUAUAAAUUCAGGUAUAAGUAAUAACUAGACCAACUUUGCAUUUGGAUGAAAAUUGGAUUUGUUGCUGGGAAUAAGAAAAUUAACAUUUGGAUGAAAAUUGAGUUGUUUCCGGAAAUAAGAAACAUAGCGUUUGGACAGAUAAGAUGGAAUAAAAAAAAUACUGAGUAACUAUAAAUAAAAAGUAAUGAUAUUACUCCUCUCAUUAAAUUUGAAUUUAAAUUUUUAAAUUUUAUAUUUCAAUUUUUAAGUUUUAAAUUUUAAUUUUUAAAUUUUAAAAUUCAAAUAUAAAAUAUAAAAUAUAAAAUCUCAAAUUAUAAAUUUUAAAAUUUUAAAUUUUAAAUUUUAAAUCAAAUUUAAAUUUAAAAAUUAUAAAAUAUCAAAUUUAAAUAUAAAAAAUAUCAAAUAUCAAAUUUUAAAUUUGAAAAUUUUAGAAUUUAAAAUUAUAAAUUUUAAUUUUGAAAUUAAAAUUGUAAAUUGUGUAAUAAAUUUAAAAUUCUCUCUCUCUCUCUCUCUCUCUCUCUCUCUCUCUCUCUCUCCCCCAUUCCAAGAACAAGCUUUUUACACCUAAGAGGUGGAAACUAACCAAAAAUAUUUUAUGUCGGAGACAAGAGGUCGAUGACAUUAUGGAGCAGGAAACACCGGGAGGCUUUCCUCCUAGGAUCGCUUGCACUACCUUAUGCCGUCUUGGAUAUCUGUAGGGGAGCGUACGAGCGGAUGAAGGUUAGUCUUGCGACGGAUGGCCCGCCAUAAAGGGCAAGGCUCGCGAAGGCAUGUGUGCUCAACGGGAAUUCGCGGGGCGCAGUACCCGCGAAGGUCGAAGGAGAUGGAACUCUAUAGGAUCGCUAAAGGGAGGCAUGCCGAAGGAGAACUCAUGGGGCGCGAAGUCCUUGGAGACUCGAGAGGGGCGAAACCCAAUGUGGCAAGCGGUAUCGGAAUCCGUAUAGUGAACCUGGAGAGGCCGGACCAAUGGUGUGUGCGGCCAGGUGUGCUCGAGCCAUGGAGGGGUCAGAUGGGUAGCAAUGCGGAGAGAGGCCGACUCGUUUGUAUGGGGCCUUAUGUGGCGAACCUAUGGGAAUCAAGGGCGCGGAGCGCCAUGGCAACGCGAAGGUUGUGGGGACAGUCAAGAAGCACGGUGUGAGCUUGUUGGCUUCCUUGCCAGGAGCGUUGAGACACGAGUGUCGUACGGGUCUUAUGCGAAGCACAGAUGUGCGAAGCAUGGGCGUGCGGGGUGUCGGGCUAUGCCGCUGGCAUUGGGAGACAGGCGAGCUUGUGGCGCACACUUAGGUGGCUUUUCGGAUGUAUGCCGUUGGACUGAGCGAGCAGGCCGCGUAUACGGUAUGGCCGUAGAUGCUGUCAGGCGCAUGAGGCACAAUGUAACCUUGCUUGGUGGCCAACCUCAGUAUUGGGUUCGAUAAAUCCACUGUGAUAUCUUAUGAGUUCGAAGCGUUUUACGAACCUAACCCUAAGGCAACAAUUCAGAGUUUCUACCCGUUCGGAAGAGUUCAGGAUUGUGCCUGUUCAGAAGGUUUGAAUUGUCGCCUUAGGGUUAGGUUCGUAAAACAGUUCGAACGAGGAGACGCUCUGACUAUCGAGUUGGUUAGCGGACGUUAACGUGGGGAGCAGCCUGAGGAACUCAAGGGUUACUUGUUGGGNUUCCCAACGAAUAACCCCAAUACUGAGGUCUCUCUCUCUCUCUCGUUCCAGGCACAAGCUUUUUACACCUAAGAGGUGGGAACUAACCUAAAAUACUUUAUGUUUGGAUAUAAAGGAGGGGUAUAAGGGCUUAUUCCCCUCCUUAUAUUCGAUCCAAACACUAUCUUAAGGAAUAGAAGGAAAUAAAACUGGAAAAAAUAAUAAAAUAAAAUUGAUCUUCUUCUAUGAUUCAGUGGUUAAUAUAUUGAGCGCUUAAAUGUACAGAAAACCUCUCAACUAUAGAAAGUUCAGAAAUAGGCCCUUAUUUUUUCUUUUUUUUUUGGUGUUUGGACUAAAUUGCACUAGUGAUACCAAUACUUAAAAUAAAGUUUUGCUUUGUUACAUAUAAAAAUAUUUAAAUACAGUUCGCUACAAGUUUAAACUUUUAGAGAAUAAAGAUUAUUUCGUAUUAUUUAAUAUAGUAUCAGAGUCUUCGCUUCACAGCCUCUGAUCCAAAUGGUUAAAUUUCUUGGUCUCCCAAAAAUUUUAAAAUUAUUAGAUUCUUAAGAUCACUUUUGAUUAUCGGAAUAGUUAUUGCUUGUGCCUAGUGCAUCUACACAUCUGUGCCCAACGAAUCUAAUGGCUAGUUGUCUAUUCAUAUUUCAAUCUAAGCAUGUAAUUUCUACACAAGAAUAAAAUAUGGCCUUAAAGAUAAUUGAGACUGAAAGAUGAAAGAGAUUGAGAUUAGAGUUUGAAAGAUGAUGAUCUACGUGGUGCACGAGUGUACGGAUAAUUAUAGGAUGAUUAAUGAUUUUUUUUAGAAGUACAGCUACUAUACUCUUAUAAAUAUAUAUCUUUUGUACUCAUAAAUUUUCGGCAAUCAGAUCCAUCCAUUUGACCAUUUCUACUCGUUAGAUUAUAAUAUUCAACUAACCACCCGCUCAACCUUAAGGAACCACUAUUAUUCUAACAGAGGUUCACUAUCAUUCUAACCGUACAUCACUUUAUCCAACGGCGAAAAAUUUAUAAGUACAAAUGGAUUAAUACUCAUAAGAGUAUAGUAGCCCUAGCCUUUUUGUAGUAGCUGAUAAUACUAAAUACAAAAGUAAAACAGUUUGAACAUCAAAUGUCAAUUUAAAAGUUUAAGGACCAAAAGGAAGAUCGAUCACACGUUGGGAGACUACUAGCUUGCGUUUUAUUUUAUUUGUUUUGUUUUUAAUUAAUUGAAGUAAAACACUUUGUUCGACAACAAAAAUAAUUAGAGGCAUAAAAUUUGUCAAAAUCUCUAAUUAAUCUAAUAAAAUUGUCAGUUUAAUUGAAUGAAACAACAAAAUCAAGGGGCAAAAAAAAAAAAAAAAGAAAAAAAAAGGGACGACUCAAAUUUUUUGCCUUGUUGUGAAUCAUCCGAGCACUCCUAAUUCCAAGUCAAGGUAUAGACAAGUCUAAAGUGGAAGUGCAAAGUCUCCUCCAUUAUCUUUAGUAGAAACAUGCGACUUACUUUAUUUGCCGGGUCUAACUUAAGCCCUUCUUUUCCCAUAACCCUUUAUUAGAAUCCUUUUUCAAUCAACAGGUCAACUGAGAGGUCUUGCAAGUUAAACUGGUUUUACAUCAUACAUAAUAAUGUUGCUCGAUCUCUCCUCCUCAAUCUAAACAAAUAAGAUAAUGAAUUGUUAUCAGUGCAUGUGCUAGCUCCCAUUAAUUAAUUCCAUGUCUACUCCAUUCUACUUCCUCCUCUCCCUCUUCCUCUUCCUCUUCUUCAACUUCCAUGCUGCCAAUCCUUCUCCUCCUCCUCCUCCUCCUCCUCCAUGCCCUACAGCCCAGAUCUCAUGUGGAGGUAUCACUUGGGCUAUUAAGCCUCCUUUCUUCACAAACAGUACCACAGCUUCAGACCUGCAGUGUCAAAAGCUUCACCUCAUCCAGUGCGUGUAUCAGAGACUACUGGUCCAGUUCUAUGGCACAGGACUCUUCUAUAUUGUUAGAAAUAUCUCAUAUUUUGAUCGGACAAUUCGAGUCGACGAGCUCGACCUUUACUCCAGCACUUGGAAUUCUAGCUGUUCUUUCCUCUACAGUUUCAAGAAUCCCAGCCCUAUUAGUAAUCUUAGCCGACUUACUUUACACAUAAAUGCCACCCUCUCUUCAUUCAACUGCAGUAUGCUGGAGAAUGAAUAUAAUAAUUACCAGAACAUCUUUGGCAGCCAUCUCCUUGGUCCUCUUUCUUGCCAGAAUUACACCCUUUUCUUUUCCCAAAAUCCGGAAGAUCAACACGAGCGUAGUCAUCUUCCUGCAUAUUGUUCGCGCAAUAUUUGGGAUCCUCGGUUCCGCUGGAAUUUGUCAUUUGCGGGAGAUUCUGAUAGCAUCUCUGUGCUAUCGGGCGGUUUCUCUCACGAGUGGGAUCUUCACCCAGAUUGCUUCAGUUGCCAAGUUACUGCUGAUAGUAGCUGCGCUACGAGUGCAGAUUCACGCGAUCCAAAUCCCCCGUGCGGAUGCGCCAAGCAAUGCCAUAUUGCAAAAGGUUCUCUUUAUGUCCUUCAUUUAUUUAAUGCGUACUUUGAUUGAUCUUCGAUCUAAGCUUUUUUUCUAUCGAUCGCCUUUGAAAGUGCUAAUUAAUGGUUAGGAAAUAUUGCACUAAAAUCCUGAAGGUGGUUGGUAUAUAUAUAUAUGAUGUUCAAUGCAUAAUUUAGUUGGUAUUGUUGUUAUGUGGUUGCAGGGAGUAAGAAGUUGGGAAAAUGGAUUAUAAUAGGUAAUGUAUUUCUCCAACACAGACUCUUUAUCUUCUUUUCUAGAAUUGAUGUGAUCAUCCUAUUAUACUGAUCAGUAAUAUUCACACACACACACACACACACAAAAAGAGACUAAUUAUUUUGUAUUUAAAAAUGAACUUGAUUAUUUUCGAAAUUAAGAAAAAUAGAGUUUGGAUGACUAGAUUAUAACAGUGAUAAUUAAUAAGAAUGAUACAAUUUUAAAACAAAAAUAUUUUAUCUAAUUACUGAACAUCAACAUACUAAUAAUAAAAUAACAAUUUGGUAAGUUAAUUAAUCAAUUACGUACGAAUAUUGUAUAUAUGAGAUAAUAAGAAUCACAUUAUUAGUUAAUUAACUAUAAAAAGUAAGUUAAUAUAUUAAUUAAUUAACUAAUUAGCUAGUUAAUUAUGAUUAACAAAUUAAUUAACUGUCCAACUAGUUAAUUAAAUAUUUAUCAAAUUAAUAGUUAAGUGAUUAAUUAGUUAGCUAAUUAAUAAAUAAACUAUUAUAUGAUAUAUUAAUCAACAGUAUUUUAUAAUAUUUUACGGCUUAAAUUAAAAUUUUAGUUGGGGAAUAAGAAAAGGAAAUCAUAAUUCCAUCUACAAGGUUAGAACUACUAUUCCAACCGUUUUAACGGAUUAAUUUAGAAUAACCUGUUAUGAAAACAAAUUAAAAAUACUAAUAGUGUUUAGAUGAUUAAUAAGGAGACAAAGAAAUUUGCUUGGGAUGAAAAUCCAAAUUGUCCAUUUGAGACUGUAGAAUCUGUCACCACGGGGGCUUCAGAUCUCAUAUCUCAGGGCAGUUACUUAAUUAGAACAGUCAUUGACGUCAGGCUCUGUUCAACUUUAGGCUUUUUUCAAACCUAUUAAUUAAAAAAAAUCUAAUAUAUAUCAAGAAAAUUGCAGAAAAAAUUAAAAUAGUUUUUUUGAUAAAUUUUAGUUUUUAAACUUAAUUUCAAAUUAUUUUUUGAACUUUCAAUUUUAAACUAAUAUAGUUUUUUAGAUAAACCUGCCAAAGGUUUAGACAAUCCUUACAGGAUUUUUCUAUUAAAAAUAAAAUAAAUUUAUCUAAAAUAAAACAAUUAGGAAUCUAAAAAAUAUUAAAAAUUAAGAAUUUGAAAAUCAAUUUAACAUUAAGUUCAAAAACUUAAAGAAUAUUUUUAACUUUUAAAUUUUUUUUUUUUUUUGAGAGAUAGGUAGCACGCUACCUGUUUCGUUUAUUUCAUUUAGAAAGAAACUUAGCUAGACAUGUGAAUCAACUAGAAUUCAAACUUGGGACCUCGGGUACCAACCACCAAGUCCUUUGCCACUGGCUCUAGGGACAGUCGGUUAACUUUUUAAUUUUUGCUUGCAAUUUUUUAAUGCAUACUAGAUUUUGUUUUGAAAUGUGGAAUUUCACACUUAUGUAGCGACAAAUCUUCUAGUUCAAAUAUAUAAUUUUGUAUUCCAUUUUCAAACAAUUUUUCUUUUUGAGAAUAGGUAGCACGCUACCUGCUUCAUUCAUUGAAGAUAUGAAUUAGGCUACAGGGGUGAGACAACCAGGGUCUCAAAAAGAGAGAGAGAGAGAGAGAGAGAGAGAGAGAGAGAGAGAAAGAAAGGAACACAGUCAUAAAGAGUCCUUCCAAGAAUGGAUCAGCUGUUUGAGCCUACGCACCACCGAAACCGGGUCCACCUGUACGUUACGAAAGAUUAGGUUGUUUCGGGCCUUCUAGAUGGUCCACCAGCAUGCAGCCAAAUCAGCUAGUCCGUUCCUUCUAUUUAGUGCACCAUACCGUCACUUCCACCUAUCCCAGACAGCAUGAACAUCAUCACCCAGGUCCUCCGGCUAAACGUCGUCGAGUCCCAAGACCAUGAUAAAUUUGAUAAAUACGCAUUGGGUGAACAGAUGAUCCACUGACUAGUCAAAAACCCCACACAACGCACAAGCCAUAUCUCCAGUCCAUCCUGCCCUCCCCAUGCCCCAUAGUACAGCUAGUAACUCUCUCUCUGAGCUCCAAAAGGGUGGGGCGCAGGCUCGGUGGUGCUGAACCCUCGUCGCCCAGGAUCCUAUUCCAAUUCCAGUCAAUGCUUCACAAUCCCUGACCAAUAUUGGUUUGCAAUCCAACUGUGUGUACACCUCCGGAAAGGACGCUUGAAAUGUGGUAGCCCCACACCAUAUGUCGUGCCAAAAAUCGACCAAUCUUCCAUUGCCCAGAUUAUAGUUACUCCUCUAUUUGAAGAUAUCUUUAGUGGUUAAAACCCCUCUCCACCAAUAUGAGGGAGGCCUGAAUCCUCUUCCCUCCCACAGUGGCCUUCUUCUGCGGUAAAAUAAGGCCCGGAUAAUAUUACUCCACGACAAAUGAGGUGCAGUAUGAAAACGCCACCACCAUUUGACGAGAAGCGCCUUAUUCAUGACAGCUACAUCUAGAAUGCCUAGUCCCCCUGCCUUUUUGCUCAGACAAACGUUCUUCCAUGCAACCAGGCACCCCUUGCCAGGGUAAUUGCUUUGGCCACUCCAGAAAAAGUCUUGACGCAAUGCUUCAAUACGCUUGAUCACCCAACUAGGUGCUUUAAACACAGACAUAAAGUAGAGUGGUAGGUUGGUGAGCACCGCAUUGACCAGAAUGAGCCUACCCCCUCUAGAGAGAAGUUUGGCCUGCCAUCCAUCAAUUCUAAGCUGCAAUUUCUGAAUAACCCCUCUCCACACCUCCUUUGUGGGCAGUUUAGCUGAGAGAGGGAACCCCAGAUAAGUGGUGGGAAGAGUACCAACCUUGCAAUUGAGCAACCGCGCAAGUCUUGCAGCUUUGCCCUCAAUUCGUCCCAGAUAAUAUAACUCGGAUUUUUCUCUGUUAAUUUUCAACCCUGACGCCCACUCAAAAAGAUUCCACAUCAGUUGCAAAUUCCUCAUGUACCGACCUCUAGCCACGGAGAAAAAGAAAGUAUCAUCCACGAACUGUGUAAGCGCAGUUGUACUCUCGUGUGAAGGGCGAAUACCCUUGAAGAGGUUGUUUGCGGUUGCCUUAUUGGUUGCGAGGCACUCCGCCACCAACAGAAAAAGGAAUGGUGAAAGAGGAUCCCCUUGUCGUACACCCCUCUUAGUUUUAAUCCAGUUAGAUGCCUCUCCGUUGACCAAAAUUGCUACUUUAGCGUUGCAUACACAUUGUUUGAUCCAUCCACACCAUUUCUCCUCGAACCCCCACCAUCGGAGGAUACUGAAAAAGAAGGGCCAAUAAAUCCUAUCAUAAGCCUUUUCAAAAUCUACUUUUAUACCGACCCCCUCCGUAGCCUCCUUAGUACCCAAUCCAAUUAAUUCGGAAACGGUGACAUGCGUAUCAGUAAUGUUCCUCUCUUUUAAGAAAGCAGAUUGAUAGGGAGAUAUUAGCUUGUUCAUACCAGCUGCAAGUCGAUUAGCCAGGACCUUAGAGAUGAUCUUUUGGAGACCAUUAAUGAGACUGAUAGGGCGAUACUCAUUUGCACAUUUCACCCCUUCUUUCUUGGGGAUUAAGCAGAUAAAGGAAUAAUCAAGAGGGAUAGUAGAAAUUGUGCCCUCGUACAACUCCUGGAACACGUUUAACAGGUCCCCUUUAAGAGUAUCCCAUAAAGUUUGGUAAAAUCUUAAUGGGAACCCAUCAGGUCCCGGUGCUUUAUCGCUACCCAGAUGAAACACCGCUGCUCUAAUUUCGUCACUACUGAAUAUCUCCGUUAAACGCCUCCCCACGAGGGCCGAAACCCGUCUAGAAGUAAAAAGGCCACUCUAAUCGCCGAAAGCGUGUGGAGCUGAGAUUUCAACCGUAAAAAGGUUUUUAAAAUACUGAAGGAAGUAAUUCUUCUUCUCUUCCUCCGAUUGAUAUACCUGCCCAUUGUCAGUUAAGACUCCAAUUCCAUUGGCCCGUCUUCUCCCAUUAGCAAUACUAUGAAAGUAUUUGAUGUUAUUAUCCCCCUCACGCAACCAGUGCUGAUUGGCUCUUGCUCUCCACAAGGCUGCUUCAUCAUUCAGAACACCCUGUAGUUUUACUUUUAUCUCGUUUCUUCUCGCGUCACACUCCUCAGACAGUGUUCCAAGCUCCUCCGCUAAAUCAAUCUGGUGAAUUUCCUCCAUUAAGUAAUUUUUAUGUUCCCGAAUGCUGUAGAACUCAUUGUUGCACCAUUCCUUAAUCCUUUGUCGACAGCGUCUCAGUUUUGCUGUAAACGUAAGCACUGCAGAGCUUUUUGUCGCUCCCUCCGCCCAACAUCCAGGUACUUUUGUUAGGAACCAGUCAUGAUUAAGCCACGCCUCCUCGAAUCGAAAGAUCUUCUGGCGCCCCUUGUUGCCUCACUCAACCGUUAGCAGUAUAGGACAGUGAUCCGACGUGACGCGAGGUAAAGCAACAACCUUAGACAGUGGGAAGGCUUGGUCCCACUCAGUAGAAAUAAGGAAACGGUCGAGCCUCGCAAGAGUUGGGUUUCUUUGCAUAUUGGACCACGUGAAGGAUUGAUUCAUCAUCGGCAGAUCUAUAAGUGCUAAAUCACUUAUAAGAUUGUUAAAAAGCAUCAUGUUUCUAGCGCUCCAAGUCUUUUCUAGCGCUCCAAGUCUUCCCCUUCCGCUCCUCUUGUUUUCUAAUACUGUUGAAAUCGCCGCAAAUGAUCCAUCGCCCCUCACAAUGCGUUUUCAGUUGCGCCACUUCUGAAAAGAACUCCUUCCUAUCCCAUGUCGCAGGCCCAUAAACAUUCGUGACAUAGAAAUCCAUUCCGGACUUGACUUGUGAAAGUAAGACAGUAAUCGAAUAUUUUCUCACUAGGACAUCUCGGCCAAUGAACAAUCGAGAAUUCCAACACGUGAUGACUCCCCCAGAGGUGCCGUCAGACUCGAGGUAGACACAUUUGUUAAGAAAAGUUCCACCAAUACUACGCAGAAAGGAGUUAGACACGAAGUUAACCUUGGACUCUUGCAAACACACUACCCUGUUACAAAGCUUGGAGAUAACCGCCCUAACGGCAUUACGCUUCGAGGUGCUGUUAAGCCCUCUAACAUUCCAACUACAGACACCUAAUAUAAAACAGAGCUAGAAACACCCAAAAACCAGCACCCAAAAACCAACAUCCAAAAAGAUGCCCACAAACCAAUACGCUGCUCCCCAUCUACACGCACUUGGUCACAAACUCUUCGAAUUUCCUCGCCUCGGCCUCACCUAGACUUACCCCAUAGAGGCGGCUCUUGCGCAUAAGGACUUUGACUGCCAUGCCGGCCCCACUCCCGUCCCCACCCUCCCGUUGAUUAGCCUUCCUAAUCAUCGCCUGCUGCAACACCGAGGUCUUCCCCCCCUUCGUCAAACGCAAACUGCUCCUUGAGCGGCUAAGUCCAGUCGAUUCAGACUGGCUAAGACCAGUCAAUUUAGUCCUGGGGUCUCUAAGCUCACAGGUCUGGUCCCCCCUUUCCCCCACUUCGAUGUGCACCUCGGGAGUCAACGGGGACCCCAGCCGACCAAACUUGCGGGCCCAGUCUCCAUCCCCCUCCACAUCUACUAAGCAAGCCACCUGGCAAAGUGGCCCACCAUCUCGACUCCAGCCCUCCCGGCCGUGAACCGCCUCCUCAGUCAACAUGAUCUGCAUGGUUGGCAGGCCACACCUCUGGUGGGCCCCCUUCUUACAUCCCUUCUCGAUCCCUCGGCAGUUGAGCCCUACACUUGGGCCGGGAGAAAAGCGCCAAGCAAGCAACCCCAUGCACAUCAAGCCAGACACACGGUCACUUGAACCCACAGAAACAGACAAAAGCAUUACCCCAGUAUUCACCUAAAGACCCUGCUUCCACACUUGUACUCCCAAGGCUUGCACCAAGUCAACUAAGUCCUUGGGCCCUUCAAUCUUGGGAUUCGGGCCAGACCCAUCCCUAUUCCCGGUAUCAGGAAAUAGGGAAAUGAUCCAGUAUCCCCAACCCCUGUGGCCACUUUCCUUCUUCACGAAAUCGAAGCAACUCAACUUCUUCUUCUCCAUUCUCGGUUCUUGUGCGACCCCGUCCUCGAUCGGCUCACCACCGAGGACCGUUGUGUGCGCCCCAGCACCCUCGAUCGAUGCGCCACUGGAGAACGUUGCGUGCCAUCGACGACCGCCUCGCACCGCCGUCUCAGCCAGCUCUCGAUCACCUCCGCCAUUCGUCGCCUUCCUUCCCCAGGUCUGGCGAUCACCGUCUCCCAGUUUCGUGGUUCCACCCCUCACUCGCUCCAUCAGACGGCACGCCCGAUCGGCUGGGGGUGCUCGAGCCUCCCACGUCCAACGAUCACCAUCUCCCCACCGCCCGAAUCUGCCCCUCACCCACUCUUUCCGGCGGCUCACCGGAUCGGGUGGCAAUGGUCGAGCCUCCCGCGGAGCCAUCGCUUCCUCCACUUCGCUCUCUCUCGCGUCCAUGUCGUCUUCUGCGGCCCCCUGUUCCUCCUCAUCAUCAUGAUGAUGGGCGUUAUCAGCAUCAUCUUCAUCGAACUCCCCUCCCGCCGGUCCAUGCUGUGGCGGCUGUGGCGGUUGUGGUGGGUCGCCAUCCUCCCCGUCGUCGAUCCUCUCCCAACUCUCAAGAUGAGUCAUGACGGCGAACCGUUCCUCGCCCAACACAAUGGACAAGUUUUGAGGAACCUCGAGAAGCGAAUCGAGAACAACCUGACAACGAAACGCUCGCAAAUCCAUUGUGGCUCUGCAGGUAGUCGUCCGCCCUUCACGAAGCGGUCGAACCCCCCCCCCCCCUCCCACGAUCGCCGCCACCGGAGGGAUGGUCCAGCAUUCGAAGGGGAGAUUAAUCAGCCGGAUCCAUGCCCGGUACCUCCCCCGAUGCGGCUGGGCAUUCCAGUGCCUCCCCCAAGGAUGGCAUCGCAGCCAAAAGUCGCCUAAUGAUAGCACUUCUCUCCUAAGAAGGUCAGCGGCAGGGACCGACUCCGACAAGAAGAUAGCAAAGUCCCUCUCCCUGUACCGAGCGACUGCAAAGUCAUCAGUGUACCCCCCAAACCUUCGCGCCAUCGCACUUUUGAUAGUGGACACAGGAUCAAGGCCGAGAUUUGCAAGGCGCAGAACAUCUGCAAGGAUCGCGUUACGACGUAACUCCUGACGGCGGAGGUACUCCUCCGUGUAAGGGAUGAAAACCUUCGUCACCGAAACCCGACCCGGACCUCGCCAACGCUGGUAAGGCCGAUACAUAGCCUCGUUCACCUUAUAUUCUUUCUUACCUAUGCACUGGUACGCUCGAUGUCCAGAUCUUCGGCAGUUCUGGCACCGAACUGGAUCCCGGCAGUCAGCUACAAGAUGAUCUCUAACCAGGCACCGUAAACACUUCCUGACGAGUCGCUUAGACCCCUGGGUAACACCGAGUUUCUUGGUAGUUUUGACAGGAAGAGGUGGGCUGGCCUACCCCUCUGCAGCAGCACCUCUUUAUAGGUCGCUCGAGUGUCGAAGGGGAAGUUACUAACCCCACCGUCCGACCUACAUCGCCCUCCGGGUAACAGGCCCGUCUUUCCUUCUCAGCGUUCGAUAUUAACUCCCUUCCCUUGCUCGAUAUCAAUUCCCUUGCCGUAAGCAUGCAAAGUCCCUUCGUCUCCACCCUGCCUUCUCAAAUCCUUCAAAGCAGCUUUGAUCUCCUCGUCCGCCGCGUCUGCUCGAGAUGAAGAUUUACCUCUUAAAUGUCCAUUAACUAUCCCAGAUAGUAAAUCCUGCCUAUCUCCCCGGGUAGGUAGAAUGCUUUUCUUUCCAUCAAUGUCCCCACCCACCUUCGCUAGAGCCUCACCAACCUCGUCUGCCCACACCAGCCGCUUCUUGAUCUUCUUCCCCUUCGCCUUGCUUCGUUCCCUCUCCAUUGAUUCGUAACUUUCAUAUAUUGUUACUACAAAAGUCCAGAAAUACUGAUCUUCGCAGCGUGGAUACUGACGGAGGAGGAGAGCGAUAAGAAAGCCGUGAGGAGGAGGAGGAGGAGCCAUUUUCAAACAAUUUUUGUCCCUAAACUCUGGUAUAUUCAUUUGAGAUUGUGGGAUCUAUCACCGCGUGAAGCAUGUGGGCUUCAUAUCUCAUAUCUCAAGGCGCCUUAGUUAAUAAGAACACGUAUUAAUGUCAAACUCCCUUCAACACUUAGCAUGUUCAAACUUUUUUUGAACCUGUUAAUUAAAAUAACAUAAUAUAUAUAUAAUAAAAUUGCAAAAAGGAAUAGAAAUAAUUUUUUUGAUAAAUUUUUAGUUUCUAAAGUUAAUUCCAAAUUAUUUUUCAAACUUUUAAUUUUUAAAUUAAAAUAGUUUUUUAGAUAAACCCACCCGAGAUUUAAGCUUAAUUUGGUAUUGAGGUCUAUCUAACGCUAUUAGAUAAAAUGGAGUUAGAAAAAAAGCAUAUAGAGAUAUGCUGUGGAACGCAAUAUUACGUACGGAAAAAAACAGGGUAUUUUCCCAUCGUACUUUCUCACCGCAGUUAACGCAAUCUACUCGUGAUCCCAAACGAAGCCUUAAACAACCCUUAGUAGGUUUUUAGUAUUAAAAAUAAAAUAAUUAGAAAUUAAAAAAAUUAAAUUAAAAAUUUAGAAAUUCAUUUAUGAGGCUGUUUUGACUUCUGUAAAAAUGACCCAAAAAUGGGUUUCAGCUCAGAAAAUUAUUUUCUUCAUAUUUGGAUUUCCAUAAAAAAAAAUUUCUUAUUAAAUUAAUAUACAAAUUUCAUAGAAAAGCUGAGUUUUCUUUUGCCGACCCUAUUAAGUGGGUCUCAGGAUUCCGAUCAACAGUCACCGAAAGAUCGUCCAAUUAUCGCACCGACUAGUCAAAAUGUUGCUUCCUACGAUCACGGCUCACAAGACUAUGAACUCUUUUUCAGACUAUGAACUCUUUUUCUAGUGCGGUCCACGAAGGCAUCGUGGACCACUUGCAUUAUUAUUAUUAUUAUUAUUAUUAUUAUUAUUAUUAUUAUUUGAACCAGACCACUUUGCUUUAUUUUUUUUGAACCAGCUCAUUUAUACAAUAUACAUGUAUAUUAUUCAAUAGAUAAAUUUUCAAAAAAUAAAAAUAAAAAUGAAAAUUUUCAUUUCUAAAAAUAUUGAUUAAAAUAUGUUUUAUGUAGAAACUUGUAUUAAAAAAAUAAAUAAAGUCACCAAUUUUUCAACCAACUAAAAAAGCACGAUUCGAAAACUAUUUUUCACUAUAUAUAUUCAAUCAAAAUGCUAGGAACCAUAAAACUCAUUUUUCAUCAAAAUUUUAUUUAUUAUAGUUUUACGUUCAACCAAACAUGCUCUAGCCAAGCGUUCGUGAAUUAAGCUUUCUAUAUUACUUUACUUUUCCUUAUCUUAUUACCGCCCCAAAAUAAAUAAAUAAAAGAGAGAAAAAUCCUCAUGCAUAUGUUUAUGUAUUCUCAUUUUUUGAAACAUGUUAAUUUAGGGACUCACAUUGUGUUGCGCAAUCAAAACAGGAGCCUCGGUGGGUGCAGCAACUGCACUGUUUCUAUCCGUCACGUUCAUUUUGCACUGCAGGCGCAAGAGGAGUAGUAGUAAGCAGGGCUUGCUCUCCUCGAAUCGCCUCAUCAGUAACCUUCCCUUUGAGCCACAACACUACAUCGACCCUGAACUGUGCAGCACCAAUUACCAGACCCACAUCUUCUCCUACGCCGAGCUUCACGAGGCCACCGACGGCUUCUCUUCCUCUCAAGAACUCGGCGCCGGCGGCUUCGGCACCGUCUACAAAGGUAAGUUUAAUUUGGAGCCCCUGCGCGCGAUUGAAGUUCCGCGCGCACUUAAAUUUAGAAGAGUUUGUAGGGCAUAUUGUCAGUAUUAAUUUGAUUUUAGUGAUUUAAAAUUUUAUUUUAGUUCAUGGGUUUCCUGAGCAACUCAACAUUCUAUAUAUGGGUUUUAUCUGAGAGUCCGUAUUGAGUUUUUACAUGUGAGGUUAAUCUCAUAUUGGAAACUUAUGGCUAAUUGUUGCAUCUCUUAUACUUCAUCAUCCUUCAGUUAUUUGCUUGGGAGAUAGUGAGAGUAAUGCUUUUUACAAAACACGCACGGCAUGAGCUCGAGUAGGGCGGGCGGCGUGCAGUCUUGGUCUCCCAUUGGCCUCUCGUGGAGGCAAGUGUGAGCUUUAAUUAGUUGGUUCGGGUUGUGCACCAUUCUAAAGACAGUGUGAGCUUUAGUUGGUUCAAAUUGUGCACCAUUCUGAAGAUAUACCGACGGCGUAGACAGUUAUUGUUAUAUUGCUAGGAGUGAUUAUCGGAGUCUCACGCAUAGAGAAGCAAUCUUGCUUUUAAGAUAGUGCAUAGCACGUCUCGACUUACAGACCUCAUCUUAUCUUUUUUCUUUAUAAUAUUUAACUGUUAAUUCUUGCAUGUGAUUUUUUAAAGCAGAAAAAAAGCAGAAGUUUAAUUAUUUUCUUUUAAAAUUAUUUAAAAAGUAAUUUUACUAAAAGAAUAGAGAGAAUUUUUCAAUACAUAUAUGUGACUAGCAUAUUAAUACUGGUAAAUUUGGCUUAGGGCCUGUUUGGCCGGUGGUGCGUCCACGAGGGAGCCCCACCGUAGGACUUUUUAAGAAAGCUUCUAAUGUUGAGCUUUUCGAAAGGCCCUUUUCGACGGUCGCGUGCUGUAACGCGCAUGCAACCUUGUCGCCAAACAGGCCCUUAAUCAUUUUGCUCCGGUGGUUCGAGCCUAGCAAAUGGACAAUAUUGAUGGUUGAGUUGGAUUACAACAGUAUUCUUGGUAUGAAUGUACAUCCCUUGAACCGGAUCCUCUCCGAGUUCCUUAACUUACAUUUUUCAAGUUUAUUAUUUUCAUUUAGGGCCUUUUAUACAUGUUGUGCUACACCAAAAACACACUAAUUAACAGCUUCUUCAUUAAAGGCCCCGUAAAUUAGAUUUAAAUUAGAUUUUUGUGCAUUUUAAGCUCUAAAUUAAGCUCCUUCUCUCUUUAGUACAUAAUCUUAUUCAUAAGAUAAUAAAUCAAAAGCAGUGCCUACGUAGUAGGACAGGUUAAACCAGCAACUAUUUACUGCAAGGUUAAUUAAUUAAUUAAUUUGUGUUAUAUAUGCGAUCUCUCUAUGCAGGGCAGCUUCGAGAUGGUCGAACGGUCGCCGUGAAGCGCUUGUACGAGGCCAACUGCAGGCAAGCGGAGCAGUUCAUGAACGAGAUCAACAUCCUCUCCCACCUCCGCCACCAAAAUCUCGUCAGCCUCUACGGCUGCACCUCCCGAAGCUGCCGUCAGCUCCUCCUCGUCUACGAGUUCAUGCCCAACGGCACCGUGGCCGACCACCUGCACGGGCCCCGGGCGUGCGAGCGGCGACUCACGUGGCCUCUCCGAAUGCGGAUCGCCGUCGAGACCGCCGACGCCCUCGCCUAUCUCCACUCCGUCGCCCCGCCCAUCGUCCACCGCGACGUCAAAACCAAGAACAUCCUUCUCGACGCCGACUUCCACGUGAAGGUCGCCGACUUCGGGCUGUCGCGGCUGUUCCCGACGGACGCCACCCACGUGUCGACCGCGCCCCAGGGCACGCCAGGCUACGUGGACCCGGAGUACCAUGCGUGCUUCCAGCUCACCGACAAGAGCGACGUCUAUAGCUUCGGGGUAGUCUUGGUGGAGCUCGUGUCGUCGAAGCUGGCGGUGGAUCUCGGCAGGUGUCGGGACGAGAUCAUUCUCGCGAACAUGGCGAUCGACAGGAUCCAACGACGCGAGUUGGCGCAGUUGGCGGACCCAGCUCUUGGAUACGGCUCGGAUCGGGCGACGAGGAAGAUGAUCACCGUGGUCGCGGAGCUCGCAUUUAGGUGCUUGCAACGUGACAGGGAGAUGAGGCCAUCAAUAAAGGAGGUUCUUGAGGUGCUGAGAGGGAUAGAAGAUGGUGCUUGCGAGAUGGGGAAAGAGGAAGACGGCAACGUCGUCGGCGGCGCAGGGGACGACGCCGGAUUGCUUAAGAACUCGGCAGCAUUUUCGCCGGAUUCUGUAACACACAAGUGGGUGAGUAGGUCCACUACACCAAACACUAGUGAGUAAGUUAAAUCUGCGACGUUGGUGUACGUGCCAGCUAGUCCGGUUCUUGUUAUAUAGCUAAUCUUACAUAUACAGUGCCCUGUAUGGUUUGAAGGUUUCAAUAAUUAUGUGAGUUAUAUAUAUACUAGUGUAGUUGCCCGCAUGUUACGGCGGCUAGAUACCGUUAAAGUAAAAAUUUAUAAAAACUAAAAUAUCAGUUUAGUACAAAAAAUAGUAAAUAUAGUCUAUAUAUUGCUGACAAACACUUUUUUUAAUAAAAAACCACAAUAAAAAAGAAUUAAUUGUUCCAACAAAAUUAUUCAAUAUUAUUUAAAAGAAGUUGCAUAUCAUGUAAAUAGAUGAUUAAAAUUAUUUUUAUGACACAAUAAUCAGAAAAAUAUCAUAUUGCAGUUAAUAUAACUAAAGAAAGACUCACAAUAAUAUUGAAUAAUUUUGUUGGAACAAUUAAUUNAUGUAAGGUGAUUUAUAAGUAUUAUAUAUAUAUAUAUAUAUAUAUCAAUUUCAAUCAAUUAAUUAACUUUGAAUAUGAAACACAAUAAAUGUUCAAAUUUGCAAAUUUAAGGAAGAGGAUGAAAGACCAAAAGAUAAAGAAAAGGGAUAAAAUUUUUUUUAGGCCUUAGUAAAUCUAAAGAAAAUGAAAAGAAAAUGAGAAAAAAUAAUAAUAAAAAAAAUAUGCCCCACUCCUCCUCAAAUUAAGGGGGUGGGUACAUGUAGGAUUUAGUUAUGGAAAAUAAUGUAUAGUAAUAGAAAUAGAUAUUGACGGAAUUUGUGCAUGAUAAUGGAGUUGUGUUUGAAAUAAAAGUAUCAUAGAAGGUUUGUCCAUUACUUUGUAAACUAUGUAAAAUUGGCAACAGAUUCUAGCCACAUGGAACUGGAACAAUAUUCUAACUAGUAUAUUUUCGUAUUUUCUUCCUUUCUUUUCUUCUAGACGUCACGGGAUACGAGGCACAACAUAACUCGGAAUUCGGCAAUUUUUAAAAAAUUAGGACACAAAUAUGAACGCUAUUAAUAAAAUAUAAUAUUAUUAAAUAUAAUAAUAUAUAUUUAUUAUAUAUAUAAAAUAUUAAUUUUGGUAAAAUAUUAUUAUACGAGAUAGAGAAGCAAACCCAUGUAGGAGAGAAACGGUCAAAAAAAAAAAGAAACCAAUUUAAGGCAAAGAGAAAGAUGGGCCCAUUUAAUUGAAGAAGAGGAAUAAUAUAUAUACUGACAGUGGGACCUACAGGAAAAAGUUAAGUAAAACAUGUCACGUGGAUUAAGAUUACGAGGAUUAAUAAUAGUUUAUAAAUUUCUCAUACGAAUAAAAAUUAGUAAAACUUUUAUUGAUAAUUCAUAUAUUUUAAGAAAAAAAUUUGACACCGUACAUAAUUUAUUUAUAUUGUAAAAAAUAUUUGUAUGCAUUCAUCAAAAAAUUAAAAUAUCUAUCGCCUUUAAUUUCAUAUGUUACGACAAACGUACAAGCGAAAACGAAACGAAAUGACAAACACAAAAUAAACAAAACACAAGCAGAAACAAAAAAAAAAUACAAAAAUUUACGUGAAAAAUUUUUUGUAGGAAAAAACAAUGGGUGAGGGAGGAGAGAACUUCACUAUCAGAACGAAAAAGGAAAUACAAUAUUCAGAUAGUACAACCGACCACGAUCUCACGCCUCUAGGGCAAAAACGAAAAGAAAAACUCUUAAUGAGUUUCGGAUCCGAUCCGUACCCACCACGGCCAUUCAUUUUUUCUUUACAAUUUUAUUUUCUAAUUUGGUCGCACCACGAAACUGUCGGCGAGUCGAAAAUCCGAACUUGAGUCGAUUAUCAAUUUCGAGUCACAUCUAACAUCAUAUGCAUAAAAAUGUAAAAUAAAAAUAUGUAUUUUUCAAAAAUUAUUUGUGCUAUGGGUCGAUAUUGAAUGCACGUCUAAGAAGUGUUCACAUCGAAUAUGUAUAGGACACGCAAAGUUUAUAGAAGUGUCCAUGAUGCAUAGCUUUUCUUGCUACUUAAUAAUUAAGUAUAUUUAUCCUCCGGCAUUUGAGCACAUUUCCUUUUAAUAUUCUAACUGCUUUUCGUUCCCUUAAGAUUGUUUUAACAGCGCAACUCGAAAAUUCUGACGAAUGAGAUAGGAAGCAAGACUACUAUUAAGAUAGCCAGCGGGCAAUUAAGGCCAUGCAGUGCAACAAAUCUUUUUUUUUUUUUUUUGAGAGAUAGGUAGCACGCUAUCCGCUUCGUUUAUUUUAUUUAGAAAUAAACUUAGUUAUAUAGAAAUGUGAAUCAACUAGAGUUCGAAUUUGGGUCUCGGAUACCAACCACCAAGUCCUUUGCACUACAAGAAAAGAUAGUAUUGGUGGCAAAAAUAAGAUGGCGACAAAAUUUAUCGCCACUAUAUAGCUACUUAUGGUGGUGAUAAAAAAACUCGCCACUGAUUAAUUAACUUAAAGUGACGAUCCUAAUUUCGCCACUAAAUAACUAUUUUGUCGUCACUAUUUGGUUAUCUACAAUGGCAAUAAAAAAAAUUGCCAUCAAUUAAUUAACUUAAAGUGGCGAUAGUAUUUUUACCACUAAAUUACCAUUUUAUCGCCACUAUUUUCUUAUCUAUGGUGGCGAUAAAAAAAAUCGUCACUGAUUAAUUAAUUUAAAGUGGCGAUGCUAACUUCACCACUAAAUGACUAUUAUUUUGUUUUAAGCUUUUGUGGAUCAAAAGUCAAUUAGCCUUUUAAAUUGUUGUUAAAAGAAUAAUUUUGUUUACUUAAAUGUUUUGUCUGUUAUUUUGUAUAUGUUUUGUUUAUAAAAUAUAAGCAGUGUAUUUUUAUAUUAUAUUAUAUUUUUUUUAUCAUUGGUGGCUAUUUUACUCGGAGUUGGUGGCGACAAAAACUUGCCUCUUUAUCUUCAACUAAGGUGGCGACUGUGGUGGUUGCCACUUAAAUUAUACAUUUGGUAGCGAAAAUGUAUUGCCACCGUAUCUCCAUGAAAGGUGGCAACUAAGAAUGGCCACUAAAAAGUCAUAUUUAAUGACGACAAAAUAUCGCCACACUAUCUUUAAUAAGGUGGCGACUAAUAGUUGCUACUAAAAGUCAUAUUUGGUGGCGACAAAAUGUCACCACGCUAUUUUCGAAAAGAUGGCGAUUUUCAUGCUUCGCCAUAAUUUCAUUUAGCGGCAACACUUUCGAUGGCAGCUUGUGGCGACUUUAAAAGUCGCCACCUUUUCAAAAGGUGGCAACUUUUUAUAUAUAUGGUGGCGACAUUACUCGCCACCAAUAUAUAAUAUUCUUGUAGUAUUGCCAGUGCAACUAAUCUUAAGCUAGCAAAAUCAUUGUUAGUGCAUAUUUGGUUAUGCUUCGUUUAGUUUUGGUUAGAAUGACAAGCAAAAGAUUUUGUUGGGUUAGUGAUAUCAAAUUCACUUAUUAGCCUAUUUGGUUUUAUUUUGAGUUUGGUUCAACAACUCAUGUAAUGGGCUAAUUAGUAAUUGGUUUGGGCUUUAGUUGACCCAUUUGGUAUAUUGGGCCGUGUGAUGUUAAGAGAGGAUUAAUUUGGGUUUAGAGAAAGUGAGAGUUCUCAACUUCUCAUUUUUGCUCUUUAGAGUUCUCUUUUCUAGAGAUAGAGAAGAGAGCAUGUAGAGAGGGUUAGAGAAGGAGCUCUCUUGUUCUUCUUGCUUGAUUCAAAGCUUCCAAGCUUCCAAUAUACCUUGAUUCAAAGCUUCUAAGGUAUAUUGGACUAUGUGAUGUUAAGAGAGAUUCUCACCGUUUGGUUCGGGUACAAACAAGAACUAGCUAUUACAGGGAUAGGUACAAGUAUGGGGAUAAGAAAAAUAGCGUUUGGAUGAAAAUUAGAUUAUUUCCGGGGAUAAGAAAAAUAGCGUUUGGAUGGAUAAUAUGGAAUAAGAAAAAUAUUAGGUAGUUUUAUAUAGAAAAUGGAGGUAUUGGUGGGGAUACUAGUUAUGCCCGAUUAUUAUAGGUAAUCGAGAACUACUAUUCGGAUAAAAAAAUUAACGUUUGGGUAUAAAGGGGAGGAUAAGGACCUAUCCCUAUACCUAUCCCCUAGCCAAAUACUGCAUUUGGGUUAGAGAAAGUGAGAGUUCUCAAGUUCUCAUUUUUGCUCUUUUUAGGGUUCUCUUUUCUAGAGAUAGAGAAUAGAAGUGUAGAGAGGAUUAGAGAAGGAGCUCUUUUGUUCUUCUUACUUGAUUCAAAGCUUCCAAGGUUGAUUGGAGGAAUUCUAAGAGGCAUUUCGAAGCAGGUUUCGCGGAUUCGGAAGGUGCUUAGAUGAAGGUGUAGCAAGAAAGAUUUUUUUUCCCAAUUAGAAGGUUGCAAACCCAUUGUAAUAGAGUGGUAAUCUCUAACCAAAUCUUGUGAUCUCCUUAUUUGAUAGUGGAUUUGAUCUCUGUAUGCCCGUGGAUAUAUAUAUAUAGAGUAGAACUGGGUUGGUAGCAAAACACCAUUGUUGCUACCGAUUUUGUAGCCGUCGGAUUGCUUCGCGAUCCGUGUAGAUGAAGGGAAGAAUGCAGCAGCAGUUAGUGCUAACGGAGCGUCGUUUCCUUCCCGUCCGUACAGGGGAAAAUUUGGGGAGAACAGCCUUCCUCCAUUCCUCGCCUCUCUCUCGCUCCCUCGCUCCUUCGCUCCAGGCCCAUCCUCACGCCCUCUCGCCUCCAACCCGCCACCCCCUCUCACGCCCUCUCGACUCCGACCCGCAACCCCCUCUCACGCCCUCUCUCACUAGAUCUGCAGGAGUAGCGUUGUAGAAGGUGAGUCCCUCACUCCAGGCCCAUCCCCACGCCCUCUCGCCUUCCCUCGGCGCGGAUUUUCGAUUUAUAGUUCGAUUUGGAGGAUUAGCAUAACCUGGAGGCACCUGUGAGAAGUAGCCUUUCGAUCUCUCGCUCAAUCUCUCACUCGAUCUGCAGGAAUAGCGCCGUAAAAGGUGAGCUUUGAAAUUUUUUUAAAAAAAAUUUUAGUGUUUCUAUUUUUAAUUAAAUUUUUUCCCCAACAUUUUGUUCCCAAUAUUUGUUCCCAACACUUCUGUUGUGAUGAGUCUAUUUUAUACAAAUGUGGAUUGGCUCGGGAACCAAACAAUUAUUUCCACAUAUGCCUACUAAUAUUAUUCUUAGAUCUGAUCUAAGUUACAUAUAUAGUUAAAUUUUUAAUUUUUUUUUAAAAAGGUGAAUAUUUAAAGUUUAGUGUUUCUAUUUUUAAAAUUUUAAAAUUUUCAAAUUUUCAAAUUUUCAAAAGAUUUUAGUGUUUCUAUUUUUAAUUAAAAUUUUAUCCCCAAUAUUUUUUUCCCAAUAUUUUUGUUCUUGUAAUUAUUCUUUUUUGCAAUAUUUUAGUAAAUUAUAAUUGUAAUUAAAUUUUGUAUUUUAAUUAUGUAGAUGUUGCCUCGUGUCCUCUCGCUUAAUAACCCCUGUGUAGCUCUUCAAUCUCUCACUCGACUGGCUAACUUGCAAGUUGAACAGGGGAUCUAAAACUAGAUAAAAGAGAUCUUUGACCUCACUUGAGUUACCAGAAUCAGUAGUGUCAUGCCCCGAGCCCGCCUCUUUGGUCGGAUUCGGGCACGCCAACAGACCGCCGAACGGACAGGGUUUUUUCUGUACCGCGAACAGAGUCUCCCCUGUACGUUCAAGGCGUCACAACCUGUACAAUACAAGAGGUUCCAAAUAGGAACAUCAUUCAAACAAGAUUGCAUAAGGAAGGUAUCACAAACAUAAAUACUUCUAAGUUAUUACAAUCAUUCAUCUCAUAUAUUACAUUUUACAUCACAUUAUACAUUCUUUGAUUCUUACUUCCAAAUACAAUCCAAUUCUCAUAAUAUUAUUACAACUUGGUUCUUUGCAUUUUAUACCCCUAAGAAGCCGACUUAGGGUACUGCUAUCUGGUCUCAGUGGUAGGGCGCCAACUACGGAGCUACGCCAUUUUCUCGCGCCGCCGCGCCGCUUGUGUGUGAACCUGUACCCCCAAAAACAACACGAGGGUGAGAACUAUUGUCCAUAGUUCCUAGUGGGUACGACCACCCAAGGAAAAAGCUCGACCAAUAGGUCCAAGGAGGCACUACAAUCAUGUUAGUCCAAAAACAUCUAUAGAUAUCUAUAUCAUCAUGUUAUUAUGCAACAACAGAUAACAUGCCUCACAAUAUGCAAUAUGAACAUUAUGCAAAGGGGUGGAAACGAGCCGAGCUCGAGCGAGCUUACCUCGGCUCAAAUUCGGCUUGAAAUUAAUUUCGAACCUAAAUUUAACCUCAAGCUUGGAUUGAAAUUAAUUCGUGCGGAAUUCGAGCGAGCCUAAUUUCGAGUCGAGCGAGCUCGAGCCCUAAACGAACCGCUUGAAAUUCUCAACAUCAUACAAUCAAGAGUUUAAUUUGUAUAGAACAUUAUCUAUAAUUUGAUACAAAAAUAUGUUUAAUAGUUUCAAAGUAUAAAAUAAGUAUAUAUUGAAAAUAUUGUAAUAAUACAAAAAAAAAAAGAAUUAUGUGAGCUGAAUAUCUAAUUUUUUCAGUUCACAUUCUCUUUCUUCCGGCUCCUCCAAUUCCUAUUAAUCAUUACUUCAUUUUAUGCAGUUAAUAAUAAAAUAAUAAUAUAGAGAUUAAAUAUGCGAAUUAACUAAUCCAAUCAUAUUAUAACUAAAUUAAAAUUUUAAUAUUGAAUAUAAUUUUUUUUUAAAAUAUCUGUAUAUUUUCUCAAGCAUACAAUUAAUUACCAAGAUAAGGGCAACACGACGGACCAUAUGCUGUUAUUUCUGGUAACUUGAGAGGGCUUCCGCUUGGCUACUUAGGAAUGAGAGACAGAAAAAGAGGUGAAAGAAAGAAAGAAAGAAAAAAAAUUAUAAAAUUUAGAUGAAUUUUAACUCUUUAUAUUCGUCAUUGGGUUUGUUUUAUGGGCCAACAAUAUUGGUCUAAUUUUAACUAAAACUCAGAUUAUUAUCCAGCCUAUAAUAUAAUUUAAUAAUAUUAUAUUUACUAUAUUUUUAAUAUAUAUAUAUAUAUAUAUAAUAUAUAUAUAGUACCUUUACUAAUAUAUACUAUAAUGAAUAUAUAUAAAGAACAUAGAACCUAUUAAUGCUAUCAAAAUAUAGAGAGAUUUGAUGUUUUCGAAUUUUGACCUUGAUUAGAAAAUUAAUCAAUGUGUGGGAUGAUUGCUGUCCCCUAGGAUUCAAAUAAAUACCCUUAGAGAUUGAGUGGCCCUACAACAGCUAAUAAUAGUAUUAACAAAGGUAGAAUGAUUUAAAGAGGGUUGAUAUAAGAAUCAAAAAUCAAAGUACGCAGACCUCUAUACCUUGAUAGUAUAGCUAGUUCUUACUAUAUAUUAUAUAUAUAUAUAUAUAUUAUAUAUAUAUAUAUAUAUAUAAUAUAUAUUAUACUAUAUAUAAUAUACUUCCGAGCUUUUCGAGUUUUCGAGCCCAAUUCGAACGAGCACAGAUAAUACUCACAGCUUGGCUUGAAUAUGAAUUUCCAGCCUCUUUUUUUGUUCAACGUCUCACUGCCAUUUACAUUUCAAGUCGAGCUCGGCGACCUGCCAAAAUCGAUCGAACGCGAGCCGACUCUCGCUCAUUUGCCAGCGCGCUAUAUGCAACUAUGCAAGUAGAUUAAUUGAUUCUACUUUAUAUUUUUUAACCACUCUUUACUUGUAGCCGUUCUUUACUUUAUUAGCUAUUCUUAUUCAUUAGCCUUUCUUUACUUUAUUUCCUUGUUACACUAUGCUCAUUGGCAAUUCUUUCCUAAGGUUACCUUUACCUUAGCCAUAUAUGCCACUCGACUCGGACUUGAGUCAAUCUACUGCGGAUAAUCCGUGCUCCGUCCAGCUCGAGGUGAAGGAACUCUCACAUGUACCUUAGCUAACUAGAGCCCACCACGCUCCAUGACUUAGCCACCCGGCGGCAAAAUCGUCGCACACGCCAUGAACAAUGGCUCAAGUCAACCAGCGGUAUGAUCCACAAACCGGCUCAACCGGUAUAACCCACAAUCUGGCUCACCCAUCCGGCGGCGAAAUCGUCGCACACGCCACGUCGAUGGUAUAGCCCAAGACGGCAAAAUCGUCGCACACGCCGAACACCACUUUGGGUGUUCCAUAAGCUCUGGGAUUCCGGAAUCCGUAACUCAAGGGUUGGUCUUAACCCUAUAGUAUUGACCUAGUUAGGUCCAAUGUCCUUUCCAUCCUAUGUCCACUUGGCCCUAGGUCCAUUAUCUUUAUCACAUAACCAAAGUUGACUUAACUCUAGGUUCAAUGUCCAUGACCUAUGUUCUCUAACAUUAGGCUUAAUGUCAUUCUUGUUUGUCCUAGGUUUAUUAACACUAGGUUCAAUAUCAUUCUUGUUCAACCUAGGUUCACGACUCUAGGUUCAUGCCACUCGAUCUAUAUGUAUACGUAUGUCCUUUACUUAACAUUCUUAUUUUAGCACCUCUAUAACAUGCUUAUCAUACGCGUACUUAGCCUUUUUAUCAUGUCAUCAUCUAUAUUCUUAGCAUUAACCUCAUGCUUGCAUUUAUUAUUUCUACAUCAUGCUUAUCAUGUAUACUUAAGCAUUUCUAUAACAUACAUUCAACUAACAUUAACCAGUGCAUUCAUUCUAACAUUUCUAUACCACGUCAUUCAUGCAUUUAUUUAGCAUUCUUAUUUUAUGUCCAUAUGCAUUAUGUCACAUCAUGCUUAUCAUGUAUACUUUAGCAUUCUUACUUUAGCAUUUCUAUAACAUACAUUCAACUAACAUUAACCAAUGCAUUCACCUCAUGCAUACAUAUGCUCUAUCAAUAGCUACCACUACAUGCAUCAAUGAUAACCAUUUAUCUUAGACAUAUAGGCGACCUAGUUGCUUCGGUAAACACAACCCACCUCAAUUCGCACUCCGAUUGCUUGUAGUCACUUGCAAUCGGCCUCCCGCCGCACCCGUGAUCCGGUUCGGCCCGAACUCUCGCGCGACCACCCAAACGGCCACCAAUCCACGAUCCGAAAAUUAAAGGUCUAUGGUUUUGUGCUACGGUGCUCCGGAUCCGUUCUCGUGAUUUUUGGACGUCGCCUACGCCCUACAGGCGGUAACGAAGCCAAACCGUCCGUUUUCCCAAUAUCUUUGCGUAGGCUCGACGGAUUGCCGAACCGACUUCACCAACGCGUUCGUAUACCUAGCAAUUAGGUUUACAUAGGUCCAAUUUAGAUCAAAUCCAAACAUUUACAAAAAUUCCUUUUUUCUAAACCUAGCCUCUAUACAUGCUCUAAUUAACCCAAAUAUUAAGGAUUUAACAUGCUAACAACACAUUAGAGGCUAUUAGAACACUUAAGCAUAAGGAUUAUGCCAAAUCCUAAAAGCUUACCAAAAUGUGAACGCCGAGACGGAAGCACGCCGCUCCAACGGGCGCACAAAAGCUCGAUCCGUCGCUCCCAACGUGUUCGCAAGCUUGCUCUCCACCAACCCUCAAAUUUCUAGAGAGAGAUCUAGAGAGAUGAGAGAGAUCUUUAGAGAGAGAAAGGAGGGUUUCUCUCUCCCUCCAUGCGUGCGUGUGUAUAUGCUGUGGGUGUGUGUGUGUGCUCGGUUGAAGGAGAAGAAGCAAAUGCUUCUUUUAUAAUUAACACCCUCAACACUAUUCACUUCAGUUUGUAGCUCAGGUACAGAUAUUUUUCGCAUGCCCUUUUGAAUGUCCGUUUGAGCUCAAAUUUGACAGUCGGGCUCUGUUUUACUUAACUUAACGACAGAAAUUUUAAUUUUUCAGUUUCGACCCUGUUUGGUCACCGAAAGCUCUACCGAACUGUAAUCUCUAGCAGAUAGCAGUCGGAUUUUAUUUUUUACUUUUCUGGUGUCAAAAUGGCAUGAAACUUUAAAUCUAGCCUCAUCAAAAUAAUUCUGACAUGUCCUCCAGUUUUCAUAAUUUUCUGAAACUGUGCAUUUUCUGAUAAUUUAUCUGCCCGAUUUCCUACAGAAAAUUAUAAAUCUUCUGUUUUCAUUCCGAUUUCAGCACAGGUCAUUUCAGACUUACAUUUUGCUUCUAUAAGUCCAAAAAAAUAGUAUCUCACACUAUUUUUAUUUAUAUUUACCUUUAAAUUAAAAUUCGGUAUAUUACAAGUAGUUGGAUGGAAAUUUUAUUAAUAUUUAUCUGAUGCUACUUCAUUAAAUAACGCUAGCCAUCGACCAACUCGUUAUCUUGAAGUUGUGCAUUCAGAUUAAACGAUUUCUAAAUUUUUUUGAGUCAAGUUUGAAAUUGAUGAAAUCUUGUUUGUAGGGUUUAAUGAGAACAGUUAUUGUAACAUUUCAUUUCGAGCUGCAUAUUCAAGGUCAUGGGCUAAAGUGUAAAGGAUUUCUUUUUAUAAUUUUGUCUUAUGUUUCUCAUAUUACUAUUCAAAGAUCUUGUAUAUAAGGGGUAAAUGAGAAAAAUAUUGUGAUAUUUCUUUUUGUACAGCAUUUUCAAUGAUACGACGGAUCAAGCAUAAAGAUACUUUUUAUAAUUUUGUCUUAUGUUUGUUAUGUUACUAUUCAAGUGUUGUUCUUAUCAAAAUCCUAAUUUAGUUUCUCUUAAUGUUGAUCUUUGUUUUACCCCCAACUCUGUGAGAGGUUCAAUGUAGUCAACUCAGCUUUUAUGAUUGGGUGUUGUUGCUCCGAAGGCGCCCAUCUCUCUGUUUGUGUUACACACUGGACUUUCGCAAAUUGCAAGGUUCGAGUGUUGACUUGGGUUCCGAGUUUUUCCACACUUGGUAAAAGGUCGUGGAAGGUGCCUCGACUUAAAAAGCUCAAAAAAAUCCAAGUCUGGUUGGUCCUGAGAGUUUUCACUCUCGGGGACCGGUCCCUGGUUGGUGAGACCGGUCCCCCGUGGCGAUGCAACCGGUCCUCGGCUGAGGAGACUGGUUUCCGAACGUCGGAUUUUUGGGAUGGUCCCGAGAGACCGGUCCCAACUAGGAGAGACCAGUCCCUCUUGGCGAAUUUUGCCCAGUCUGGGAUGAAGCACUAUUUUGGAUUGUUGAGGGGCUUAUUUGGGUUUGUUGCAUGAGAGGGCUUUUAGAGCCUUUCUCCUCUCUCUUUUCCUCAUUUCUCUCUAUCUCUUACACUCUAGAGAGAGAAGAAGAAGGAGAAGAAGAAGAAGAAGAAGAAGAAGAGGAGAAGGAGAUCAAGUUGGAGGCUUUUGGAGCAUCAACCCCUUUCUCUCUUUCUGACCUUGGGAGGCUUGGAGCUAGCCAUUGGAGCUUGGUGGUGGACCAAUCUUCAACCCUAGAGCAUUUGGACUUAGAUUGGAGCAUUCUAGAGGUAAGUUGAUGGUUUCCUUCCUCUAGAUUCUUGUUUUGAAGCUUUAAACUAGAUGAAACCCUAGAAAUUGCUAUUUAGGGUUUAUUUUGGGAAUUUUUGAUUUGGGGCCUUUGAGACCUAAUUGAUGGGUUUAGAACCUUCCUUCAGAUUGGAUUUGAAGAACUCUAACUCCCAUUUGGAGCUUAAGAGAGGAUUUCUUCAUUGAGGUGAGUUUUUCCCAACCCUAGCUUGAGUUGGUUGAUGAUCAACCUUGUGGUUGUUCGUUACGUUCGUUUGACUCUUGUUCCUACAUCUUUAGGAUGCUAGAGAACUUGUGGACACCUUCGUUCGGCGAAAUGAAGAGCUUCGUGAAGUUCGGUGGGUUUGGCUUCUUGAAACCGGGGCAAAAUGGCCCCUAUGUUUUAUAUACUCGUCGUAUUAUUGAAAUAACUUCAUUUCUAUGCUAAAUAUGAUUUAUGUGAAUUUUAGAAUGCUUAAUAUACAUAUGUUAUAUAUCAUGAAAAACGACCUCAUGUAACGGGGGGGAAACCUGGUAUAUUGAGCAUGUAUAUGAGAUAGUAGCUUAUCGAGCAUGUUGGGAAUAGGUCUCUUGUGAUGAAGAGGACUCUAAUCAUAUAUUUUUAAACAUUAAACUCAUGCUUGGACUUAGUGAUCAAAAGUGUCAUAAAGGGGCACUUGUAAUAGUAACUAUAAAACUACAACAUUAGGACAUAGUGAUAGGCCAUUGACAUCUACAUUUCCAUGUUCUUAGACAUGAUGACAUAGAGAUAGGCCACUGAGAUAUGUGACAUAUUCCAUGUUGUUAGACAUGAGGACUUGAUACUUGAGACGGAUCUUGUACUACUUGCCAUUUGUGCUCAUUCGCACAUGCUUGUGAGGGUCGCUCCCUACAAGCCGGCACUCCGGAGAUGGCCAUCGGGAUACUUAUUCGCCGUGCGGGAUUGGACGCCGAAGUGGAUUGCCGUGGGCCAGGCUCAUCCCUAGGGUGAGGGUGUUGACUACCACGGGGCCAUUAGGCUCGGCAUUGGUCAGACAGCCUACGGGUGGGUCUCAGGGUCAAGACAGCCUUCGGGCGGGUCUCUUCAGAUUGGACUUCGAGUGGUCGGCGUGACAUAUGGACAUUGAUUAGAAUAGUAAACAUUGACAUCUUUACUAUUUGGCUUUUGGACAUCAUACUAGUAUGCUUGGGCACAUUCUUGUUGAAUAGUUUAUUACUUAUGCAAAUCAUGCUAAGUAGAGAUUUCAUGUUGUAGCAAGUAUACUGUUUUGGGUUUAUUUACUUAUCGCAUUUAUCGCUUUGGUUUAUACUCGUACUGACCUUUCUUUGUAGCUUUUGGGCCUAGUGGCGCACUUAACUGAAGUCAACAAUUGCCCAUUGGGAACUAUUUUUAAUAGUUCUCACGCCCUGUUUUUCAUGUUCUCUUUCAGAGCCUUCGGCACCGGCGGAGGCACGGGAUCGCGGCAAGGGUGUCGCCUAGCUAGAUUGAGAGAGCUACUUCUGAGCUUAGGUGGUUACUCUUUCUUUAUUUUAGUAGAGAGAGAGAGAGAGAUUUUGUGUACCAUGUAUAGAGAGACCACUUAUGUAUUGACUUAGUUUUCGUAUUUUGAGGACUUUUGUUGUACUACUUUAUGUUUUAUUCCUUAGUGGAUUUCGGUUUUUAUACUUAUUCCUUUUGUUGUAGAAAUCUAGAUAUACAUUGCUCUUAUACUUCUAGAUGUUCUUUAUUUAUUACCUAUUUAUCGUUAUUCUUUAGAUGCCUUGUAUAUUUUAGACAUAUGGCGGGUCUGUGCACGGGCCGGGUGGGCUUCCGCUCGGUCGCGGGACGUGACAGAUUAGUUUGGUAUCAGAGCCUAGGGUUGAGUCUUAGUGGACCUAGCAAACCUUAGGCCGGUUGGACUAUAGGACAUAGGCUCGUGAGAGACGAGGUCUAUUCGACUUGUGGGCGAAAGUAUCAUGAUUGGGUAUCUUGAUAACUCUAAAAAGUUAGAGUUGAACCGAAGUGUAUGACUUCUAACUUCGCGGAGGGUUACGUUGGCGGCCGACAACGUAACAUCGGGAGUUAGUAGUGAAGCACACUUCCUUACUUUCGCAUGAUUUGGGGUAUUGUCUUUUGAGCGGGGAUUCGAUAGCAUGGGUUACUAACUUACGCUUUUAUGAUGCUGUAGUGUGAUGCCAAUCACACGCUCUCAAUCUACUGGAGCGGAUAAUGUGGCAAACUUGGAGGAGGUUGAGACCUCCGCUACCUCCGGAUCCGACGAAGUCCGUGAGUUGAGGAGCCAGCUUGCGGCUCUCACCGACUUGGUGACAUAGCAGGCAGAGGCGGCCCGACAGCAGACGGAGGCGGCGCGCCGACAGGAGGCGCGGAUGAAGCGCCUGGAGGACUUUCUUCUAUAGCAGGCGGCAGCUUCCAGGGAGACUCAGGCCCCUACACCGCGAGCACCAAUUGUGGAUGUCGCGCCGAGAGCGCAGUCCCCCGCGCCCAAUUCUUCGCGAGCAGCGCCCGCAGACGCGCCUCAGGAGGAGGCUGUUGUGGCGUCACCUAUUAAGAGACCCCCGGUUGGAGUUGUUUUUCCCGUGACGGUUGUGGGAGCGGACCGGGACCGACUGAUGGAGCGUCUCAACGAGUUCAGGAGGUGCAGCCCCAGGAUCUUCGAUGACGAGAAGGUCGACAACUGGAUAGUGGAUAAAUGGUUGAUGCAUAUGGAGAAGCUCUUCCGCGACACCUUCGUGGAGGAGAGAGAUCGAGUUUGGCUUGCCACUCACCACCUGGACGGCGAGGCCUACCGCUGGUAGUUGGAUCUCCAGGAGAACCCCAGCACGGAUUUGGCGGCCAUUACAUGGAAGAAGUUCAAGAAGCUUCUACUGGCGCAUUACUUCCCGAUGAGUGUCAAGAGGAAGAUGGAGCAAGACCUGCGCAACUUGCGCCAAGGAGACAGGACCGUAGCCGAGUACGAGCGGGAGUUUUCUUGGCUUCUACACUACGUGCCUUUUGUUGUACGGGACGACGAGGACAAGGCCCGCAUCUUCGAGCGAGGGUUGCAACCGUCGAUCUUCUGGUUAUUGCAAUCCUUUAACCUCCAAACCUACCGGGAGGUGGUGGAUCGCGCGUUCAUUAUGGAGAGCAGCGCGGUGGAUGUCCAGGAGCAACGAGAGGCUAGGGACAAGGCUAAGGCCAAGAGGCCUGCGGCUGAGGGUGCGAGCCAGACGCACUCUAGGAGGCCACCGAAGCAUCCGAGGAGCCAGCAGCGUGGACACGGCUCAAAAGCGCAGCAAGGAGGCUCUGACUGUCGCCAGCCUACCCCGUGUGUGAUCUGCGGUGGUCCUCACUACCCACCGUAGUGCCCACAGCGGGCGGGCAGGUGCUUCCAGUAUGGCCAGGAGGGCCACGUGCAGACCGAGUGCCCGAGAGGUUCUUCACCGGCACCGUCGACUGCAUCGGCACCGGCUCUACCAGCCAUCAGCCACGAGACUCCGUCGACACAGUACCAGCCUGGGCGGCCACCCGUCCAGUGUCUGAGCGAGGGAUCUCGACAGGCCCCGAGUGGGCGCAUGUAUGCCGCUCAGACCGAGGAGACGGCAGCAGCCGAGGAUGUGGUUGCAUGUAUCAUUUUACUUGAUGGCAUUAGAGUACCCGCAUUAUUUGAUACCAGUGCAUCGCAUUCAUUUAUUGAUCGGCUGUUUGCCGAGUUGCAUAGCAUCCCUUUGAUUUUCUUGUUGCAUUCGGGAUAUGUUAUAGUACCUGACCACACUCUGGAUAUUAGAGAGUAUUGCCCUAGUUGCCCCGUUCGGGUAGAAGAGUGGAUUAUGCCCGUGGACUUGCUAGCUUUGCGCAAACUGGGAAAUUUUGAUGUGGUCUUGGGCAUGGAUUGGUUGACCAAGUAUUAUGUCACCAUUGAUUGUAAGAAUCGCACGGUUACCUUUAGAGAACCGGGACAGACCGAGGUGGUAUUUAGAGGAUGCCGGAGUUCGCUGUUUGCGAUGUCGAUCAGUUCGUCUCGAGCUAGGCAACUGAUCAGUAGAGGUUGUGUAGCCUACUUGGCUAGUGUGGUGUUCAGGGGCGAAGAUGACACCCCUAGGAUUGAGGAUAUCCCGGUGGUACGGGAGUUUCGGGAUAUGUUUCCAGCUGAGCUACCGGGUAUGCCUCCUGAUAGGGAGAUUGAGUUUGUGGUAGAUCUCGUCCCUGGGACUACCCCAAUCUCGAAGGCAUCCUAUAGGAUGGCACCAGCAGAGCUGAAGGAGCUGAGGGCACAGCUGCAGGAUCUACUGGAUAAAGGCUUCAUUCGACCGAGCGUCUCGCCUUGAGGAGCGUCAGUCUUGUUCGUCAAGAAGAAGGACGGAUCACUACGCCUUUGUGUAGAUUAUCGUGAGCUUAAUAAAGUCACGAUCAAGAAUAAGUAUCCGUUGCCGAGGAUCGACAACUUGUUUGAUCAGCUUCAGGGAUCGUGUGUGUAUUCCAAGAUCGACUUGCAGUCGGGAUACCAUCAGUUAAAGAUCAAACCAGAGGAUGUGUCGAAGACAGCUUUCAGGACACGGUAUGGACAUUAUGAGUUCACAGUUAUGCCGUUCGGGCUCACUAAUGCCCCGGCAGCUUUUAUGGAUCUAAUGAACCGUAUCUUCAAGUCUUAUCUAGACAAGUUCAUCGUGGUGUUCAUCGACGACAUUUUGGUUUAUUUCCGAAGUGAUGCGGAUCACGAGGAGCAUUUGAGAACUGUACUCCAAGUACUUCAGGAAAAGGAGCUUUAUGCCAAGCUGAGGAAAUGUGAAUUCUGGCUUCGAGAGGUAGCUUUCCUUGGACAUUUGAUAUCGGGAUCAGGUAUAGCCGUGGAUCCCAAGAAGAUUGAGGCAAUCAAGGAUUGGCCGAGACCGACGAGUGUCACGGAGAUACGGAGUUUCCUGGGAUUGGCCGGUUACUACCGGAGGUUCGUUGAGAGGUUUGCCAAGUUGUCUACUCCCUUCACGAGACUCGCGCAUAAAGGAGUCAAGUUCAUCUGGAAUGAUGCAUGUGAGAGAAGCUUCCAAGAGUUGAAGCACAGAUUGACGACCGCCCUUAUCCUAACCUUGCCAGUUGCUGGAGCAGGGUAUGUGGUUUAUAGUGAUGUAUCUCUUAAUGGAUUGGGCUGUGUAUUGAUGCAGGACGGCAAGGUAAUCGCGUAUGCGUCUCGCCAACUAAAGGAAUAUGAAAAGAGCUAUCCGACGCAUGAUUUGGAAUUGGCGGCCGUAAUCUUCGCAUUGAAGUUAUGGCGCCACUACUUGUAUGGCGAGCGGUGUGAAGUAUACACGGAUCACAAGAGCUUGAAGUACCUGUUCACUCAGAAUGAGUUGAACUUGAGGCAGCGCAGAUAGUUGGAGCUACUUAAGGAUUAUGAUCUGACGAUCCUUUACCACCCGAGCAAGGCUAACGUGGUGGCAGAUGCGCUAAGUAGGAAAUCGACGGAAAUCUUAGCGAUGCAUGUUGUUACUCAACCGCAGUUAAUCGAGCAAAUGAAGCGGUUGGAGUUGGAGGUGGUGACUCCUGAUACACCCUUAAGGUUGAUGACUUUGGUGGUGCAACCUACACUUUUGGACAGAAUCAAGAAAAAGCAAAUUUCCAAUUUGGGAUUACAAAAGAUUAAAGACAAGAUGGUUGAGGGUUGCACCGAUGAUUUUCUUGUGGAUGACCAAGGGUUAAUGCGUUUCUGCGGACGAAUUUGUGUACCGGCGGAUUCGGGAAUUAUAGAGGAUAUCCUUCACGAAGCGCACCGAGCGCCGUAUGCUGUACAUCCGGGUGGCACCAAGAUGUAUAAGGACUUAAAGUCGCUCUACUGGUGGCCCGGGAUAAAAAAGGACGUUGGCAAGUUUGUAGCCCGUUGUCUAACUUGCCAACAAGUGAAGGCGGAGCACCGAGUUCCCGCCGGAAAAUUACAGAGCCUACCGAUUCCAGUGUGGAAGUGGGAGAAGAUCACCAUGGAUUUCGUGACUGGAUUGCCUCGCUCACAGGCCGGGCAUGAUGCUAUUUGGGUGAUUGUGGAUAGGUUGACGAAGUCGGCACACUCCAUACCUAUUCAUACUACUUGGACUGGGGAGAAGCUCGCACAAGUGUACCUUGAUGAGAUUGUGCGACUUCACAGAGUGCCUACGUCGAUAGUAUCGGAUCGAGACACUCGAUUUGUGUCACACUUUUGGAGGAGUCUGCAGGACGCCUUAGGCACUCGACUGAACUUUAGCACUGCUUUUCACCCACAGAGUGACGAGCAGUCGGAGCGUACUAUUCAGACCUUAGAGGAUAUGCUCCGAGCAUGUGUGAUAGACUUCCAGGGAGGAUGGUCACAGCGUCUACCUAUGACAGAGUUCGCUUAUAACAACAGUUAUCAAGCAAGCAUCAAGAUGGCGCCAUUCGAAGCACUUUAUGGACGGAAGUGCAGAUCGCCACUUCAUUGGAGUGAAGUUGGCGAAAGAUUAGCUUUAGGCCCUGAUGUGCUCUAGGAAGCUGAGGACAAGGUUCGAGUUGCUCGGGAGCAACUUUUGACGGCACAGAGUAGAUAGAGGAGCUACGCCGAUCGACGGCGGCGAGACUUGGAAUUCCAAGUUGGAGAUCAUGUGUUCUUGAAGGUCUCGCCGACUAGAGGGAUCAAGAGAUUUGGGAUUCGGGGUAAGUUAAGCCCCCAUUUCAUUGGACCGUAUGAGAUCUUUGAGCAUGUAGGUCCGGUGGCGUAUCGACUUGCUCUACCACCGAACCUAUCGGGCGUGCAUAACGUCUUUCAUGUAUCGGUCCUUCGGAAGUAUGUUUUCGACCGGACUCAUGUGUUGAAUGCUACACCCUUGGAACUACGGGACGAUUUGAGCUUCAAGGAGCAACCCGUGAAGAUCUUGGCUCGCGAGGUGAAGAAACUGCGGAAUCGGGACAUUCCAUAUGUAAAGGUGCUUUGGAGCAACCACGGGGAGCGGGAGGCCACGUGGGAGCUAGAGAGCGCGCUGCAGGAGCGCUAUCCCCAUCUUUUUUAGNGGCUCAUAUCUCCUGGCGCAUUUUUCCGUGCUCCCGAUCCAGCGCUUUGAAUCCUGAAUAUGGAUAUGAACUCAGUGUGCCAACUGUCCGCGCCGGAUUGGUUCAACAGAUCCUUAUAAUUCAUUUGUAUUAUUGUAGUUCAUUUGUAUUAUUGUAGUUCAUUUGCUACUUUCCCUGUUUUUUUCUUUUUGAUUUGAGGGUACAAAAUACAAAUGAUCUCCUCUCAUACUAGAGAACUUCAAUUUGGGAAGUCCAGUUUCUGCAGCUAUAGUAGAGUUGAACAGGUUCCAGAGUCCUGCUUCUCUACAAAGGAACAAAUUGUGCUUUACUUCGUCUUCUUCAUUCUUUACUUCAGUUAAAUUGUGGUGAUUUGGACUGAUGGCUUGCUUACUUGUACAGAUACUCAAAUGUUAAUUUGAUCCAUGUCAUUGAAGUUUUGCUGAUAUAUAGUUUUUAGUGUUUUUUUUUCAUCCAGGUUGAAUAUACAAAGGCCGAAGAAAGGUAAUGAUUCAUCUAGUCGCCAAUUUUACGGCACUUUCAUGGUAAAUUUCUUCUGUUUGUACAUUGCAUAAUUCAUAAUUCCCUCGAUCUUACUCAAGUUGUAAGGUUGUUAAUGUUCACUUCAUAAUUUGAUUUUAGUUUUUUAAUUAAAAUAAAGAGAACUUACACUGGUUUGACUAGGCCAAUAACUCUCACAUUUCCACAAUGCCAAGAAAUUUCUCCAUUGAUGAUUAAGAGAAGCUCUAGCAGUUGUUUUUGGAGGAAAAUAAAUUAUUGCAUUGUACAGCAGAUAGAUGCCUAAAACAAGCAAAAAUAUAUAUUUUUUUUUUCUAUUGAGGUAUCAUAUUUGAUCGAAGGCCACUUGUUUUGAUCUUUCUAAACUAGAUCUUUUACCUAUGUAAUGAUCCACAAGUUCUAGUUACAUGAGCUGCUUCAUCAAAGUAAUUUCACUGACAAUUUUAUCUCCAUGAGCAAGAGAAACUUAAUUUACAAGCAGAUCAAGGUCUGCGAAGGUUCAAUUACAAUGAAUGAAACUUAAAAAUGGGUUUGCUAGAACAAAUUUGAUUAUUUCCAAACCAAAAGCGGAAACAAACAAUUCCUAACUCCCGAAUCUGGCUGAAGUAAAAGAAUACCAUAUGUACAGGAAAAAUUAUAUGUCUGGAGAGAAAGCUUCCUUGAAGUAAUGAAGCAAACAAUGAUAUGCAAGGAACAGUCAUCUCACCAGCUUCCUUGAAGUAAUGAAGCAAACAUAAGGCUCAUGUAACAGACUUAGCAGGAUCAAACACAUAACAAACUUAGCAGGAUCAAACAUAUAACAUAGACUCUAUCAAACACAUAGCAGGAGUUAGCAGGAUCAAACACAUAACAUGCAAACAAUGUAAAGCAGGAUCAAACACAUAGCAGGAACAAACACAUAAUAAACCCCAGUAUCAGUAUUGGAAGUUAAGCUUCCUUUGAACAACUAAAGCUUGAUGACUUGAAAAGCACACAUAACAACAUCAAAAGCACACAUGACAACAUCUCCACCAUGAAGAACGCUCACGAAACCUUAUCGCUCUCUUCAAUAGUUGCAUCACAAGCUUUUUCUCCUGAUAAAAACUACAAUCAAAGAAUCCAAAAAUAUUAUAAGAUUGACUAAAUCACAUAAUAUUCAAUAUAAGUAGCUACAAAUAUCAUUUACGUCCCUGCAAGUUCGGAUAUUGUGGCCUUUCUUUUUACAGUGUUGGCAUGUUCUAGAUUUUUUCAUUGCCUUUUCAGCAGAAGGCUUAUAUCUUUGUGGCUUUCUUUUUCCUUUACAUUAGGAUUGCGAAGGAUCCUUCAACUUGACAAAUCCAACACUACUUGCUUGUGAAAAAAUAGUAGCCGUGUGAUGCUCCACAAUAUUUUCACUUUGAUCUUGUUUCUCUUUCAAUGAUUCAUAGAGCUUGAUAUUCUCAUCAACAAGUUUAUAGAUUUUCUCACAAGUCAUUUCAUAAUUCUAAAAAGUCUUGGAUGCCUCAAAUAAAAGUUUUUGCAUUUUUAGUGUAAGUGCAUUAAGUCUUGCUCCUUUUGCAUUUGAGGAGUCACCUGUUAACAUACUUUGAAAAUUAAUGCUUGAGGACCCUUUUUUUGCAUCUUUAGUCCACCGUUUUAUAAUAUAGUGGGAGGGAAUCUUAUGCAUUCGAACGUGAAGCAUAACUUUUAAUGCAUGUGAAUAUAAAAGGCUACUAAAAUCAAAAAAUUUGCAACUGCAACUCACUUUCUCCAUAGAUGGACUUGAAGUAACUAUAAAUGAGUUUAUACCUUGGGCGGGUAAGGUAGAGUUUUGUAUUGUGCUAAUAUUGUAGCAAUUGUUCUCCAACUCCGUCAAAUCAUAUCCUGUCGUCCAUCGAAAUUGAUUCUUAAAUUCUGAAAAUACUCGUUUUGUGUACACACUACGAGCUUGUAUUUCAAUAGGAUUAUGUGACCAUAAACUAGAUUCACCAUCUCUCGACCUAAAGUCUGCUUCAUCCUCCUUAUCAUAGCAACUACUAACCACCUUUCCAAAUUGUAUUACAAGCUUACAAACUGAUGUAUGAUUAUCCAUGAACAUUUUCGUUAGAGCAUUCAUACUCUCACUACGUUGUGAAGUGGUCAUUUCAGCAAAGAAUGUAUCUCUAAAGUAAGUAGGUACCCAUUGAUGUCGAGCAUUCCACAUAACAUGAAGGUGAUUGUUAUCUUGCAAUCCAUAUUUUUCAAUCAUUAUAAGCCAUCUACUUUCAAACUCUUCGACUGUUAUGCUAUCAUUAAUGCAUGAAAAUAACUCUUUUUUAAAACCUUCCUUCGUGCUAUAAAGGAUACCAAAAUAUUCUCGCGCUUUCCUCAUAAUGUGCCACUGACAACAUCUAUGCACCGUGUUUGGAAAAACUUGAUCGAUUGCUUUUCUCAUAGCUGGAUCUUGAUCAGUUAUGAUUGAUAUAAGGUGUUUCUCAUAAAUUGCUUGAAGCCAAAUUCUAAAUAACCAAACAAAAGUAUUGGAAGUUUCAUCCCUAAUAAGAGCACAACCGGAAAAUACCGACUAACGGUGAUGAUUUACUCCAAUAAAUGGAGCGAAAGGCAUGGAAUAUUUAUUUGUCAUAUAUGUUGUAUCAAAAGUAACAACAUCACCAAAAUUUUGAUAUGUCAUUCUCGAUCUCCCAUCUAUCCAAAAUACGUUGCGUACCAUGUUUUGCUCAUCAACCUCAAUAGCAUAAAAAAAAGAAGGAUCUCUAGCUUGACGCUCACGAAAAUAAUUGAUGGUACUGGAUAUAUCAAUCCCUUUAAAUCUUCGAUUCUAUUCAGAAAUCUCAUUACUUAGGUCCCUUCUAGUAAAGUUAAUAUUCUGUGCUCCUUCUCUUACUGCCAUAAAUGACAUAAUUUGAGUUGUUGAGAUAUUAUGCUCACUCAACAUAUGAAUUAUUUUUUUUUGUUUGGCUGUUAUUAAACGAUGAGACCGAAGAAAACGGGCUGUAGAGGGACUUGCAACUAAAGCAUGGUUAUGUUCCCUCACAAAUGCCAACAACUUCCCACUUGCCAUCAUUUGUCCUUUUUACCCUCAGAUGCGCCUUACAACCUGUUCGAGUGUACUGCAUCUGUUUUUUUGGUGUCCCUUUAUUCUCUUGAUCCCGAACUUUUGGUUUGUUGUGCCCUUCUUUAGAACAAACAUAGUGCAAAGUUGUAACUAUAUUAUCUUUUUUUUGGCUUUGUAGUGGGUAGCUUUUCUUAUGCUAAAGCUAGUUUUAUAGGCAUACAAAUUGUAAAAUCUCUUUACUUCUUCUUCAUUUUGAAGAAGUUGUCCAAUAAAUGGCUCAUGAUGUGAUGAUUCCAUGCUGCAUUGACUAAUAAAAUUUUUUUCUUGUUGGCUUUGUUUAUGCAUGAAAGAAUCAAAAUCUGUACUUUGAUUUAUCCCAAUAUCACUUGAGGGAUAUUCUGACUCUUCUCCAUAAUUGGAUCUAUUUUCUAGAGCAUCUAAAAAUGGAGAUUCAUAUUAUUCCUCACUAUUCAUCUAUUAAACAUCAUGAAAAUAAUAUAUUAUAAUUAACAUAAUAUUUUGCAUAAGGUAAUAUAUGUUAUUUUGUAUAUAGUUAAAAUUAAACAUGUAAAGAACAUUUAGAAAAGAGCAUGAUUUUUAUCAUCAACAUUCGAAUAUAUAUUUUUAAAAGAGAGGUGCACAGUAAAUUGAAACUUGAUAGGUGAGUGCCAAAAAAUAGAGUUUGUUAGGAAAUAGCUAACCUGAGAUGAUCCUUCAUGGUCGUCAAUUUCGUCUUGUGAUUCGGUAAUGCAGACGGGACUUGUUACAACAUUAUUUGCGACCAAAUCUUUUGAGUAGGAUGUGAUUUCUUUGUUCUUUGCCAUUUUCUGUGAAUAGUUUUACAAAUACAUAAAAACUAAAUAGAAAAAAAUGAUGGUAUUUAAAAUAAGAUCUAAUAUUAAUAUUAAGAUGAAACAACAGAAACUUCCUCCUCUCCUUUAUCGCAUCUGUUCUGAUAUAAUUAAUUUUCAAGGGCUAAUUUAGUGGGGUUGUUGGUUCGCAUGAUGCAUGAUGCGCAGGUAAUCUUGUCUUGCUACUUUGCUGUAUCAUCCUCUAAAUAUUCACAUUUUUUUAAAAAGAAAUUUGAAAAUUUAACUAUGUACCUUAGAUCAGAGCUAAGAAUAAUAUUAGUAGGCAUACGUGGAAAUAAUUGUUUAGUUCCCAAGCCAAUCCAUAUUUGUAUAUAGUAGACUCGUUACAACAGAAGUGUUGGGAUAAAAAUGUUGGGAACAAAAUGUUGGGGACAAAAUUUUAAUUAAAAAUAGAAACACUAAAAUUUUUUUAAAAAAAAUUUCAAAGCUCACCUUUUACAGCGCUAUUCCUACAGAUCGAAUGAGAGAUUGAGCGAGAGAUCGAAAGGCUACUUCUCACAGGUGCCUCCAGGUUAUGCUAAUCCUCCAGAUCGAACGAUAAAUCGAAAAGCCGCGCCGAGGGAUGGCGAGUCAGAGGCGAGAGGGCGUGAGGAUGGGCCUGGACCUUCUACAACGCUACUCCUGCAGAUCGAGCGAGAGAGGGCGUGAGAGGGGGUUGCGGGUCGGAGUCGAUAGGGCGUGAGAAGGGGUGGCGGGUCGGAGGCGAGAGAGCGUGAGAGAGGGUGGCAGGUCGGAGGCGAGAGGGCGUGAGGAUGGGCCUGGAGCGAGGGAGCGAGGGAGCAAAAGAAAGGCGAGGAACGGAGGAAGGCGAGGAGAGAUAGGGAAAAGUUGGGAAAUGGAGAGGGGAGAGAGAGAGAGAGGGGCAAAAAGUUGAGAUCGAGUUUGGGUUCCCCCCAAAUUUUUCCCUGUUCGAACGGGAAGGAAACGGCGCUCCGUUAGCACUAAUUGUCGCUGCAUUCUUCCCCUCAUCUGCAUGGAUCGCGAAGCAAUCCGACGGCUACAAAAUCGGUAGCAACAAUGGUGUUUUGCUACUAAUAGUAGCCCAGUUCUACUAUAUAUAUAUAUAUAUAUAUAUAUAUAUAUAUAUCUCGACGAAUGAGGGCAUCAAAUCGGUCCGGUGUCCGAAAACCUCCUUAGUAAAUUCGCUUCGCAUAGAUGAGCCGAAUGAACAGGGGGCCUAUAUUCGGCUGAGAGAUGAGCCGAAUAGCGUAGGACAAAAACGGAAUCUGGUCGGCCUGAGGAGCCGAAAACGACUUUCUAUUAAUGGAAGGGAGUGAUGCCCGUGAGGGCAGACAGACUCCGAGGUGUUUACAAGGGAGUGAUGCCCCGAGGCAGACAGACUCGCAAGGUGUUUACAAUAAUGAUGCCCGGAAGGCAGCAGACUGCCAAGAGGCUAAGUUACAAGAACUACUCCUAGGCAAAAGCGAGAAAUGCAGGGAAAAAAGGUGGUCUUUUGUGCCAGGGGCGAAGACCCGUUUUCAGGGUACUACAGGCCUAUUUAUAUAUUUUCCCCUUGUGUUCAGUUAUUGCACGAUCGCCAACCUCUCUCGGCGAUUUGGAGGACCAUGUUCGGCCGAGUUGGAACUGCCGUUGGACCCGCCCAUAACCGCUUGCGGUUGUCACUUGUUCGAACAAACGUGGCUCAUAUCUCCUGGCGCAUUUUUCCGUGCUCCCAGAUCCAGCGCUUUGAAUCCUGAAUAUGGUGAUAACGUCGUGUGCCAACUGUCCGCCGCCGUUGGUCAACAGAUCCUUAUAUUCGAUUUGUAUUAUUGUCGCUAGUUCUGUAUAGUUCAUGCUACUUUUCCCGGUUUUUCUUUUUGAUUUGAGCGCUACAAAAUACAAAUGAUCAUCCUCUCAUACUAGAGAACUUCAUGGGAGUCCAGUUCGCCAGCUAUAGUAAUUGAACAGGUUCAACAGUCCUGCGUUUCUACAAAGGAAACAAAUAUGUGCUUUACUUCAGUUUCUUCAUUCUUUACUUCAGAUUAAAUUGUCGGUGUUUGGACUGAUGCUUGCUUACGUUGUACAGAUACUCCAAUGUAUAAUUAUGAUCCAUGUCAUUGAAGUUUUGCUGAUAUAUAGUUUUUAGUGUUUUUUUUUCAUCAGGUUGAAUAUACAAAAGGCCGAAGAAUUUUAUGAUUCAUCUAGUCGCCAAUUGGUACGGCACUUUCAAUGUCUUGUUUGCUACAUUAAUUCAUAAUUUCCUCGAUCUUAUCAAGUUGUUAAUCAUUAAUGAUUUUUAAUUAAAGGAAAGAGAAUUACUUUUUAGGCCAAUAACUCUCAAAUUUCCACAAUGCUAAGGAAAUUCAUCCAUUGAUGAUUAAGAGAAGCUCUCUAGCAGUUGUUUUGGAGGAAAAUAAUUAUUGCAUUGUACAGCAGAUAAGAUGCCUAAAACAAGCAAAAUAUAUAUUUUUUUUUCCUAUUGAGGUAUCAUAUGUUGAUCGAAGGCACUUGUUUUGAUCUUUCUAAACUAGAUCUUUACCUAUGUAAUGAUCACAGUUCUAGUUGACAAUGAGCUGCUCAUCAAAGUAAUUUCAACUGACAAUUUAUCUCCAUUGAGCAAUGAGAAACUUAAUUAUACAAGAGAUCAAUGGUCUGCGAAGGUUUCAAUUACAAUGAAUGGCAAACUUAAAAUGGGUUUGCUAGAAUCAAAUUUGAUUAUUCAAACUAAAAGCGGAACAAAACAAUUCCUAACUCCCGAAUCUGCUGAAGUAAAAGAAUACCAUAUGUUACAGGAAAAAUAAUAUGUCUGGAGAUUCAAACCUGUCCUUGAAGUAAUGAAGCAAACAAUGUAUGCAAGAACAGUAUCUCACCAGCUUCCUUUGAAGUAAUGAAGAAACAUAUAAGCCUCAUGUAACAGACUUAGCCAGGAUCAAAACACAUAAAACUUAGCAGGAUCAAAACAUAAUAAAUAGAACUCUUAUCAAACAAUAGCAGGAGUUAGCAGGAUCAUAACACAAUAACAUGCCAAACAAUGUAAAGCCAGUUAAACACUAGCAGGAACAAACACAUAAUAGAACCCAGUUUAGUAUGGAAGUUGUAAGCUUCCUUUUGAACAACUAAAGCUUGAUGACUGAAAGCCCCACAUAACAACAAUCAAAAGCAACAUGACAACAUCUCCACAUGAAGACGGCUCAACGAAACCUUAUGCUCUUGUCAAAUUAGUUGCAUCACAGCUUUUUCUGCCUGUGAUUAAAAACUACAAUCAAUAGAAUCCAAAAAUAUUAUAAAUUGACUAUACAUAAAUCAUCAAAUAAGUAGCUAACAAUAUCAUUUAGCGUCCCUUGCAAGUUCGGAUUUGUGGCCUUUUUUUACUAAGUUGUGGCAUGUUUAGCUUUUUUCACUGCUUUUUUCAGCAGAAGGUUAUAUCUUUGCUGCUUUUCUUUUGUCUUUACCAUUUAGGAUUGCGAGAGGAUCCUUCAACUUGAAACAACCCAACACUAAUUUGUGAAUAAAAUAGUAGCGGUGAUGCUCCACUAUUUUUCACUUUGAUCUUGUGUUCUUCUUUUUAAAGAUAUGAGCUUUGAUAUUCUCAUCAACAAAGUUAUAGAUUUUCUCACAAGUCAUUUCAUAAUUUAAAAAGUCUUGGAUGCCUCAAAUAAAAGUUUUGCAUUUUUAGUGUAAGUGCAUUAAGUCUUGCUUUUUGCAUUUGAGGGAGUCACCUGUAACAUACUUUGAAAAUUAAUGCUUGAGGACCCUUUUUUUGCAUCUUUAGUCCACCGUUUAUAAUAUAGUGGGAGGGAAUUUAUGCAUAUCGAACGUGAAGUCUAACUUUUAAUGCAUUGUGAUAUUAAAAAGGCGGGGGAUACAAAUCAAAAAUUUUGCAACUCAAUUCACUUUCUCAAUAAGAUGGACUUGAAUAAACUAUAAAUGCAGUUUUAUUACUUGGUGCGGGUAAUGUAGAGUUUUGUAUUGUGCUAAUAUUGUUUAGCAAUUGUUCUCAUACCGUCAAAUCAUAUGCUGUCGUACAUCGAAUAUUGAUUUUAAAUUUCUGGAAAAUAUCAUUUUUGUUAUACACACUACUUACCUUGUUUUUAAUAGGAUUAUGUGGACCAUAAACUAGAUUCACAUCUCUUCAACUAAAGUCUGAUCCUCCUUAUAUAGCAACUACUAACCACUUUCCAAUUGUUAUACAAGUUACAUACUAAUGUAUGAUUAUCCAUGAUCAUUUUUCAGUUAGAGUAUUCAUCUCUCACUACGUUGUGAAGUUGGUCAUUUUAGCAAAGAAUGUAUCUCUAAAGUAUAGUAGGUACCUGACUUGCAUUCUCUAAUUGAAUGGUGAUUUGUAUCUUGUAUCCAUAUUUUUCAAUCAGUAUAAGCCAUCUACCUUUUCAAACUCUUCGACUGUUAUGACUAUGCAUAUAAUGCAUGAAAUAACUCUUUUUUAAACCUUCCUUCUCUGCUAUAAAGGAUACCAAAUAUGUCUCGCGCUUUCCUCAUAAUGUGCCACUGACAACUCUAUUGUGUGUUGGAAAACUUCGAUCGACUUGCUUCUUCUCUAGCUGGAUGCUUGAUCAGUAUGAUUGAUAUAAGGUGUUUCUCAUAAAUUGGCUUGAAGCCAAAUUCUAAAUAAGCCAAACAAAGUUAUUGAAGUUUCUCCUUAAUAAGAGCACAAACCGCCGAAAUAUGUUGAUAGCCGAAUUUCCCGAUGCCUUGACCCUCCUCGGGAAGUGUGUCGGGGUGGAAAUCGGCUGUUGAUAGUGACCCUCGAAGUUUGCGCCCACGACGGGUCAAGCGAUUCGACCGAUGAGGGAUCAAAUCGGUCGGGUCCGAAAACCUCCUUAGUAAAUUCGCUUCGGCAAGAUGAGCCGAAUGAACAGGUGGGGCCUAUAUUUCNAUAUAUAUAUAUGUGGCAAUAACCUGAGUAGGUUAAUUAUAAUUCCUGGUUAGGAAUCAUUAUAGUUAACUUACAGAAAGUGUUUGAGUUAUAGAAUCUUAGAUGCUAGUGUUGAUAGUUGCCAUGAAAGCCUAAACAAAGCUCUAUGUUAGCAACAUAUGUGAGUUUUGGGUUAAUUAUGGAGGUUAUAGAAACAUGAGUAGAGUUUGAAUUUGAUCUUUUGUAUUCCUCAAUGAAGGAAAAUUCGAUGUGUUCGGAAGCUUAAAUUGGUAUUCCGAUGAGCCUAUGGCAAGCUAGUGAGGAAAAACUUCAUUUUAGCUUCAUUUGUCAUGAGCAAGGGUUGUGAUCGUUCAUAAAUCACGGAAAGUGGUUUUCUCGCAUCUCGGCAUCAUUGAAAGGUGGGUGGUGUUUUCCGAAGUCAUCGAAUGACCUAUUAUGUUUAUGCUACUUUUCUUGAGCAUAUAUGUACAUGUUAGUUGAUAUUCAUGCAUUAUAGGGUUGAGCUUGAUAUGUGAUUGGACAUAGUUUACUUGUAUGCUUUGGAAGCAAAAUCCAUGUGGACAAUAGUUAGUAAACAUAGAACCCAAUAGAUGUAUGAACUUGUGUUGGACUAUGAAAUAGUUAGCAAAGUGACAUUGAUAGUAAAUGGCAUGAAUAGCACCGAGUAUUAUGAAUGCUAAACAAGGAUAAUGAACUUGUAUUAUGUGUGGCAUUAGAACUAGAUGAAGAUUAGCAUCUAGAAUUGGACUUAUAAACCUAGCAUAAAGAGCUAGUUAAAGUGUGGCAUUGUCAGCCAGUGUAUCCUCUAAGUAAGGAUUGAAAUUAUACUCACAUUAGUCUAAUGCUCGAGGUAAAGGUCGCUCUUCUUGGGCGAUGUGUUCCGGAGUUGUCAUCAACUCGGUUGGUAAGCGGAGUUCUCCCCUGUCACGCCCCGAGCCCGGUCCUAUCUGGCUGAUUCGAGCGCGUCGAACAGACGCUGAACGGACAGAGCCUCCCCUGUUCGUCUAAGGCUCAACAACCUGUACAAAUAGAGUACCAACUUGCACAUGCGGAAACAAACAUAAUGGCUUGCACGAGGACAAACAAUAGCCAAAGUGAAAGAGCUAACUAAUCACAUACAAGUACUAUGAUUAAAUUUAAAUCGCAGAUUUAAACACUUACAUUCUUUUUCAUCAUUUUUUUUACAUCUCAUAUCUCCAAAAUAUAACAUUUGAUAUUAAGUAAAUUCUUUUACAUCAUUCAUGUCCUUUCAUAUAACAACUAUAAUCAUCGAAAUACAAAAGAUGGUAUAUCAAAGGGGUAUGCAACUAUGAAAAUAAAACAUCACGGGCAGUCUCUACCUAGGGCGCGAUGCCCUUACCGCGAUCGUCAGCCGGCUCGCUCGGUCCCGGCUCUGUGGAAAUAGUGGGGUGAGAACUACAACAAAGUUCCCAGUGGGUUCGGCAACCAACCACGCCGACUUUCCCACUAGGUCUAAUCAGGCAUAAUAGAAUAGAAGAAAGAAAGUAACCAACUAACAAAUGCAACUAAUAUGCCUGAACAAUAUAAAAUGCGAUGCUCGAUAUAAUGCUCAUGAUGAAUGCAAGAUCACAGUUCCUUUACCCAAUCUCUUGGCUAACCCGUAAGUUUCGCCCUUAAUAGACUCACGAACCCAAAAUCCUAAUAAUCGGGGAGAUACCCGCUACACCCGAUAGGACCGUCCUCUGGGGAGAUACCCGCUAUGACCCAGUGAUGACAACUCCGGAGCUCAUCGCCUGAAGGGGAGCUACCACCCUCGAGCAAGGACUAAAGGUGAGUACGAUAAAUCCUACAUUGAGGAUUCCAAGUUCAGUUCAUUCCUUAACUUUAAGGAAGACCAUGCUCAUAUGACCAUUAACUCUAAGGUUGAAAUGUCAUAAUCUCUCAAUCAUUUUUUUCCUUGCGUUCUUUACUAUCGCUAGUAUCAUAUACACUACUAUAUUCUUGGACUCAUGCCACACUUGCUUUUUAAGUAUUAUGUUCUUGAUUCAUGCCACACUUGUUUUCUAAGUGUUCAAGACUCAUCAAUGUCACUCACUAGAUCUAUGUCAAGGUGUCACUUUUGUUCACUAAACCUUCUAGGUUCUUGUCACUUGUCAUGCAUAAAUAGGGUUUACAAUUCUCACAUUCUUACAAGUAUUUCACAUGAAAUUAAAAUCACAAUCAUGCCCUAAAAGCUUCCAAUUAACCCUACUAUGCAACAUGCUCAAUAUAUACAUAUAUGUUCAAACAUGACACUUUAGACAUAAAGGGAUUUCCGAGGUCCUUGGAAUGCACCACCCACCUCUAACAGUUGCAGGGAUGCUACGGUGAAUUUCUUGAAAUUUUUGAAGCCCUACUCCGCGUGGUGCGGUGAUCUGUUACAUAACGAAGCCAAAUUAGGCUUUUUAUUCAAUAACUUUGCGUACACUCAUCGGAUUGUCGAACCGAGCGCACCAACGCGUUUAAAAUACCCUCAAUUAGGUUUCUACAUGAUUAAAAUAGAUCAAAAUCUAACUUAGGCAAAACCCCUCUUUGGGAUGCCCUAACAUAGCAUCUAUUAAAUCCUAGGUUUUGAUCUCUUGUACAAGCAAAAGAGAGCUUGUUGAAGUAUUAGGAACUAAGUUAGAACCUUCCCAAACCAUUUCUAGGGCAUCUAAAACAAACCCUAGGAGUUCACCAUGAGAGGACCUUGAGCUUCCAUGGAUUUUCAUGGAGCUCAAGCCUCUAGAGGGUUCCUACACUUAGUUAGACGUCCACAACCCAAACCCUAGGGUAUAAAACUAAACCCUAACAUUAAGUUUUCAUAAAAACCUUACCUUAACCAAAGCUAUCCCAAGUCCUCCUUGUAGGAGAGCUUCUAAAGCCUUCAAAGCCUCCAAAACCCAAGUUUUCUCCUUCCAAUCUCAUCCAACUCCACCUCUUGGAGAGCUCUCUAGAGAGAGAAAGUGAGAGAAAUGAGAGAGGGAGAGUGUAAGGGUGUUUGGCUGUGAGGGGAGGUGUUUGGGGUAUAUUACAUGUUGUAACAAUAGCAACUAAGCCCACCAAAAAUUCUUAUUUGUAGCAGACUUCAAACUGCUGUCGGGGCCAGUUUGUACCGGUACACUUUGGUGUUACCGGUUACACGACUGUGAGAGGCCAAACCAAAGAGCAGAUCUCUCGGUUUCGCAGGUUUUGUAUCGGUACACUUGAUUUGUAUCGGUACACUUUCAACCAGAAUCAAACCCGAGAGCUCUAUCUCUCAGUCUGCGUAUCUGUACCGGUACAGAUACGCCCAUGUACCGGUACACUUGCUCCAGACUUGGUUUUUGGCUCCGACUCGACUCCACUUCGCCCCGCUUGAUGCCAAAACCAUUCUAACUUCUUUAGAACUCAUUUUUAGCCCUUUCAAUUUUGUUGAAAUGCUAAAUGGAACUCGCCCAACCAUUACUUUCGACAUUUUAACCAAUUUGGUUAAAAUUUCGAUUAUCGCUUUCGGGUUUCGAUAUGUUACAUUCUCCACCCCUUAAAAUUUGUUUCGUCCGCGAAACUAUUUAAUUGAAAUCUAGAUUCAUACCUCAAUCCAGAUUCUCGAAGAGAUGGGGAUAUUGCUCUCUCAUUGAGCUCUCAAGCUCCCAAGUAGCUUCCCGAUCGUCGUGGUUGCACCAACGAACCUUAACAUACGGAAUCUCCCGGUUUCGUAGCUUUCUUACCUCCCUAUCAAUAAUGUACGCCGAGAAUUCCUCAUUAGUCAUAUCCUCUUGAAUCUCGGACGGUUCAAACGAGAGAAUAUGCUCGGGAUCGUGCACAUACUUGCGGAGAUUUGACACGUGAAACACAUCGUGCACUCCCACCAGUCUCGGCGGUAAAGCUAACUUGUAGGCCGCCGCGCCAACCCGCUCCAAUAUCUCGAAUGGUCCAAGGUACCAGGGACUUAGUUUCCCCCGAACUCCAAACCAUUUAAUUCCCUGCAUCAGCGAUACUUUUAGGAACACGUGGUCUCCAACGGCAAACUCUAUAUCUUUCCUCCGUUUGUCAGCAUAGUUCUUUUGUCGUGAUUGCGUCGUAGCAAGUCGUUGGCGGGCGAGGCGAACUUUCUCCUCCGCCUCCCGAACUGCAUCGGGGCCGAGAGCCACUCUCUCGCCCACAUCGCUCCAAUGGAUUGGAGAGCGACAUUUCCUUCAAUAAAGGGCCUCGCAUGGCGCCAUCGCGAUACUCUCUUGGUAACUGUUAUUGUACGCGAACUCCGCCAUUGGUGGAUGAUCAUGCUAAUUGCCCUUGUAAUCAAGUACACACGCUCGAAGCAUAUCCUUAAGUAUUUUUAUCGUCCUCUCCGAUUGACCAUUAUUUGAGGAUGAAAUGCCGUGCUAAAGUCGAGCCGCGUGCCCAAUGCCUCCUGUAGGCUCCUCCAAAAGUGAGAUGUAAAUCUUGGGUCCCGAUCCGAUACGAUAGACACGGGCACUCCAUGAAGUCUCACAACCUCGUCGAUAUACACUUGAGCCAACUUGUCCCCCGACCAUGUAAUAUGAAUCGGUAGGAAAUGCGCCGACUUCGUCAACCGGUCCACUAUAACCCAAAUUGCAUCGUGCCCACCUUGAGAUCGUGGCAAUCCCGUCACAAAGUCUAUAGCGAUAUUCUCCCAUUUUCAAACGGGUAUAGGUAAGCUUUGUAAUUUCUCCACAGAAAACCGCCGCUCCGCUUUUACUUGUUGGCAAGUAAGACAUUGCGCAACAAACUCCCCAAUGUCUUUCUUCAUACCCGGCCACCAAUAGUGCAAUUUCAGAUCUUGAUACAUUUUGGUGCCGUCCGGGUGAUACUAUAAGGAGAUUGAUGCGCCUCUUGCAUAAUUGCUUUGCGGAUGUCCUUAUUCUUAGGUACACACCGACGAUUUCGAAAUCAAAGUGUGCCGUCGGUCCCAAUGCCAAAAUCAUCGGCACUACCGCUCUCAACUUCACUACGCACCUUUUGGAGAUACUUGUCGGAAGUUUGCAACUCCUUUAUCCUCUCCAACAAGGUCGGUUGAACAACCAACGCCGCAAGUGUAGCUGACACUCCUACCGCUACUACUUCCAAUCCAAGCCGUUGCAUCUCUUUUUGCAAUAAUGGUUGGGGUGUAAUAGCCGAAGCCAAGUUUUUCCCCAAUUUUCUACUAAGUGCAUCGGCCACGACAUUUGCUUUCCCCGGGUGAUAUAGUAUAGUGAUGUCAUAAUCUUUCAAUAACUCUAACCACCACCAUUGUCGCAUAUUCAAUUCCUUCUGGGUGAACAAGUACUUAAGGCUCUUAUGAUCUGUAUAGAUCUCACAAUGUUCACCAUACAAGUAGUGCCUCUAUAACCUUAGCGCGAAGAUAACCGCCGCUAACUCGAGGUCGUGAAUCGGAUAGUUCUUUUCAUAAUUCUUCAAUUGGCGCGUAACCCGCCUAUUUUCCAUCAAGACACACCCGAUACCGACAUAGGAAGCAUCACUGUAUACAACAAAGGUCUCCCCCAGCGUCGGUAGAGCAAGCACCGGGGUCGUUGUCAACCUUUCCUUUAGCUCUUCGAAGCUCCGCUCGCAUUCGGGACUCCAAAUAAACUUUACUCCCUUGUGUGUGAGGCGCAUUAGCGGAGUGGUUAUUUUAGCGAACCCCUCCACGAACCGCCGAUAGUAGCACGCUGGCCCAAGAAAACUGCGGACCUCCGAUACGCUCGUCGGGCGAGGCCAAUCUUUAAUUGCCUCCACUUUCUUCGGGUCAACCGAGAUACCAUUACCCGAAAUCACAUGACCAAGGAAAGUGACCUCCGAUAGCCAAAAGUCGCAUUUCUUCAAGUUGGUAUAAAGCUUCUAUUUUCGGAGUAUUUCCAAUACGGUCCUCAAGUGCUCCUCGUGUUCUUCCUCGGUCCGAAAAUAUACCAAUACGUCGUCAAUGAAUAUCACGAUGCACCGGUCCAAUAGCGGACGGAAGACCCUAUUCAUUAAGUCAUGAAUGCCGCCAGGGCGUUGGUAAGCCCAAACGGCAUUACCGUGAACUCGUAAUGGCCAUACCGCGUAUGGUACGCUGUUUUGUGCACAUCCUCAGGCCGUAUCUUCAACUGGUGAUUCCCCGACUGAAGGUCUAUCUUGGAAUACACCUUUGACCCUUGCAACUGAUCGAAUAAGUCAUCAAUUCUCGGCAACGGGUACUUGUUCUUAACUGUGACCUUGUUCAAUUCGCGGUAAUCCACGUAGAGUCGAAGUGUGCCAUCUUUCUUUUUAACAAAUAGCACCGGAGCUCCCCAAGGUGACACGCUCGGCCUCACAAAGCCUUUAUCGAGCAAGUCUUGCAACUGUGCCUUUAAUUCCUUUAGCUCCGCCGGUACCAUUCUAUACGGAGCCUUCGAAAUUGGCGUCGCCCCGGGUACCUAGUCAAUAACGAACUCGAUCUCCUGGUCCGAUGGCAAUCCCGGUAACUCCGCCGAAAAUACAUCCGGAAACUCGCACACUACCCGAAUACCACUAAGUUCCGGAUGCUUCUUUUGGGCUUCUACCAUUGUCGCCAAGUAGGCUACACAUCCACCUUUUAUCAUUUUUCUCGCCCUCGCCGCCGAUAUGGUCGCAUCGAAGCACAAGCUUUUACAUGCCUGAUAUACUAACUCCUCUUAGUUAGGCUCACGGAAUGUAAUCACCUUACUUUCACAGUCUAUUACGGCAUAAUACUUGGAGAGCCAGUUGAUCUCCAAGAUUACGUCAAAGCCCCACAUCUGUUUCAACACCAAUAGGUCUAUCGGCAUGACCCAGUCACCAAUCUGUACUGGGCACGCCAAACACUCGUUAUGAACAUGAAACGAGUGUUCGGGAGUAUUCACUGACCAAUAAUCCUCGUUAUGCACAAUCUCAAUGCCAUGAGUUCUAGCGAAUGAUGCACCUAUGAAUGAAUGCGAUGCACCUGUGUCGAAUAAAGCUCUAGCUCUAAUGCCAUGGAUCGAGAUAAUACCUGCCACGACAUCGUCGGGAACUGCGAUCGGCUCCUCCACCUGAGUGGCAAAAAUCCGCCCACUCGGUGCUCUCAAUGCCUCCGGCUGAAGCGAUGCAGAUGAGCGUCCCGCCGACAUAGCUGGUGGUAACCCCACAAGCUGUCUCGGGGUCGACGGAACUGAUGCCGAGAUCGGUGCAGAUGAACCACGGCUCGGGCACUCCCGUGACAAGUGCCUCGGUUGGCCACACUUAAAGCACUUUCCCUCGCGCUGCGGGCAUGCCGGCGGUUGAUGGUUGCCGCUGUAGAUAACACAAUAGGAUGCCCUCCAAUCUCUCGACUAUUGUCGGGGAUACUGAAGGGGUUUCUUUGCAUUCGACCGACCCCCGAUGCCACCCGCCGCCCGCUUCUUGCUCUUGUCCUUUGCCUCGGCUGCGGACUCGCGCUCCUCGCGUUUGUGGGCAUAGCCAUGCUCCGCCCACAAGACUCGAUCAAAGACCUCAGUAAAGGUCGUCAGCUUGAGGAUUUGCACGGUCCUAUAGAUCCCCGGCCGAAGUCCUCGCAAGAACCAAUCGGCCCAGUCCCGGUCAUCUCGAACAACAUCCGGGACACAGUCGAUGAGGUGGGAGAACUUCUGCUCGUAGUCUGCCACCGAGCGAUCUCCCUGUCUCAACUUGUAGAAUUUCUCUUGCAACUUCCGCUUCACGGUGUCAGAAAAGUAGUUGGCGAACACCGCCCUCUUGAACUCCUCCCACAUCAUAGGCGGAAGAUCGGGAGACCGAUCCCGCCGCACCCGCUUCCACCACACCAUCGCCGCCUUCUCGAGGUAAUGUGUGGCUAGGUACACCUUGUCCUUCUCCAAGGUGUUCAGAUCCUCAAAUAGCUUCUCUAUGGAGUCGAUCCAUUACUCCACCACCGCCGGUUCCACCACCCCCCCUUCGAAGAUAGGUGGGUGGAACUACUGGAAUUGAAUCAGGGCUACCAACGUGCGCUCCUGCUCCGCCUCUUCCACAGUACUGUCGGAAUUUGAGGUUCCCGAACCGGCUGGUAUCGCCGUGACUGGUACGGCCGCGACUGGCGCCGCCGCCGCCGCUACUCCCUCUACCAUCGUCGGUACCACAACAGGGGGCGCAGGGUGUUCGGCCCCCACUUGAGCGGCCGUCGCCUGCUGUCGCUCCAACGCCUCCUGGAGCCUAUGGAUUUGCUCCCCUUGACGCUGAACAGACUCCGCUUGCUGCCGCACUACGUCAAUCAGCGCGGCCAUCUGCUCCCGAAGCUCCCCGUCGCCACCCGCUCCAGGUUGCACAGAAGCCGCUCUCGAUUCCUCGGACAUCGACCUUGUUCGCGGUCGUUCACGAGGUCAAGGUGCCAUUGCUUCCUGUAACAAAGCAAUUUACAUUAGUUACUUAACCAAUAUACUCAAACUUACCGAAUCCGGCGAAAGCAAUAAGUGUAUUUAUUUUCAUUCCGAAGCAUCAUGUCGUCGGCCGCCGAUCACAACACAAGAAAAAGAAAACAAACAUCAACUUAAAUUUAGUCCCUAACCACAUUAGAGACAUAUUAACAUUAACCCAAUCCAAGCUUUCGCUAUUGUUUAGUUCCACGUUACUCACAUUUCCUAGAUCCUUAAGGUUAUUCUAAUCCUAAAGGUCUCUAGGUCCAUCCUAUACUUUCGCCUUCUAGUUCUUUACGCUCUAAUACCAUUAUAUCUGUCAUGCACUGAACCCGGUCCUAUUUGGCAGGUUCGAGCGCGUCGAAUAGACGUCGAACGGACAGAGCCUCCCCUGUCCGCCCAAGGCUUAACAACCUGUACAAAUAGAGUACCAACUUGCACAUGCGGAAGCAAAUAUAAUGGCUUGCACGAGGACAAGCAAUAGCCAAAGUGAAAGAGCUAACUAAUCACAUACAAGUACUAUGAUUAAAUUUAAAUCACAUACUUAAACACUUACAUUCUUUUUCAUCAUUUCUUUUUACAUCUCAUAUCUCCAAAAUAUAACAUUUAAUAUUAAGUAAAUUCUUUUACAUCAUUCAUGUCCUUUCAUAUAACAACUAUAAUCAUCAAAAUACAAAAGAUGAUAUAUCAAAAGGGUAUGCAACUAUGAAAAUAAAACAUCUCGGGCGGUCUCUGCCUAGGGCGCGAUGCCCUUACUGCGAUCGUCAGCCCCUCGCUCGGUCCCGGCUCUGUGGAAAUAGUGGUGUGAGAACUACAACAAAGUUCCCAGUGGGUUCGGCAACCAACCACGUCGACUUUCCCACUAGGUCUAAUCAGGCAUAAUAGAAUAGAAGAAAGAAAGUAACCAACUAACAAAUGCAACUAAUAUGCCUGAACAAUAUAAAAUGCGAUACUCGAUAUAAUACUCAUAAUGAAUGCAAGAUCACAAUUCCUUUACCCAAUCUCUUGGCUAACCCGUAGGUUUCACCCUCAACAGACUCACCAGCCCAAAAUCCUAAUAAUCGGGGAGAUACCCGCUAUACCCGAUAGGACCGUCCUCUGGGGAGAUACACGCUAUGAUCCAGUGAUGACAACUCCGGAGCUCAUCGCUCGAGGGGGGAGCUACCACCCUCGAGCAAGGACUAAAGGUGAGUACGAUCAAUUCUACAUUGAGGAUUCCAAGUUUAAUUCAUUCCUUAACUUUAAGGAAGACCAUGCUCAUAUGACCAUUAACUUUAAGGUUGAAAUGUCAUAAUGUCUCAAUCAUUUUUUUUCUUGCGUUCUUUACUAUCACUAGUAUCAUAUACACUACUAUAUUCUUGGACUCAUGCCACACUUGCUUUCUAAGUGUUAUGUUCUUGACUCGUGCCACACUUGUUUUCUAAGUGUUCAAGACUCAUCAACCCUUCUAGGUUCUUGUCACUUGUCAUGCAUAAAUAGGGUUUACAAUUCUCACAUUCUUAAAAGUAUUUCACAUGAAAUUAAACUCACAAUCAUGCCCUAAAAGUUUCUAAUUAACCCUACUAUGCAACAUGCUCAAUAUAUACAUAUAUGUUUAAACAUGACACUUUAGACAUAAAGGAAUUUUCGAGGUCCUUGGAAUGCACCACCCACCUCUAACAGUUGCAGGGAUGCUACGGUGAAUUUCUUAAAAUUUUUGAAACCCUACUCCGCGUGCUGCGGCGAUCUGUUACAUAACGAAACCAAAUUAGGCUUUUUAUUCAAUAACUUUGUGUACACUCGUCGGAUUAUCGAACCGAGCGCACCAACGCGUUUAAAAUACCCUCAAUUAGGUUUCUACAUGAUCAAAAUAGAUCAAAAUCUAACUUAGGCAAAACCCCUCUUUGGGAUGCCCUAACAUAGCACCUAUUAAAUCCUAGAUUUUGAUCUCUUGUACAAGCAAAAAAGAGCUUGUUGAAGCAGUAGGAACUAAGUUAGAACCUUCCCAAACCAUUUCUAGGGCAUCUAAAACAAACCCUAGGAGUUCACCAUAAGAUGACCUUGAGCUUCCAUGGAUUUUCAUGGAGCUCAAGCCUCUAGAGAGUUUCUACACUUAGUUAGAGGUCCAAAACCCAAACCCUAGGGUAUAAAACUAAACCCUAACCUUAAGCUUUCAUAAAAACCUUACCUUAGCCAAAGCUAUCCCAAGUCCUCCUUGUAGGAGAGCUUCUAAAGCCUUCAAAGCCUCCAAAACCCAAGUUUUCUCCUUCCAAUCUCCGCCAACUCCACCUCUUGGAGAGCUCUCAAGAGAGAGAAAGUGAGAGAAAUGAGAGAGAGAGAGUGUAAGGGUGUUUGGCUGUGAGGGGAGGUGUUUGGGGUAUAUUACAUGUUGUAACAAUAGCAACUAAGCCCCCCCAAAAAUUCUUAUUUGCAGCAGACUUCAAACUGCUGUCGGGCCUAGUUUGUACCGGUACACUUUGGUGUUAUCGGUUACACGACUGUGAGAGGCCAAACCAGAUAGCAGAUCUCUCGGUUUCGCAGGUUUUGUACUAGUACACUUGAUUUGUACCGGUACACUUUCAACCAGAAUCAAACCCAAGAGCUCUAUCUCUCAGUCUGCGUAUCUGUACCGGUACAGAUACGCCCAUGUACUGGUACACUUGCUCCAAACUUGGUUUUUGGCUCUGACUCGACUCCACUUCGCGCCGCUUGAUGCCAAAACCAAUCUAACUCCUUUAGAACUCAUUUUUAGCCCUUCCAAUUUUGUUGGAAUGCUAAAUGGAACUCGCCCAACCAUUACUUUUGACAUUUUAACCAAUUUGGUUAAAAUUUCAAUUAUCUCUUUCGGGUUUCGAUAUGUUACAUUCCCAGUAGUCAGUCCUGUCAGGUUGGUAGCGAAAUUCUCCCCGACGAAAAGGGAUUUAGUUUGUGAGUUGUAGUUAGUUAACCACAGGGGUUAACUAAGUUGCUUGGAUAAUGGUAUGGUAUAUGAUAGCAUGCAUGCAUAAACUACAUGAGUUAUAUAUUAUUCUCUUCAGCUUUGUACAGGCAUUGUAGUAGUUACAUUUACAUUUGGUUACUAUCUGUUUACCUUUCUUGCCUACAUAUGCCUGAGUAAACCUAGUGGGUAAGUUGGCGAGGUCAACAGCCGGACUCACUGGGAACUUUCAGUAGUUCUCACCCCACUAACCAUGCAGGUUCUAGCGAGUGCAGGGUGGUUGAGGAUCAUGACAGGGACAGUCGAUAGAUAGCGACAUCCAUUGAGUAUAGUUGUAGCUUGUUUAUUUUAUCUAUUUAUUGUUGAUUAAAGGAAAUGUAAAUUAUUCUUUUGAGAUAUGACAAAUGUAUCUAUAUGUUGGAAAAUGAAUGUAUGUAAUCGCAAUGUAAACUUUGUAUUUGAUUUAAAGUAAUCAAGAUACAAUGUAUGAAUGAUUUAGUUAGUUUACUUUCACUUGCUAGUGUUGCUUACUCUCGUGUAAGCCAUGUAUAUUGAAAUUUUUUCUGGGCAUUUUUUUAUAUAUGUUUGAUUGUUGUUGUGGUAGAGCCUUGGGCGAACAGAGUAGGUUCUGUUUGUUUGGCCUCUGUGUACGGGUCCGAACCGACUAAAUUGGCGAUCACGGGGCGUGACACCCGAGAUUUAAAGUGUAUCAAUUUAGUGCCAUGUGGUUUUCUUUUUAUCUUUUUAUUAUCAAUUAUGCUAAUUUUUUUCGCUAAAUUAGUGAUAAAGUUAAAACUAAAUUGUACUAAAGUGAAUAUUCGAUAAAUCUAGGUAGGUAUCUGAAGUUUUUUGUAUAUAAUUUAACGAAAUAUUAACGAAAAAAUUGACGAAAAGAUAAAAAUAAAACAAUAGGAUACUAAGUUGAUACACUUUAAAUCACAGAAUACUAAAGUGAACAAAUGCGAAAUUACAGAGAUAGUAUUUGUAAUACACUGAACUUGUACAAAUUGAGGAGUUCGAGUGUAUGGAAUGGAAUAUGGAACUAUCCUACAUAUUCUAAAAGGCUUGGACACGUUUUUGGACAAGUUAGAGAGUGAUUGGACGGCUAAAAGCAAGAAAGUGCAUUGCUGUAGUUUUUUUUCAAAAUUUUGCAUUGUGUACCGGUACAGCCAUCACCCUGUACCAGUACAGCAAGCAGCAGCCGCUGCAGCUGCGUGGCAGCAUGGCUAUUUUGGUCAUUUCACUUCAUCUAUCCAUCCUUAUCUCUCCCAGCUCGACCCUGAGGAUGCUUAUCACCUGUAAGCUCAGGGAAAAUAGGAUUUUUAGCUCUUCACUUCUUUCUCUCUCUAGAAUUUUCUUCCUUGACAUAAAAGUCGCCGUUUUGCGCCGUUUCCGCGUCGCGCUCGUUGCUCGCUGAUUGGAGGGCUCAAGGGAAGUUGUUAGCACGUGGGGAGAAGGAGUUUUGCUGUGUUGCUGUGAGGUUACAACCAGGGGAAGCUAAAUCCCAGCUCUAGAGAGGUAAUCGACUCGAUUUCUCUCUAGUUUACGGUUUAGUAUUGAAUUUGGACGCCUUUUAGUUUUGUUGCUUCCAACUGAGUUAGAAAUUGUUUACAGCAGUAAUGAGAGGUUAUUUUGACUGUGAAUUACCUACUUUAGCUCAGAGAAAAGUUGUUUUAAAACUUGAUGAAGAUAAAUAGUGAGUUAUGCUCUAAUUCGAAGCUAUAUGCGAAUUAAUGGAGCGAAUUGAUGCAGUUUGGAUUUGUUCCUUCGCAGUAGGUUUUCGAACCACUUCAGGCUAAUUUGGUGACCAGGGAGACUAGUUUGGAAGGUGUUCCAACUGAGGGUAAGCUGAAAUUUCUGUGAGAAAACUGAAUUUACAAGAUUCCGACUAUAUCUAUUAGUAUCUAACGAUUUUGAUGCCGUUUCGACGUUGUUCGCANCUUCUCCUCCAACUUCUUGUUUAGAUCAAGAGUUGAGGUUCAUGGUUGAGUUGAGUUGAAUUGAUGGUGGCGCAGGGGCCGUAGCGGCCACUUUUGUCUGCCCUCUUGAUGUGAUCAAGACGAGGCUGCAGGUCCACGGGCUGCCCCGGAUGCAUCCCUCCCACCGCCGAGGUUGGCCUCUUCCUUUUUCAUGGCUCUUCAAUUCUUCUUCUUCCAAUUUAUGAUGAUUGUUGCCAGCAGUGAUUUUUGAAUCCGUGAGUUAUUCAUGACAUUCAAUUAGAACCAAUUAAGGUUUUGUUCCAAAAGGAGUUAAACUUCGCAGAUCCAGCAUUUACAGGGCAAAGAAGUGUCACAUUAUGUUCUCUUUCACAGGCUUAGUUGUUAGUUAGCUUUAGAUUUUAGGCAAAAAUAGACGUCUGACGCUCUACCAACUUACGCCGUGCCAGUCAAAUGAGAGAUGAAAAACUAGGAUCCGAAAGAAUCCUAGAUAGUGAAAAUUGCACAAAUGGCGAAGCUUUGCGGUUCGAUAUGAUUACGAGGUGAUGAAGCUUUUCGCUGUUUCUUGAAUGGGUGGUACUGUUUUAUUUGGCAUGCCAUGUUAGGUUAGCUCUAGUUGAGUUCGGUACAAUUCCGUUGGAACUUAGUAGCAACGUUAUUUUUGUCAUUUUGUCAUAUCCAUCCCUUCCUUUAGCAGCAUUAUUUAAAUUUCUAUAGAAGCAAGCCGAAAUUCAACAUGCAGGUUUUGGUUUGAGUUUCGCUCCAUGCUACCGGUGUUUUGGUUUUGAAAGUUUCGGUGAUUUCGAGAAUUUGGAAGUUUAACGUCUAGAGUUUGGUUGAAAGUUUCAGAAGGAUCAAAGUAAAUAUGGAGGAUUGGUAUGAUCGUAAUAAAACUCAUUUCCAUGACAGUUUGAUGUACAAAUAUCUCCCUUUAUGCUUCUUCUAGGAAAGUUGUAGUUACCUAUCAUGUUGUCGUCAAACAGAGAAAUCAAGUAUAAUGUAAGAUGGAAGUUAUAUAAUCUGUGUAUUUUUGUCGCUUUGUAAGGUUGUUGUGGUAUGUUCUAAAGUUAACCGUCUUAUUAAAGACUUCUGACAGCCUUAGCAGAUCCAAAGCUCGGUCCUUCUCAUCCUGUUUUCCCUACUGUAAAAGCUGCAACAUUUCUUUCCUGUUAUUGGCUGAUCAAAAGAGCUUUAGAAGCUACUAAUUCUUCCUUUGGACCCUAAACAACAUUAUGUAUGUUGUUCUUCCUGUGAUAUACAACUUUUCUGACUGCUGUUCUUCCCUGUUUAUCCUGCGAAAGCUGCAGACGUUGACCACAGAAUAAAACCACUUACUAAUCCCUUUCUAACCUACCCACGAUGAUUUUCCCCUAUAAAUUGCUCUCCGAUGGCAUCCUUGCUAAAUGCGAAAAAUCUACUUAUCUUGAUUUUGGUUCCAACUCGUCCUUCUUCAUUGCACACGCAUGCACACAGACUUAAGGCUUUAAAGGAAACUGACUUAUACUGAUAGAAAUAGUGGAAAAUAGUAAGAACUUAUUCAACUAUCUUCUUUUAUAUCUUUGAAUGUUUAUGUGCAUUAACAGUUGUAUUCAUACAAGUGCCUAACAUAUACUGAUCUCUCUCCUCCUUAUUCUUUCCCAAAGAGUAUUUGGUAAUUCGCUUUACUUGACGAAUUAGGUAGUAUCAUUAUUUCGAGCUUGGAUCAAAUAAUUAAAACGGAAGGCUUUCAAGGACUGUAUCGUGGCCUUACUCCAACUAUUGUAGCACUACUUCCAACUUGGACAGUGAGUAUCGUAUACCCUUGUAUUUAGAAACUGCCCUUAAAUAUAUCAGUUUUUGUUUUUUUCUAGCUUACUGAUUUGCUUAUUUUGUAUUUUAUCUUUAUCCGACUACCAGCCUUCAAUCUAUCAUUGCUCAUGCAAUUAAAAUCCUCAAGAUCAUAUAGAUCUAAUCCAUACAAACUAGGUGGAAGAAACUCUUCUGUAUUGCGGUGGAUAUUGCCAUUCUCCUAUAGAAGUUGAGGGACUGUUGUACGUUCCCUAAUAGCCACAUCUCACCAAGUGACAAGAUGCUUAAAUUCAUGAUUUCGAUUCAAAUUUAGGUUGAAAUUCAUAAAAAUAAAUUCAAAAAUUAAAGUUAAGACCAAAUAUAAUCUUUUAGACAAGCUCUUAAUUUUCGGUUACUUUGGAAGUCAAAUAAUUGAGAUAUAGUUUAACUCACUUUACCAACUCAUUUUUGUAAAUUAACUUUCAUAUUCACUUUCGUAAACCGGAUAAUCGAGAAGACGUCACUUUCUGAAAAUGCUACUUUUCGUGUUUUACUUUCGGCCAACCAAACAUGCCUUGAAGGAAAGUGGGAAUUUUUUAUACUUUUAUAAUAAAACUGAAUGGAGACCCCCUCAACUAUGGACAUUUGAAUGACCCCUUCAACUUUAUUUCUUUUGAUUGACACUUCUUAACUUUUGAAUUUUUAGAAUAAGUUAUUCUAGUUUGUUAAACUGAGCAUUUUGUCAAAUUCAUUAAUGACUCUUAUCAGGUUCAACAAUUUUAUCAAAAUUUUAUUAAAUAAAAACUGAAACAAGUGAUGACUAAUAACUAAUUAGUUCAUUUAAUUCAACGAAAUUUAUUAUAUGAAUGUUGGAUUUUAGGGUUUGUUUGACUCAUGAUAGUGAGGUAGCUUCUUAUAGGAUCACUCUCAUAGAGUUUCCCUUCGCAGUGAUCGGAAUAGGUUGUUCUUUUUUGAUCUCUUCUCUACUCUUUUUUGUAUGAUGAUGUGUGUAUUGGAUGGCAUUUUUGAUCUUUGAAUAAGUUUCCUAUAUGCUACGGUAUCAGUUGGAUUGCGUUAUCCUUUUAGCAAUUGGAGACUUAUGUGUUUCUUGUGAUUGUUAACUGAGAAAGCCCUUUAGUUGAUUGAAAUGCUAUAUUUUGCAGCAUUUAUUGCUUAAUUGAGCAAACGUCAUAUGCGGCAUAACUGCUUCAGCUUUAAUGUGAUUUACGGGUGAUUUGUGUUAUUGAAGUACGUUACUACAUUUCUAUUGAAGUUUAUUUAGAUCAAGAAUGUGCUUUGUGAUUUGUUGGAAUAAUUGUUUGUUCCUCUAUGGAAAUACAUGACGUUCUCCUAUAUUUAUUUUUCACAAUUUCUUGUAUAAAUUGUGGAUAUUGUCAGCAUAUUUUUGGUGUGUUUAAUAGAUUUCUUAUGUUUUAUGAACUCAUCUAGUCAAGUUCGCAUUAAGAUUUGUUGAAUCAUUCAAGACCAAUCAGGUGUCAGAUUUAAAAUUUUAAGAAUAACGAUAUCAAACUGCCAUUUCACUAGUGACGAACCUGAAAAGUUUGAGGAAUGUCAAAAUUGUUGAAUAGUUGUAAGACUACUAUUAGCUAGUUUACUGAAAUAAUUCCUCUUUUGUAAAAAAGAAAUUGUUGUAGAAUAUUUUCAUUUCUUUUCCUUUUGAUCUCUUGAAUAUGCUGGAAGCAUAAUUAUUUGCCUUGCUUUUCAAUCUCUUGAACAUGCUUGAAGCUUUCUUUUGCUACAUCACUUAAUUAUUAAACAACCUAAGGUCUACCAUGGCAUCUUAAUUGCAAGAGCAAUCAGUGGAGUAAAUUGUUUCCUGCGGUGAUUUACUAGGCGUCAAGGACAUGGGACACGACAUGACUCAGACACAACUACUCGGCAACUUCUAAAAAAUUAGGACACGGGCAUGGCAUGGACACCGCCAAUAAAAUAUAAUAUUAUUAAUAUAAUAAUUUAUAUUUAUUAUAUAUAAAAUAAUUAAUUUUGCUAAAACUUUGUUAUAUUUCUCAUCUGAAUGAAAGUUAAUAAAAUUCUUAUCAAUAGUUCAUAUAUUUUAAGGAAAGAAAUUCUCCACCAUACAUAAUUUAUUUAUAUUGUCCAAAAUAAAUUUGUAUGCAUUCAUCAAAAUGCCAAAAACUUUAUCAUCUUACACUAUAUAUAUAUAUAUAUAUAUUAUUGGAAUGCAUCACAGACCCGUGUCAAACGCGCACUUAUGGUUUGUCCGCAUUCGGACACAAGUCCGACAUGGACACGCGGAUGUCUGACAUAGAGGCUUAUAGAAGUGUCCGUGAGGCAUAGGUGAUUUAUCAUGGCUCUGCCAGGUUUCUCUGCAUUGAUAGUAUCAUGUGGAAAAUAACUAUAGGAUAUCCAUGUGCUUACCUCUGGAUGAUACUAAAUUGAUCAGAUAGUUAAAAUUUUUGAAAUAUCUACUUAGUCACUAGAACCUAAUUUUUUUUUUUUAAAAAAAUCAUAAUAUCAACAUUCAUAUAAUCACAUAUCCCGAGUUGUGAUAAUUUGGAUUAUAAAAGGCUUACUAGUUCCGAAAUAAUAGUUUGGUCUCUAAAUGGAAAAUUCAGUGCUUCACAUGAAUCAUUAAUUCAAACUGAUUCAUUUCUUGUUGGAUAGAAUCAAACUAGAAUAAUGGGCUUUUUUUGCAAAUAGCGCCCUUACAAUUUUUUUUUUUAAAUUGGCCCUGUCAAAAAUUUAUUUGCAAAAAUGGCCCUGGCCCCGCCACGCAAGCGCCACGUCAGCGCCACGCGGGCGGGGCUGGGCCAGAUGGUUAAGUUGAACACGGUGAACCAUUCACCGUGUUCAAUACAAAGUUUUUGUAUUGGACACGGUGAACCAUUCACCGUGUUCAAUACAAAGUUUUUGUAUUGGACACGGUGAACCAUUCACCGUGUUCAAUACAAAGUUUUUGUAUUGGACACGGUGAACCAUUCACCGUGUCCAAUACAAAAUAGCUAAGAUCGAAAUAUUUGUAUUGGACACAGUGAACCAUUCACCGUGUCAAAUACAAAUAAUUGGACACGGUGAAUGGUUUACCGUGUCUAAUACAAAUACCUCCAACUUAGCCAUUGUUGGGGUAUUUGUAUUGGACACGGUGAACCAUUCACCGUGUCCAAUAUAAAAAUCUUGUAUUGAAACACGGUGAAUGGUUCACCGUGUUCAACUUAAAUACCUGGGCCCGCCUUGCCCGCGUGGCGCUGACGUGGCGCUGGCGUGGCAGAGGCAGGGCCAUUUUUGCAAAUAAUUUUUGGACGGGGUUAUUUUUGUAAAUAAAAUUUGUCAGGGGGCUAUUUGCAAAAAAACCCCCUAGAAUAAUAGGUCCAAUCAACUUUAAAUGAGAUCACUUCACAGAAUUCAAUUCGAUCUAAUCAAAUAGCUAUUGCACGACAUAGAUGUACCUAGAUUUAAAUACUAUAGAAAACUACAUUCAGAAUUUCAGAUCCAUAAAAUUGUUAAUUAUAAACCAAUUGGAUCAGAAGUUCACUGUAAAAUAAUCUUAUGAAGAAUUUAUGAAGUUAAGAUAUUGUUAGAGUUUUGUGUGCUUGGAGCCAAAGCAUUAGUUCACACCCAAUAUUAUUAACAUCCAUCAGUAGGAUGGAUACAUAGUUUUGGGUAUUGAAGAGUGGUACAAAUUAAGAAAGAAUACAACAGCAAUAGAUAUUUAUUAUGACAUUUUAAUGAAUCUAGAAAGGGAAUAAAGGUCUGACUCAUGGCUAUGGUGAAGAGAAAUAUAGGAGAACAUCUGAGGAAGAAAGAGAGUAGAAGACAAUCCACCUUCUUGGUGAUGAUUGGGGAGUAAAUGGUGGUUCGAUUGGAUUGCCUAUAAGGUCAUUGAAGUAGAAGACAUAAACGAAUAGUGGACUUGGGGGUGGUCUAGGGUAAGGCCGAAGAGGAGGACAUAAUAGAACAGUGGACUUGGGUUAGAAUCUAAUAUGAAGAUUAGCUGUAAUUAGAUCAUCAUGAGCUAUAAGUUUCUAUGUUUGAAAGAAGCCUUAAAGAAGAUAUGGUUUUUUUCCCCGAAAGGACCCUUCUUAAAUUGUACCAUUUAUUACAGUUUUAACACUAACCAUAAAAUACACAAAUUUUGCUAGAUUAGUUUUUACCCAAAAAAUCGAUUUAAUAGGAAAUGGGCCUAGGGAUACACAUUAACACUCUCACUCACGUGCAUGAUGGGUUUGAAAGGCACAUGAAAUUGAUAGGUGAGGCAUGAACACAUUAUAUAAUGUGAAAAUUUAACGUGUUAAAUGUCAAAGGUGGAGAUUGAACCCAUGACCUUACAUAACGAAGGGGUUCAGAAUUAGCUCUGAUACCAUGUUACCUGAAAGAUUGAUCUAGUAGGAAAUAAGCCUAGGAGACUAGGAGUAUAUAUUAACGUUAGUUUAAUGGUUACAAGUAAACUUGAAUUGAAGAAGGGGAAAUGCUUAUCGGAAAGAGGUGUAAGCAUAUUUAUAUGUUUUGUGCCAGGAAAACAAUGAUCUGCAUAAGCACUCAUAUUGUUAAUCUUGUGGGCUGUCACUUUCGCUUAUAACUGCCAAUAAAGAAAUUGCCCAGAAAAGCUAACAUCUGGUGCUAGAGUUACUGUAAAUGAAUAAAGGUUGAUAUCGUGCAAGAUUACCGGUUGAUAACCAACAUAUCUUAUAUAAAGAUAAGCUCAAACAUAGGCAAUUCUAUGAGGACGUACACAUCUUUAGCUUCUGUUGUUGUAUCAAGUCAUUUUAUUGAGUAACUGUCACUUAAUUGCUUUCAAUCAAUUGCAGGUGUACUUUACUGUGUAUAAUCAGCUGAAAAGCUUUCUUCGUUCACAUGGUUUGUUUCCUUUAGCCAUUAUGUAAUGUAAUUUGUAUUUAUUACGGUUUUCAGUAUUUGUAUAAUUUAAUGAAUUCCUCUAGCUCUUAGCAUAUUUAAAAUGGAGUAAAAGGAAUUAGUGUUUAUAAUGAUUGAAACCUGGAUUAAAUUUUGAAUAGUAUCCUUUUUAAGAAAAGCAAUUAUUUAUAUUUCUUUCCUAUUUACAUAUUCUCCGAUCAGUUGUCGAUUACUCUUGAUCAAGAAAGAUGUUUUCAAAAGUUCAAAUUUGGUUUAAUUAAUGGGUAACAUGGUUAUAUUUGUUAAAUUACUAAUUAAUAAUCUUAUGUCGUUGAUGAUGAUUACGAUUUUGCACUGCAAUAAAAUAGUUUCUUUCAAAUAAUAUUUCACACAUGUAAACCUUUAAAAAUAACAAUAUCUUGGGACUGAUUUAUUGGUGAUGCAAAAGGCCCAUAAAUAGUUUAGUUUCGAAGCCGAAAACAGUUUCCAAGCCAAAAAGAAGUUUUCCAACUGUUUGGUCCUACAUAAAAUACUUUUCAGUGUGAAAAGUAGUUUUAGAUAUUUUAAGAAAAACAACUUGUUUUCAUUCUCUGGAUUUUUUGGGGCGAAAGGGCAAACUAAAAACUGAAAACACCUCUCUUCCCUCACUCUGUUUUGCUCUUUUUAAUUUCUUAUCCUUCGACCCAAACACGUAUUGCUGAAAAGUAUUUCCAAUUUAUGAAAAUUAAAUGCUAAUAAAUGCAAUAUUUUUCCCGAUGAAAAUUACUAUUUUGUUGAAAACAAUUUUGACUUGUUUUAUUUGUCCAGCCAAACACCCCCUGAUAUCGUUAUUUUAACACAAAAAUGACAGGCAUGGGGUUGGUUUUCCUUAAAAUGGGCAGAUCAUUUGGAGUGGAUUAUGAUUUGUAGAGUGAUAAUAAAGGGAACACUUUCAUAGAUCAAACUAUAGGGAUUGCACAAAGAAUGGUCCAAAAGUAUGCAUAUAUUGCAGAGUUUCAGAAAAAAAAAAACUAAUAUUUGUUUAGCAAAGUGGUGUUAGCACCAACUCUUCUUACUUUGUUCAUAUGCAGAUGAAGGAAAUGAUCAACUCUCACUUGGUGCUAAUAUUGUGGCUGCAGUAGGUGCUGGAGCUGCAACAGCAUGUACAACUAAUCCACUAUGGGUUGUUAAAACCAGGCUGCAAGUAUGUUUUUACCAUAUCUGUGAUGUGGCAAGUCAUUCUAUUGCUUCUUUUCAAAUGCCUUUGAUGCUGUUCCUGCAUAUGUAGUAGUCAAUCCCACUUUUACGAAAAGCUUGAAUUCUACCAACCUUAAAAUCAAGCCUUUUCAAUUGGUUAUUGCAUACAUCAUCAGGCCUUUUUUUGGUUUCUUUCUGCUAUGCACGGCAGUCCAUAAUUCUAAUUCAAAUAGAAAUGAACUGGCAGAAAAUUAAGGUAUUUGUCCUCUGCUCACUGUAUUUGGUUCUGAAAAUGCCGAUAUAAGUUAUGUAAUGGCAGGCUAAUCUUGAUAAUUUGAUAGUUUGAUUGAACUUAAAAAAAAAAAAAAAUUGAAGCAACUUCAGGCUGAUUUGAGUCCUGUCUUCCACUACAUCGAGCAAAUAGUCCCGUAAUUGCAUUUGGGUGCAACACAAUAGAAAAUCUGAAGCAACUUCACUAGAAGCUGAUGUGCUUCCACGCCCUUAUCAAGCAAAUAGUGCAGUGAUUGCAUUAUCCGUCCGUUUUGACCUAUAUUUCACAUGUGACUUACUCAGAUACUUGUAAAAUUAAUAUAUACAAAAGCGAAUAGAAAGAUGGCAAUUGUAUAGGAGAGAACUGAAGAGAUGAAGAUAACAAAAGAAAGAAUUCAAUGAGAACAGAGGAGUACAUAGGAAGAAAAACAAAAUAUGAAUGUAUACAAAGUGCAUAUAAUUUCAAGACUAAAAUUAAGCUCAGAACACUGCAAAAAACUGAUAUGUAUAAUCCUUCGUAGUUCGUAGUAAUGUCUACUAUUUUUCAUCGUAUGAUGCAAUGUCUUCAAUGCAAUUUAUAGUAAAAGUUUUAUGACCAUUUCUUUCGAAUUGGUGUGAAAGGGGUGAGAAAAUCAAAGAGGGUUGUUCAUUAUCUAAAAGGUCCUUUUCCUUUCCAUAUUCUUUACUUUUCUCGGCUUGACUAAAAACUUCUGGAAAACAAUUAGUAAAGCAUAACAUAUGAAAGAAGAAAAUUCAUCAGAUGUGUGCCAAUGGAAAGAAUUAAGAACGCCUGAAAAUAGUAAAAUGCAUUGACAAAUUUUGCUUACGCUGAUUAUACUAUAGGAUCUGUAGAUUAUUUCAUCCAUUGAAUCAUUUUAAGAUUUAUUAGGAAUCGUAUCCUCGUAAGUUUCUUCUUCAAUGUUUUGAACAUCUUUUUGGCAUUACUUGCUUUUCCUUUGAAAUCUAGAUUAGCUGAAAAAAAUCUUGGUGACUCUAAAUGAUUAUCUUUCAUCUAAGAUCUCAGAUAAUCAACAGAUAUUUAAAAAUGCAAGUCUGACAAACAACAUUUAUAAAAAUGGAAGGAAAAGCAAAUCUCUCCGUAGGCCAUCCAAAUUUAGCCAAUUGUCACAUAAAACCUUAUCAAAGAAAGUCGAGAUAGGGCAUGAUAAAAGUAAUUAUCAAGGUCGUAGAGCUAAAUCGUAAAUCUAGAACUAAACAUUAAAAAAAAAAAAAAAAACCUAACACAAAAUCAAAUAAUGUGCAUAUCAUGCAACUCUCUAAGCUGCAAGUUAAAAAGUAAUUGAUGCACAUCGGGAUAGAUCAAAGCAAACAAAUAUAUAAUCCAUUACGAAAAUGAGAUCAUAAUCAGCGUUUUGAAUAAUUUAAAAGAAAAUAGUAAAAGCAGCAGCUGAAGAAAAAGAAGAAGAAGAAGAAACAUCGGCAGUUGUGGUAGGAGUAGUAGUAAAUUUAAUAGCAAUAAUUUUCCCUUACGGAAGGCAGCAAAAUGAAAACGAAUCUAUAUAGAGAUUGAGGACAACUAAGCUCCAAAGAUUUAGACACACAGAAUGUCUUCUAAUUGUGUUCAUAAACAUUUUAAAAUUUACAUAUAAAGGAAAAUUGUCAAUAGGGCAAUAAAUUUUCCAAUUUAAGUUGCAACAAAGAGACAAUUACAACUAAGCAGAAGCGAUAACUUGCAGCAACAAUUCUAAGUUGUCGAAAAAACAGGAGUUCGGCAGGCUGAUUCCAUAGAAUCAAACAAAUAUCUUACCAAUCAAUGAAAACAAUAUCAUAAUCAGCGUUCUGAAUCGUUUGAAAUUAAGGCAGAAGUAAAAUAGAAGUAGGUGAAGAAAAAGAAGAAAAAAAAGAAACCAUAGCAAUAUUAGCAGCAACUGUAGUAAAAUCAAUGGGAGAAAAGGAAAAACCAUGAAUAACAGAAUAAAUCAGACAGCUAGCGCAAUAUAAGAAAUAUAAAUGAGAAUUUAAUAUUAAAUAGAAACAAAAUAAGAGUAUUAAUAGUUAGGAAUAAAAUAACAUAAAUAUCUUUUGAGCAAGUCUGAUUAUAGUAGCAUUCGCAAAAAAUCAAAUGCCACAUAUCUCUAGGAGUUUCACGAAAAUGACAAAACUUAUGCUGUUGUCUGUUGGCCUCUAUUGAUGUUGAAAGAUUAGACACCUAACAUGAUAUUAAAAAAACAAAUUACUAUUUGAAUACCAAAUAGUAAUAAACACAGAGUAUGGAUGACUAUAUUCUGCAAUAAGUUGUAGCUAAAAGAUUCAAAUAUUUGUCAGGGAAGCCUAAUUCUAGUCCCAUUGGCCAAAACUUUAGGUGCCAUAUAUCAUUACCAGUUUCACCACAAUGGCAAUAUCAAGUGAACAACAAAAUUGAAACUUCUCUAAUGAAACUGGAUUGUCAAGUGCAUUGCCAACCUAUAAUAUCAUAGAAAGUUUUCAACAGUUGUUGGUAAGAAAUUAAUCUAAGUGAGCAUAUAUAGUAGGCAUUGCUCAUUUUUAAGGAAUAAUAGAUGCGAGAGUCGCCAUUUGGCUGUCAAAUUUGCAGUGCUAUUUAAGUUUCUUCACUUUUUUUUUUAUUAUUAACGCUCAUAGCUAGCUUCCUCUUUUAUACAAAUAUGUUAUUAGGCUACAGAAUAUUUCGAUAGGAUUGAAAAAUUAAAAUUUUAAACUCUAAAUACCCAUUUUCCUUAAAAUAUUAGUUCAGCUAAUGAAAAUAAUUUUUUUUUACUCAGUAAAAAUGAGGUAGCUUUCUUCAAAUAGAGUAAGAGAAGCUUACGUGACAUAGCAGGCAACACUGGACCAAAUAUUUCAUCUUGCGCAAUAAGCCUAUUCUCUUGGCCAAUUGUAUAAUGGAUUUAGUAAGCAUAGAGGCUAAAAAUGUAAAAAAAAUUGACUUCUAAAUAGCUUAACUUUAUUUAUUAAAUCACGGUAAUUAGGUGUGAGAAUUUUUGACAAUUUAGGGUUUAUGCUAAAAGUGGUAAUUUGUUGUGGUAUUUUCACUGCAAAUUCUGAAUUAUGUUUUCUUCAGAGAUAUUUCCUAAUCGGAAAAAUUGUAUAUAUGUUCUAUCAUCUGUAUUAAGAGACAUUGAGAUAGAGAAUGCACAACAUUCAGCAAAAAUGAAAUUUUAUUGAACUUGCCAUUUUAUUACCUUAAUAUAAGCUAAAAUGUUGGGCUCAAUAUAGCAUCCUUUUUUAGCACAGGGUUUUCCCCAUCAAUAAUAUGGUGCCGUCUUUCCCAUCUUUAGUGCAUAGAACUCUUUGAAAUAGCUUCUUAUCAACCUUAUAAUAAUGAAAUAUGCAGUGUAAUUAGUAAAAAGUUGAAAAAUACACCGACGUGUUGCGGUUGGUAAAUACUGUUGCAAUAAAAAUUUAUAAAAUAUCAGUGAAAAGAGACUUUCAAAUCAGCAAAAAUUUACACUAAAAAGUGGUAUUGAACCCAAGAGAUAAACCUUAUAGUGUAAUUGUAGAAACUAAACCUUGGAGGUAAAAAAGUCUAGUGCAAACAGUGAUAGAGGAAAUUACCUGCCCAACAGUGUAAAUAAGAGGUUCCUCAGUCAACUUAAUCUUGUCUACCUCCAACAAAGUAGUUCCUGGCAAAUUCUAUGACAAAGAAUUGAAAUUAAAAUAAAUCUAUGUAUAUAAGAUAAUUACAGCACAUAGUUAAUAGUCUUAAGUUUCAUAUACAACUUAACACAUCAGAAAUAUUUGGAAAAUCAAUCGUACCAUAGAUGCAUGCUACAGGAUUUGUAGUGCUGCUGCUGCUGCUUCUUCUUCAGCUUCUUAUUUUCUAUUGAUUGUGUCGCUAGUACCGUUAGUGCUGCUACUGCUACUUUCUCUUCUUCUCUUUCUUUUUCUUCUGCUCCUUAUUUUGCUGUUCAUUGCAUUGCUACUGUUGCUAGUGCUGCUGCCGUUACUGCUUACAUGCUGCUAGUGCUGUCUUCUGUUUUCUCCUCCUCUUGCCAUUGAUUUUGUUUGUGCUGUUGCUGCUGUUGCUACUGGUUCUUCUUCUUCUUCUUUCGCCAUAAGCUGUACUGCUACUGCUACUGCUGCUAGUGUUGUGGUUUUUACUGCUGCUUGUGGUAACUCUUCUUCUUCGUCUUCGCUGCUGGUUGUUCUUCUUCUUCUUCUUCUUUUUCUCUUCCUAUUUUUCUUUUGCCAUUGAUUAUGCACUACUGCUGCUAGUGCUGCUGCUGCUCUUCCUUCUUCUUCUCAGUUCCUUGUGCUGCCAUUCAUGUACUGUCCACUUACAGUUAUAACAGACUAAAUAAACAUGAGAGUUUUCAGACUUGACAACAGCAGAUAAGAGUUCAUCGCCAUCCAGCCUUGCUCGUUAAUAGUAAACAUGCCCCAAGAGAAGUAUAUUAACAAAAACAAUUGAUUUAAUAUGCUGCAUCAAAAAAUUAAAAAACAUCAUUGUAUUCAAAUUAAAUAGGUAAGCAUAAAACUUUUCACAUGAAUACAUAAUCCACUUGUAAUUGUAAUAUUUGGUCAUAUCGACAAAGUAUCACAUCAGACAUGGUUACUUGAUAUUUCUCAACAUUAUAUUUACUAUCUUCUUCAUAGUUGCUAUAAUUACAUAGACCGAGUAAAAUUCUAACCAAGUUAAUCUAAAUAUAAGACAAGUAAAAUUAAUAACAAAAAUAAAACAAAUUAUGCACCAUAAUAAUCAUAAUCCAAUAAAGUUACAUAGCAAACAACGCAAAAGGAAAAAUACUACUCACCUUUCUUCACUUUCACAAAUUUACCCACAUGGGAUCACCUCACGUCUCAUGCCACCUCCCAUAGUUGGUGCCUUCUACGGCUGGUGACCUCCGCGAGAUCUUUGACAACGACUUGGGGGACUAUGGUAGUAGCCCCAAAACCUCUUUGAUGAGCGAAGGGUCUGCGGUGCUUCCAAAACCCCUUCAAUGAGCUUAUGCCCCUUCCAAAUCUGUCACGCCCCGAGUCCAAAGCGGAAGCCCACGGGGACGUCAACAGACCCGCCGAACGGACAAAGUUUCCUCUACCCGAACAAAGCGUCAACACAACAGAAUAAUAACAAGGCAAAUCGAGAGAUCACAAUUAAAAGUUUUCCAAAUCACGAGAACAAGAAUAAAGUCACUAAACAAACGAACUAUAUGUAUCAGAGCAGAGCACUAUAAACAUAAUUAUUAUACAUCACUGUACCACAUCCCGAAGUCUCAACUGACCAGAAAGAUAAAUGUACAAAUAAAAGGGCCCUGGCCGUCGCCAGUCCUGAUGUAUAGCAUGAUAAAAAUAUCUAGCUGGAAGACUACUACAACGAAUAUACACAGGUAGGAGAUGCUAUUUACGGUGUGAUUCCCCUUACCUCGAUCAACUGUUGGUAUAAAUGUCCUUUAGAAGUAAACCACAAGAGGGUGUGAGAACUACUAAACAGCAGUUCCCAGUGGGUAUAGUCAACUAUAACUACGACCUUCCCACUAGGUUUACUAGAGGCCAAAAAUAGUGAAAGAAUAGGAAAGUAUGCUGUAAAUGAAUAAUUGAAAGAACAGUGAAUGAAUAACUGACUAUAAUCGGAACAGAUAUAUAUAUAUAUAUAUAUAUAUAUAUAUAUAUAUAUAUAUCUACUAAACCAUCAUGUCCCUAUACAUGCAGUAAAAAGGAAGGAAAGAAGAUAAUUAAUGCAUGCAUCAAUGCUAUUACUAAUAAACAAAUGCUGUAAGAGUACCCAAUCACAACAGCCGACUCGUAUAUCCGGUCAAGCCUGCGCCUACCUAGUGCGCUGACAAACUCCCGCAGGUGUGACGGCAAUACAUAGGCUACUGUCUCUGCUAUCUCUGGCUAGCAUUUUGAGCGGCACUCGAGGGAGCGACCCCUAUCGAGUAUCAUAGCACGUAUCACUGUCAAUCUCAAUAUGGCCUUGCAGGCUGUGGUCUAUGUGAUGAUCAAACAUAUCACAAGUACCCAAUCCAAUGUCCUCAACAUAAUCAUAGAGUAAUCUCUAAAUCAGAUGUCAUAAUGCAAUAUUCAUAUUCUCUCUCUAUGUUCAAACAUCUGCAUACUACCGCUGCGCUACCCACGGCCUCUAUCACCUAAUUUAUGGCAUGUACAAUAUAAAUGGGUAAUAGAUGACUCACCAUUAUGCAUAAGAUGUCAACUAGCCUCCCACGAUCUGAGCUAGAAUAUCCAAUAUGAGAUAUUGAUAACAAGUCACUAUAUCACGACUAUUAGACUUAUAAUUCACACAGUAUGGCCUAAAUUAGUAUCUAUAAGUAAAUAAGCUGAAAUCCAUACCCUCGACUCAAUUCAUGCUAAUAUCAUCUCUAUCAACAUAUAUAACCACAAAUAUAUACAUAUGUCAUGCCUACUCGACUUAGUGCUCAUGCAUAAAUCAUUGCUCGCGUAGACUCUUGCUAGGAAGUCAUUCUUCCAUUCAAGUCCAUGCUAACAUAGCCCUUUAUCAUCUAUAUGAUCAUAUACAUAUGCAUGUGCAUGCAAAUAGACAUGAAGGAAAUUCGUCAUUUUCGACGACUCGGAACCCAUCUUGGAUCGCUAAACCCAUAACGACAAGAAUCAACCUCCAAGGCACCCCUUCUCGGCUCACGCCACGUAGGAAUCCACUAAGGGAACACUAAUAUCAACAAGUGUACUAGCAAAACAAGAAAUACUAAAUUUCAUCAAUUCGGCGAUUUGAUCAAUAAAAGGGUGUAGAAAGAACGAAACUAACUUACCUCAAUGAUUCGAGUGAGGAAAUUCCAAAUCUGCAGGAAAAUGAUAAGAGAUUCGGUGAAGUUCUCUAAAUGCUCUAUGGAGAGUCGGAACUUCUGUCACGCCUCGGGGUCUAUUUUUAUAAGCCGUUUGAAAAGAGGGCCAAUUUGAAGCCAACAGGUUAGCGGAAAAGCCCAAAUAUUUUUUUUUUUUUUUUUUUUUUUUUNAAUGAUUCGAGUGAGGAAAUUCCAAAUCUGCAGGAAAAUGAUAAGAGAUUCGGUGAAGUUCUCUAAAUGCUCUAUGGAGAGUCGGAACUUCUGUCACGCCUCGGGGUCUAUUUUUAUAAGCCGUUUGAAAAGAGGGCCAAUUUGAAGCCAACAGGUUAGCGGAAAAGCCCAAAUAUUUUUUUUUUUUUUUUUUUCCUUGAUCCAAGGGAUGACAGACCCGCCACAAAUAUAAAGAAUCCUCUAUCCACACUAACAUAAUUUCUCCUAUAUUUGCAUGGCGUCGUACAUAGUACAAGUCACAACCACAAUCAUUCGCAAAUUACAUUCACAAUUGUACAUCACAUGUUUUACAAAAUUCACGUCUAUCAGUUGAAAGCAUUUCCCAACCGAAAACUUAUUUUGAAAUACUGAAGUCACGAAAAGCCGAAAAAUCUUUUAAAACUUGUUUCCCAUACGAAAAUUUUUCAUUCAUUGAAAACGAGCUACCACGAGUAGAAAAUCAUUUUGCAUAAAUUCAUACGAUGUUUCCAAAACAGCUUUAUUUAAGUGUAACGCACCAAUAGUCCUACAUCGGGUGGGAAACUGAUUCUGAUUAGAAUAUAUGAAGCCUACACACUAGAAAUAAUAACUGGGCUUAAGUAUUUUGGGCCGGUGGUUUGGGCCCAACGAGUUAUUGUUGCCAGCAGGUCGGGUCAUUGCACUUGGUAUCAGAGCCGAAUAACAGUCGAAAGUGUGAGAGCUAAGUGCUAUACGGGGCAAAGUGCUACACCAAUGGGUUUGGUGGGAGCCACCUUUUGAACCCGUAGGAGUUAUCUCUAGAAUCUCACAUCGCCUGGUAAUUCUGAUCUGCAUCUGUGAUCUGGUUUGGACCCAACGAGGACGUCAGGGUUUAAACAGGGAGAGUUUGUAACGCCCCAAUAGUCUCACAUCGGGUGGGAAAGUAAUUCUGAUUAGAAUAUAUGAAGCCUACACAUUAGAAAUAAUAACUGGGUUUCAGUAUUUUGGGCCUGUGGUUUUGGCCCAACGAGUUAUUGUUGCUAGCGGGUCGGGUCGUCGCAUUAAGAUUUCAAACAACAUCAUCGCCAACUAAAGCCAAAGCAAAAUCAAACUGAACCACAAUGAUUCUAAUUAUUCAACAAAGAUGACGGGUAAGGACCUCUAUCUCUCGCUAAGUAUGCGCCUCACGCCUCGCCCCGACUCGUAUCUCUAAGAUCACCUGGAAUGGAAGGGAGGAACCAACAAGGGUAUAUAGGCACCGACCACUCAGAUCAACUAGAAGGUGUAUAUCAAUGUCACUACCACUCUACUCUAAGUCAUGAAUGCAAGAGAGAAUGCACCAAGUAGAGUAAGGUCGAAGUCAUGUGGUGAAAGGCUCAAGUACUUGAUAGACAAGUAUAUGUAAGCAAAAGGAUAGAGAUGAGGGGAACACCACCGAGCGUGCACUACUAAACCGACUUCGGAUCGAAAUACCGACAUGUGUCACAGCUGCACCAAACUCUCGCGGUAUGCAGAACCAUCAACUGGACCUACGACAGGUCCAUCGAGUCAAAAACCAAACCUACUAACUCAAGAGACAAUGCUCACAAACCCAAAACCACCUGCGGGAUCGAUUUCCCAAAACCGACUCUCGAACUCGUCGGGGAUCCCGAAAACGCACUGGGAUGCCCGCGGGACCCACGAAACUUCCCGAAACACACCGACUCAUGCCGUGAGUUACCCGCUGCCCUGAAAUACAUCCAUUUGAGUGUCCAGGUACCAAACACAAGCACCAAGGUCAACUCGAUCAUUGUCGGUCGACCAAUCCGCUCUAAGCUUUCAAAAGUGUCCACUUUGGCACUGGAAGCCUCUGCCGCUCACCUGUUGCCUUCGAACACACGAGGCGACCCUGUUAGCCAGCCAACGGGGCUAGGUGAUGAUUUCGAGGUGACCACGCAGCCAGAAACUCAUCGCGAUGAGAGCCCACGUUCUACCGGCGAUUUUGCUAAACAACGCACCGAAACACCACCGCUCAUCCACCACCUCCGGACUUCGAAGGUGGCGGUAGCAACCAGUCAACAAGGCUUGGCGGGGUCCCUAUGGUUGUCGGGGAGGUUGGUUAGUGUUAAGAUCUACGAGGGCGAAGAAGAGGCAUGAUCUCUAAUGUAGCCACCCUCUCACAAAGGUGGCACCGACGACCGCAGAAGAUAAGAGGAGAGCGGUGGUGGCGCCCCAGUCAGGCCGACGGAGCUUCUCCCAUAUAGGGUUUGUGGCGAGGCGGCGAAGGUGGUGCUAGGCAGCGAAAGGGGGAGGAAGCAGGUGGCGAGGACGAGGAAGAAGAUGAAGAGGGAGGCGCUGUUACGGAGGUGAGUUAAGAUUACAAAGAAGAAUGCAAUAGAGAGAAGGAAAUGGGAGAGGGUAAUGGAAAAGUACGGGAGAAGGUGAUGUUGAGGAAGGGGAGGAUGUACAAUGUCUGGGAAGAGGGAAAGGAGGAAUGUGCGUUAGCACGCACGUGGGUCCCACACGUGCUUUCUAAAAUGUUUUUCUUUACUGUAGCGGGCCCCAUGGAACGUGAAAUGCGGAGAGUGCUCUGAGGCAACUUCAAGGUUGCCAAUUCAUAAGUUUAUAAAUCCUAACAAUUUGCAAAUUUCAUGAGAAUUUGGUUAAACAAGUUGGUUAGCCAAGUUAGCUAUGUAUCAAGUUUUACUUCCGCUAAGUAUUUCUACACUGCAAUAGGAAUUCUGUCUAUCUUGAUGGGGCCAUCAUUUUCAUCUUUUCCAUAGAACAACUAUAACUGAGAACUCAUAGUGUACCUUAGAGAACUCCAGUCCUUUUUCUGCAGAUAAGUAUUUUAUCCUGCUAAGCAUCUUUCACAGCUUCCAUCAAAUAAUUUGUGGAAGUGAUUCGUUUAUUAUUCGUUACCUUCAUCUCUGUUCCUUCUAGUCAUCGUCAAUUAUAUCACCAUGUGAAGUGUUCCUACUAUUACAUUGCUCCUUGGACUUUCUCAUUCCACCAUAUUUUAAUCCCUUCAAUGUCUCCAUUGCAAUCUUCUUUUAUUUUUUUUUUUAAUACAAUUUAUACCGUCAUAAUAAAGUGAAUCGUGUCCCUCUAUCUUAGCUACUAACGUGGCGCGAUAAAAAGCGCCUAUGUGGACUGGCUAGGCACCUUGAGUUGGCAGUGUAAAUGUUGGAUGCAGCACUUCUCAAAUAUUGGAUAUGACAACCGGAUAUUGCUUUUUACUUCAUUUUUCAUACUUAAUGAGCAGGCUAUACACUGGUUUUGGACUUUGGAGUCUAUUACGCCAAAAAAUCUCAUACCAACUCAUGGCAUAAGCAGCAUAAUAUAGGAUAUGCGUUGUCCAAUAGCUGAGGGCUAGAUGGUGCAGUCUAACAUUAUUCUGAAAUUUCCAGGAAAAAGUAAUCUAUCAAAUAUUAAAUUCAGCCCAUAUCAUAGUCAAUUUCCGUUCUUUUUCUUCUGAUGAUUGUUUGAAAAAAAAUGAAAGCCUUGGUCUCCAUUUGAUUGACCUAUGCAGUUGGGGCAUUAUUAGUAGUGUUUUUAUAUGUUGAGAAGAUGAUGUGGAAGUUGGUUGAUGAGUUGGGUUAUUGGUUGUAACUUCUGGUUGGGUGAAAAGUAGUAUAUAUUAUUAGGGAUGAGACAAAAGUAGUUCUGGUAAAAAUAUGGUUCUUUUUUGCUAGUGCAAGAAGCCUCACGAGCACCGUCUCUUAGGGGGUGUUUGGUUCCCCGAAAAAUAUCCUAGAAAAUAGUUUUCUGGUUGGAAAAUACUUUUCCGGCUGGAAAAUAUUUUUCUAUCUAUGGUUUCCAGAAAAAAUAGUUUUUUCGAAAAACUCUUUUUUCUAGAUUGCAUGGAAAACUAAUGUUUUCAUUUUCUAGAUUUUCUUUUAUCUGGAAAACAAAAACACUGAAAAAUGGUGUUUUCCACAAAAAAGUUUUUUUCCAGAAAAACAGUUAUCCAGAGCUUUCGAGGAACCAAACACCCCCUUGGCGUAAAAAUGGAAUUUCUUGCAUGCAUAACAAUGUCAGUGAUCUGUACUACCUUUUCCAGAACCUUAUCACCGUUCUUCUUGGCAUGUUGUAAUAGCGUAGAAAGGGUUGUUAUGCCUAAUUGACUAGUUUUCUUGUAUUUUGGUGUUAGACACAAGGAAUGAGGCACGAUGUAGUGCCCUAUAGAAGCAUGUUAUCUGCUUUAAGAAGGAUUGCACAAGAAGAGGGCAUUCGUGGGCUUUACAGGUCAGUUGCAUCUUAACCAUUUCCAUGUAACCUUCUUCCAACUCUUUGUUUGAGUCUCAUUGUUACAUGCUAUGUUUCUCUUGUGAACAGUGGCCUUCUUCCUUCUUUAGCUGGGGUUAGCCAUGUGGCUAUCCAAUUUCCAGCGUAUGAAAAGCUCAAAUAUCACUUGGCCAAAAGAGGUAAUGAAUUAUUUCAUUUUGUCAGAGGACUGGAGUUUGUAACCUUUUUCUUUCUCUUGGUUUUUUACUUUAUGUUACUGGGCCUUCGAUCUUCCAAAUAUUUGUCAGAUAACACUACGGUUGACAAGCUAAGUCCCGGGCGUGUAGCUGUGGCUUCUUCGCUGUCUAAAAUAAUAGCCUCAACAGCGACAUAUCCUCAUGAGGUAUGCCUUCCAUACUAAUUUUUUUGUUAAUUAGGCAAGGUGGUCACCUGUGGCUGUUUGUAAACAAGUGUCUUUACUUCAGAAGUUCACAUUUUAGUACUCGAUCUCUCUGAAGUUCUCAGUCCCUCACUUCUAUCUCCAAAUAGCUCAAGAAAUUGUUGCCUACAUUGGGUUGGACCCGAGUAAAUCUGGCCCAACAUGUCCACUCGGGCCCUUUUUACCAGGUAGGGCCCAGCACCACCUAGAGAACCGGAUGGAUUAAUAAGAGGCCCUCUAAAAAUUAGAGACCCGAUAAAUCCUGGUUGGGCCCGGAUCUUAGUUUCUUUUGUUGACUUGGCCCAACAGAACAUGUGUUUAUUUCACCUGGCCCAGCCAAAUCAUGUGGCACUUGGCCCUGGCUUAAAUAUGGACUUGGCUGGGCCGAGGCUGAGCAAAUUUAAUUUAGUCCCAAACUAGGCUCAAAUCUCACCUGGCCCAGCAUGCUAUUUGUUCACCCUCCGCCCAAGGCAUCCAUGAAUCCUUACAUUGCUCUGAAAUCUGCACUCUGUUUUAUCCCACACUUCAAUCCAUUUAAAUGUUAGGUAGUUCACUGGAAUUAUGAGAUGGGGCAGAGGGAUAAGGCAGUGUGUUGCACAGAUAUACAGAUGCACUCUGUGUCAGAAAUAAUUUCUACAGUAGGUUUUCUAACGCUGAGAUAACAAAAUCAAAGGCUAGCUUUUUUAAGUUCAGACACCUGUUUCCAAGGCCCAUGGUUUAGGUACCCGCUGUUUGUCGGCACCAUUAUUUUAUCUCAUUUCCUAUAGUCUAUUGAAAUAUGCUCUCAAACUCAUGUCCUGAUAAGCUUGCCAGGUUAUACGGUCGAGGCUACAAGAACAAGGCCAUGCACGUAACACCACAGACCGGUACACUGGUGUGUUUGAUUGUGUAAAGAAAAUCUUCAAGAAUGAAGGCAUCGCCGGCUUCUACCGCGGCUGCGCCACAAACUUACUGAGAACUACCCCGACUGCUGUUAUUACUUUCACCAGCUAUGAAAUGAUUAAGAGAUUCUUACACCAAGUCCUUCCUACAUGAGGCAGAAAAUUCUGAAUCCAUCCCGUCUACCAUACGGAAUGAAUUCAAGAGCAAGGUGCUUGCAAUAAGGGAGGCAAAUGUCGAAGAACUAAACUCUCGACACUAGAGAGAGUGUGCUUGUUGAAGGGUAAAUUGCACCGUUUCGUAUCCAACCGGUUGCACCAUUCAUAUCCCAUCUUUACUGAAGUUUGCAGUUUCCUCCCCGAACUUCUAUUUUUUUUUUUUUUUAAUCAGUUCUGUAACUGCUGUUAGCUGCUGCAAUCAGGUCUCCUCCGUUGAAAAGUCCGUUGACUAGGACAAGUUGUCACAUUCUGGAGAUCUAUUUGUGCUCUCUCGUAAUUCCCGUCUGAGUUUACAGAUUCCUUGAUGAAAGGUUCUUUGAAACAAAUAAGGGCCUUUGGGGACCAUAUUGCAAAGAUUGAAAGGUUGGGGACCAAAGUGAAAUUUUGGGCGAAAGCUCGUAAAUUGAGUUGCAUGGUGUUUUUGAGGCUGGAUCCAAGUGUGUGUAGAUUUGUUGGUCAACUAAUCCCUCUUUUCUUUUAUUUAUAUUUUCUUUCCUCCAAGGAGGGCAAUGGAAUUGACUUAUAUUGGUUAGGCCAUCUGAACCUCUUAGAAAAAAGGCUAAUAUCUGGAUUAUUGAAUGCAGUGGUGUUGUCUCUCAAUGUUGUUAGGAUGAUUCUGGAUUAUUGAAUGCAAUGGUGUUGUCCCAUUGUUGUGAGGAUGACAUGUAGUGCCCACAAUUUAAUGAGGGUGCAAAUAUAGCUCCUCAGUAUUUUUGCUUUUAAUAAUUGCCAUCAUCUGCAAAAUGCAUUUUAGUACUAAAAUUAUACAGAACUUAUCUGCACUAUGGAUAAUUUUGAGUCGAAAACUUUUGACCUUUCAGCCAUUUGAUUUUACUCUUUGACCUUUAAUUUGUUUGAUUUGAUCCAAUCAACAGCACUUUGACUCUAAAAUGCACGAUAAUUACUUUAACGAAUUUGCAGCUACGAAAAUUGCAUGAAGUACAAAAAGUAAACCUGACGAGAAUUGCAUGAAGUAUGCUAACUAAAUAUUUAAGACAAACAACAGAUUUAAAUUUUAAACUUAAAGUGCCGUUGACUUUCUGAGGUCAAACAAAUUUAAAGACGGAGUAGUAAAAAUAAAAUUUUGAAAGAUUGAAUAGCCAAUUGAAAAUAAUCAAUAGUUCAGAUAAGUUUUAUACAUUUUUGCCAAAAUUUAAAUUUUUUUAAAGUUUAAAUUCUUUGUUUUCAUGACUUAAAAUUUUAACACUAAUGAGUAAUACUAAGAACGAGCUAUAAUAAAUUUAUAAUUAUAAUAACCAGUGCAAAUUAUAAUAUAAAUUACAAUAUAAGUAAUAGUUAGUAUUAAUAUUUUAUAUACUUUAAUUGGGUGGCUCCAAUCUACUUGUGUUCCACUCGUUUACAGCUCUAAUCUAGGUUCACUUUGACUUUGGGUCAAGGUAGAUAAAGCAGUAGCUUAGGAAUUUUUUAAUUUAACCUUUUAAAAAAUUAUAAUUUGUGAAAUGAUGAAGUAAACUUUUCUUUUGGCCAAAUAACCCUUUUUUUGUUCAACUUAGGCGGUGUUUGGACUGAUAAAUCUCUAGAUCCAACGUAACUCAAGUGCAGUGGUGUUUGAGUUUCUCUGAAGCGAAGUUAUUUUUAGUUAUUUUCUCGUUAUUUGUUUUGAUGUAACUCAUACAUUCUGAAAAUUAAAUUUAAGCACUUUUUUUUAUUUAUUUUGGUAUAAUUUGAUGCUAAUGUAACUAGUUUUUUGAGUUUUAUUAUUUAUUUUGAUGUAAAUAAAUAAAUCUCGUUAUCUCCUAAAUAUAGUGAUAAACUUAUCCCAUCAAAUUCAAUAUAUUAAAUAACUAAAAUUCUCCAUUAUUAUUUGAAGGUAAUCUUAAUCCAUUGUAAAGGACAUAGAGUUUAGGUUUUAAUGUUUAAUUUUUUAGAAAAAGUUGAGUGUGAUGGAAUUUGAGUUUGGCACUCUAAAAGGGGGAAGUCAAGACUAGGUGAAGUGGAGGUCUUACAUAACUUGAGUUAUAUUUUUUUUUUUAAUUACACCAAAAUAAAUACGAAAAAUGAUGGAACUUGAGUUCCACUCUUCCACCUACUCCAAACCAAAUGGCUCCUUAGCAGUAAGUUGGAAGAAUAAUUGGAAGUUGGUGUAUCGUUUAUCAUUUUUAAUAAAAUUUAGAAGACAAUAAGGUGAAUUAUUUACCUUUCUUUCUUUAAAAAGAAAAUGGUGAAUAAUUUAUCUCCUUUUUUUUCUAUUUUUCAUAUGUAAUCCUAAUAAUAACAAAAAAUUUUAAUAAAUCACACACAAUCCUACCAAUCUAAAAAAUUCUAACAUACCCAUAUAAUUCUAGCAAUUAAAUAAAAAUUCUAAUAAUCGGCAUAUACUCCUAACAAGCUCAUAAAAAUUCUCACUCUAUACAAAAAAAAUAAUAGCAAUAUGAAUA
rnacentral:lncRNA from 1 species